GUAAAUAUCGCCUUUAAAGGGCUAUGUCUAUAGACAGUUCUAACAGAGAACGUAGUAAGCGGAAGGAAUGAGUGCCUUGAUCGCCCUCUUGCUUUUUGUCAAUGGAUCAUGAACAUUUUCUAUUUGUUUUAUUGAUUCAUGCGAAAUGAAAUAUGAAUAUUCGAGUGCUUAGGAAGUAGUUGGCGCGUACUAUAGAUACGCGAAAGAGUACCUGUAUCCUUGCAGGAUUUGGUUUGAAGGUUUGAGUCAGUACGGUGAAGCAUUGAAGGAAUCGAAUGGAAAAAGAGCUUAAAAUAAGGGAUUUUUAAGCUCCGUAAGUACUAACUAGAUGCGCAGGGCAUCAGAGGCUUACUCAAAUGGAACAUACGAAUCCAACCUUGCUUGACUCCAUUUUUCAUACUUGCCCUCGGGAUCAGUGGUAGAUUCGUAACGUUAUUACUCAUGGGUAGCAGAUGAUGGAUCCAUUUCUGUUGAAGCAGUGGAGUGAAGAGGAGGGUUGGGUCCCGCCUCACAACGAGCCCGGGUAGAUAGAUAGGUAGAUAGUAGAUAGUGGCUGGUGGUUUCGGGAUCCCGUAGAAAAUGCGUCUUUUAUGCCUCGGGUAUUAGCCACAGCUCGUAUUCAUUCAGUAAUUCUACCCCUUCUUCAUUCUUAGACCUCACUUCUGAAUAUUUUGACUCUUCCAAGCUGUGUCUUAGGAACCUUUUCAAUACGGUCCGGAUUGCUAGCUCCCGUUCAUAGUUCUGCUACAGACGAUACACGAGGAAGAUUUUUAUGGCGGUUCUUCCUUCUAAUUACAGGCAUAUCUAUGACUUUUUUUACCAGAUGAAGCAGGAGGCAUCGGUCCGUAGAACCUAUAAAAAAGAGAUGGUUGUGGCGCGAAGUACUCUUGUGCACCUACGUCAUCGGCUCACGCGCAACCCCGCCCCGUUAUGUUAUGUUAUGGAAGAAUUUAGCUUCUUGCUGGGCUGGUUAUUCAGAGCCAGCAACUGGCUGCCGGAUUUCAUCCCGUCCGUAGCGCUUUGGAAGUCACUCUGGCGUGGCGCUGCUGGAUACUUCUGAUCAAUAGGAAUAAGAGGGAAAAAGCUUAUGAUGAGCAUCUAUUGGAGUCGGUCAUUUGCAAGAUCUAAUUCUAGUUUCUUAUUAUGUAGUGGAAACGCCUCACAAUCUUCAGUUUUACGCUUACGCUUAAGGGAAGAAAUAUUCUUGGUGGAUGCAGGCCCUGGUACCCCAAAAAUUUGUAUGCAAGAUGAGCUUACAGGACUGGCAAUCAAGCGAGCCACCAGGUUUGAGAAUAAGGUGGGAUCCAAGAAUGUAGUGGCUGGUGAAUCACUGAUCAAAAAGCAGAUUUUUGAGAGAUUCUUCAUCGAUCUAGUGGCCGGUGAAUCACUGAUCAAAGAGCGAGCAGCCGCCAGGUUUAAUGAUUUUGUGGGAUCCCUGGAUGUAGCGGUUGGCGAACCGCUUCUUCUUCCACAAAGAUUCAGACAAAACCGAGCUUGGAUAGAACUGAAGAAGAUUUGGCGAACGAAGAAAAAGGUCAAAGGGUUUAUUAUAAAAAAUCAAAGGAGGUUAUUCAGUAGCCAUCACGGGUUUCAUUACUUUUCUUCCAUUCAAAAAAGCUCUUCUAAAAAAAGGAUAGCGAAUGAUCGAUUCACCAUUGAUAGCAUUAACCCUAAAAGGAGGGAUAUUGUGAUAAUAGCGGCAGAUCAAACAAGAACUUGAUGAAAAGAUAGAAAAAAAUAUGAAAAAUCCGAAGCCCACCUUAAUCCAUUUUGUUGAGGAUCUUGCACUUAUUCUGGCCCUAUAUUUACAUAGCCAAGAAAGGCUCUAGCGAUCAUGCGUGACUGGCAGAGCGCCUAUCCUGAGUAAUUACUAAUAGCAUGUGAUAGCUGCGGGCGAUGAUGGACUGAUGCCAUGCUAUUCAGGUACCUGACAACGCUGGCUCCGACGGUGAUGAGUCUGACGGUGGCUCAGAUGUUUCUCUUCCCGAUCCUUCAAGGUCCCCCGUUCCUGACAUCGUCCAAAGGCCGUUGGCGCUCUCCCAUCUGACAAUGCGGGCUCUGCGUGUCGCCUAUGGAAACACUACCCGAGUGGUCUAUUGCAUAGUGGAUCCGCGGGUACCCCGUCGCUGCUUCAUUUUUAUCAACAUCCGGUAAGCAGAACGGACAGAGAACUGUCCCGAUUUCUCGUAAUGCCAGGCCCAAAAGUCCUCCAUCCGCAUAGCAGCAAAAGUAGGCAUUUCUUUGAUACUUACUCACCUGUGGCUAGAUUUACCACCAUUCGAGUACUACUAUCACGGGCUGCCUCACACGAUCUUCUUGUUCAUUAGAUGGGCAGACAUCUUUCCUUAAUGCGGAGUUGGAUGAGGAAAUUUACAUGGAGUAGCCAGAUCAAGAGUACCCGCGCAUUCGCCUAACCCCGGGUUUUUUCGAUCAAAAUGAAGAUUUUUGAGAAAAGAAGCCCAAAAAGCAUCUGACCUUGAAAAGAAUCACCAGUUACUUGAUCCAUCCCUGCGGUAAGUGGGAACGAAUGUGACAGCCGAUGGUAGUAGGAUUUCCACAGGUUGAGCUCCUUAUCUUUUGACUUUUCUAAGGAUAGCCGAGUAGAUAUACUACAAUGGGAUGAAUCGAGCACGAGAAAUCACUAGGCACAGGGGAGCCGUAAGGAAGAGGAGUAAUAUUGUUAUAAAGUUCAUGAAUUCGAUUCAUUUUGGAAUCGAUAAGUGAACACGGAAUCUCGUCUUGUUCCCCUUGGUUCCGAGUCGAUUUCGCUUGUCGAAAUCAUUCAAUCCAUAAGUUUUUGUUUUUUCGAUCGGAAUUUGGGUCAGCUGAACACUUAUUUUCUCUUUCAAAAGUGGUGAUGGUGUGGGUAAAUUCAAUCGAUAUCUUGUUUCCCUUUCCGAUGCAAAUAUCGGGGAAAUCAGUGAUGAAUUGUUAGAAAGAGGGUUGAGCUAUAAAAUCUAUAAAAUGGAGCUUGAUCGGUAGCUUCGGCCUCCCAGACCCAAAUUAAGUUACCAACACGGAAUGACAUUUUCAACCUGACUUCCUGUUUGUCAUUGGAAAGAACGGAAGAGCAUUGUAUUCCUCCUAGGAAAUAAUACAACAUGUCAAAAUAAGAACGGAGAAGAUUCGUUGAUACAGAGCUGGUCCAUUUUACAAGCGAUCCCCUAUUCUGCAUCCCGAAGAUCAUACGGCCCAGAGCCAAAGCGAUCAUUACAGAUAUAUAGGGACAGCAAGAAUCAGUAAAUACCGGGGAUACCUUACUAAGAAUUUCCUAGAUCUUGAGUUAGGCGUAGCUACUUCCUCCCCCCAUGUUCUCCUGAUUCCCCAUCCUUCCGCUGAAGCUAAACCAGUAUCAGUUGAUGGCGAGCAUAGUAGAGGCGGCUUUAUCGUUAAAAAAACAACCGACUUUCGAGUAAUAAAUAACUUAUAGAAGCACUUGAGCGUGGUUUCGGCCUAUAGCCGGAGGAAAUGUUUUUAAAAAUUGACCCGAUUUUGGGCAUUCGUAGAGGGGAAAGACAACCAUGCGAUAAGAGAGGGAGAGGUCUGUCUUCCCAAAGUAGCCAUUCAAGGAGACAAGUUCUACCAUUGUACCCUGACCUGUGGAACUGGAGAAGCUCCUUUAUUGCUAUAGUUCUUGUUGAACCUUUUCUAAAGUCAACAAUUUCUGCAAUCAGGGAGGAGGCAUCGCCUUACUUGCUAUACCUUAAACCUUAUCAAGAAAGUAAGCCCAACGAAACCGCAAUCCCAAUCAAAUAAAAGAUUAGACGGGCUGAUCCCUGAGAUCGAUCACUGUUAAUUUUCUAGUUUUUUAGCUGACUUGGGACCUUCCAUAGAAAACCGAGUACGAGCAACGGUCGGGUCUGCUGCCCCUUCCUUCUCAGCAUACAACUGCAGAUUGGAUAAAUGGUUUAUCUUCGAAUGUAUGCUACAAGAAAUGGGCUGAACCGAUCUACAGGGAAUGCAAUAGCGAAAAGAAUUCCACUCUAUCUUAGAUUUUUGUAUCCUUUUCAAGGGCCAACCCUGUCCAAGGUGGCAUCCGUAUGGGCCUAUUGAUCUUGACCUCUUCAGUUGUGCAGGCACAAAUAUGAACUGGUCUAAGUUUGUUCUUGACGAUCCCCACAAGCUUCUCUUAUCUACUUGAAUGCAAAUCAGAAAAGAGGAAGUCGCAAUGCAUUUUGUUUUUCUAAAGAAUAAAAGACACGUGGAUGGUAUCGAUCAAGAGACAUGGCUAAAGGAUGGAAGUGAAUUAGAAUCAGACGGUCGUCGAACGAAUUCCCAAUAAAUGGAAGAUCUACGUGCAACGAAUUUCGUAUAAAAAGUAAAGUAGGCGAUUUCACCAAGAGGCCUAUUGAACUAGCUCCCAUGCAUGGAUCUGCAUUGUGUGCUUUCGCCGGGGCGAGAGUGAAAAAGAAAUGUACCAAGAGUUCCGUAUGAAUUAGGUUUGCCUUUCCAAAGAAAUGAGAUAAGGAGCAGUAAGGCCUGGUGGCUCUGCCUCAGCCGUUGCCUUGCCUUGCAGAGCGUCAACACCGACACAUUGUAGAGCAACGUCUUGCAACUAUGUACAAAGCCUCCAUUCCCCUGGGUGUCGUGUUUGAAAGCACAGUCUUUGUCAUAAACCGAUUACCCUCCACUCCAAAUGGCUCUACCAAGGAUCCCACAAAGUUCCCGAAACCAAGUUUCUCAGAAAAGGCCUCGUAUCCAUCUACUCACAAUAAUUUGAAUGUAGAACUGAAGAAGCACAAUUUCCUUCUUCGAGAGGAAUCCAACCGAAGAGAAGCGAGCAUCAUAAUAGCUGGAUAAAAAGAUAUUUAGUAUAAGAGGACGUUCGCGUCAAUUAUCACGCCUCUGACUGCUGAGGACGAGGUUCGGGUUAAUGAUAUUGUGAAAGGUGUCAUUAAACCGGGUCUGCCUGUGUUAGUUACGAGGUAUAUGCCAUGGAUCUCAUCUAUUCCCCUUAAACAAGGGAUAACGUGGGUUCCGACCUGGAAUCUAGACCCCCAAUUAUAGUGUGUUUAAAGAGAUCGGAGGAACUCUUCCUCGGUCUCUGUAUCCAAAGAUACUGGCAAUUAGAGCUUCAAGUGUUCGGUUCUACUCUCCGUUUUACUCAUAGUAAGGGAGAGAAGUUCAGUCCACUUGCUCUUUGGCCGCAUCGGUUGAGGUUUGCUCUGUUCAGCUCAGUUACAGAAGAGAUGGUAUCUUGCUUGUUUCAAUUAUCCGGGCUCGCCAUCAAUAGAUACUGGUUUCUCUUCCGCUUUGGCCCAAUUGACCCACUUAUCUUACAAAGAGCGAAGCCACUAACAAAUACUUAUAGAGGGAUUGUACCAACCUUAGCUAGGGAGAUAAAGGCCCUGCUCAAUGUAAAAAAAGGAUCUGGAAAAGAAGAUAGGAAUGGGGCACCAAGGAAGGAUUGUAGGUAGGGAUGCCCUUAGAUCCGUUCUCAAUAGCUUGUGAUAAGGCAAGAAAGCUAGUAGAUACCCUACCCUCGCAUUAAAGCAUCGAUCUAGUCCUCUAUUAGAGAUGAAUUUCCUGUUGGAAAUCGAGGUACAUACUCCAAAAAUCCCUAGUUUUUGCCUUCGGUUAGCAACUCGUCUAAGUUUAAGAUCGUAUUCCAUCUUCGUAAGGACAUAGAAAGGGGUUUCGGUAGUGACUGUCCUAUCAAUAGACCGAAUGGUCAUCAGUUGCCCUCAUGGCCUAACGCCGUUUUUGAGCUCCAUCACAUGCUUAAGAAGGACUUGCCACGGAGCCAAGGCCUAUUUAUGAGCCAGACCUAGAAGAUCACUGCUUUCGUGCUGGUCAUUCUAAUCACAAUGAGAACUUCUCCCAAAGAGGGUUCUUAUUUCAUUUCAGUAAGUAGUCGAUUGAAUCGGUUUCUAACCUAAGGAAUGUGUUAUUAUAACCAAAUAUAUCAUCCAAGAGACGAUCUCUUUUUCAUUAAGUAUCAUUAACAGACCGCUUGCUUACGAGCUUGGUAGCCGCCUUGGAGCCGAGGUAGGCGGAGGAACCUCUCGAACCUGGAAUCCACUUUCCACUUGUCCUUCAUAUGCUCGGGUCUGCUGUUUGACCAGUAUCUACUGCUAUUUCUUACUUCGACCAGACGGGCACUUUCGCAUUACGCAGUGAGAUCGCCUACUCCUCUCGAGGUUGGCAUUUUCUAGUUCAUAUUUCAUAGGUCACCAUAAAAAUUCCUACCUUUGAAAUUAGCAUAUUUUUAGGAACAUAUCGAACUUUCAUCCCGCAUUAUCUGUGCAAAAUUUUAUCAUUGUUUAACUACUUCCUCAAACCAUUCAAUGCGCUAUCUCCAUCCUCUCAUUCAUCUCUAUACCAGAACAAUUAAUUAGGCCCAACCCUUCUAUCAUCGGCCUUGUUGAACUAAUUACUUUCGUCUUUGUGCCACCUCAAAGAAGACAUUUGAUCAUGGGCUUUUUUUUGUGAUGAGGCUAGUUUGAACUAUGCUUUUUCUCCUUUCUACACCCCUCUUGACACAAGUUUCGCACAUCCAAUUCUCUUAUUAGAAACUCCCUAUAGAUAUACUUCUUACUGACUGAUUAUGGCUUCCCUGACUAGAGAAGGAAAUGUCGGGAGGAAAUAGAGAUCAUAGGACCACCUGAAUGCUGGAGAUGAGUGCUCGUCGUAUUCCCUCGAGGAAAGCGGAGGCCCUCGCGGAAAGAUCAAAGAAAAUGAAAAGCACAGCCGCCUCUACCUAGAGCAAAGAAGCUUUGCUAGUCUUAUCACCGGAUUCACCAUAAUCAGCUUUAAGGUCCUGACUCUCAAAUCGGAUAUCUCUUUAGUUCACACGAAUUUUAUAUUAUUUAUGAUUGGUGAUUUGAAAUUCUUUUUAUUUACUAUUUUGAUGGAAUUCAUGAACGAGUAGAUCAAAGAAAAGAAAGCAAAUCAUUCACUCCUAAACUAAAGAACUAAUCUACUGAGCUAGCCUCCCGUUAUGCGCCAAUGCUUGAACAGGACCGUUGACCUUUACCAAGCCAGUUUCCUGUAGUUGACCAAUACAGUUCGACCGAUUGAGACAGCAGGGAGGAUGUGACCGAUAGAUUUGAAGAAGGAACUCAUUUUUUACUGAUUCAGACCGUUUACCAGAAGAGCGGUAUGGUUCAGAAGAGGUACUCAUAAUACAUAUAUGGUUUAACGAAUUGCCAUAUUGAUUACCAAUUCAGUAAGCCUACCUAUACCUCCUCAGGUUCCAGCCUACCUGCUCAACCUGCGGACCCAGUACAGCAGCCCUUGACCCCUGGUCCUGAUCCACUAACUCCAGCACCUUCUACUUCCACUGAUCCGACAGCAUCAGCCCCCAUUUCAUCAUCUCAAUCCACUCAUCCUACGAUUACUCGCACACGGGAUAAUACUCGCAAGCCUCACGCCUUUCCCGAUCACGUUGUCAACAUGGCUACCUUUCAUCCUUGGCCUCUUGAGUCCUCACCAACUAAGCCCACGUGUUUCUCUAUGGCCAAUAAAUGUUCCAUUUGGCGUUCAGUUAUUUGCAUAAACUUAAUGCUUGCAGAAAAGUGUUGAUUAUAAAUAAGUAUAUGAACAAUUUACUAUACAAGCAAAUCUUUGCUUGUUGUCAUCGCAAGCAAGUAGGUAACGCAGAUUUCAAUUUGCAGUCAAUAUAAUAAAUGUACGAGGCGAAGAUAUAGGAGGUAUGAAACAAACAUAAUGUCAGUACAUGUCAAUCACACUCAAGGAUAGAUAAUUUAGCGUUCCAUCACAACAUAAACUAAAAACAAAUGAAGAAUAUAGCUAAUAAAUAAGUAAAAACGACGCUCGGCAAGCACAGUUUGCUGCGAUCGUGCCAGCGGCAUCACCGAUUGGUUGCACGGAUGUGGUCACAACAGGCAGUAAAACCCUUAUUAUAGCAGUUAGAGGAGUGGUUUAAUACAUGUAUGUCCACAUUAUACAUCGGUCAAAAAUAAUUAGACAUUCGAGAUAUGUCUGCAAGAUGGCAUACCUUAUUUUGCAUUCUGUUCUGUCUAGAACAUAAGAUGAAACAUAUGGCAUGUUAAUAAAAAUGUGUUAAAAAAGUAACCAGUGGAAAAGCAUAACAAAGUAAGUAAGUUUAUGUGUGAAAAAACAUACAUACCGCGGAGGAUCUCCUUCCAAGCUUGCAGCUGGAGCGACCAGCUGAGAUGUUGGAGAAUCUCGGAUGGAUUGGAUUUUUCAAAUAGGUUUUUCCGCCUUGUGAUGCAUUGCUCAUUUUUUUGCUCCAAUCUAUGACCAUAUGGACAGGGGCUGCAUAAAUACUAAUACAGUAAGUACAUUUUUGAUCAGCAACACCGGUCUCCGCAGCACCAGGAUACGAUCUUCCUCGGUCGUUCACUCCUCUUCCUUCGCACGGGCAUACCAAGCUCUAAAACCUACUUCUCAUUCGAUCGAUGCUUAAGUACCGGUUUGCUUCUACGUCUAUGGUUGAACUUGAAGGCCUUGGAUUCCGAAACCUGUAGAGCUUGCAUGGUGAAGAACAAGUACGUACUUCAUACGAAGAAAAGGUAGGCGGACUCCUCUGGUUUUCUCCACAGUAGGAGUAAGCAUAAUCCUAAAGCCGGCCCAAUGGGCUAUAUUUCUUUAGAGUACUCAAAAAGUAUGCUUUUGUCGGAGGGAGAUUGCCGGGUCUAUGUAGAAUAGAGAAGCAACAAAAGAAAAUAAAUUGAGUAGCCAAAGGCCUCGUGCACAGUAUGGAAGGAAGAGGAAAAAUGCGCGGUACACAAUGUAUGAUGAUGAACGUAUGGAGUUAGUUCGGUGGCUUCGUUGGGGAGUAGGGCCGGGGGGAUAAACUUGUCCCUUCUUGAUGGCGAGUAUAUGCUUCGACCGACUCUUGUGCUCCCUAUGUGCGUGUUCUUGAUCACCGAACAUGUCAGCUUCGUCUUUCUUGAUCGGUUCCUCGUGUUGCAUACAAUGAAGUGGUGUCAUGUGACGCUGGGCAUAAUCUCUGAAAACUCCUGACUGGUUCGGUGUGGUUUUGUUUAUUCAACACCAAUUGCCUUAGCUUUGUUUUUCUGAAGGAGAGAGAGAAGAGAGUAGCUAGAUUUCUUUUUCUAUUUUGAUUUUCAAAUGGCCCGGCUUUAUUUCAAAAAUGGUCCUUACUUUCCUAUCUUUCCGAGUCGGAGCUGGAAACCAACCGACCGAUGUUACUUUGCCACGAGAGCAGACAGGCUUAUGUUGACUGGAUUCAAGAUUCCAUGCUGAGCAGACAGGCUUAUGUUGACUGGAUUCAAGAUUCCAUGCUUUUCUUGAAUGUGUGAUUACCUACUUUUUGUGAAAAUAAUAGAUUGGUUAGCCUGAGAAACACAAUGGAAUUGAUCGAUUCUCUUGUUUGAUCUGCUUUCUUCCAAACUCUUGACUGGAAGAUAGGAAAUAUUGCCUUGCUAUUUAGUGGAAUUCCUCCCAAAGGCCGGAAACUUUUCUAUUUAUUUCUUGACUGAACUAAAUCAUUCUUAUUUCAGAAUCGCAUAGUGAUGUCUGUUUCACAUAUCCACUACUUGAAAACACUAGCUGAUCAGAUGUCAGCAAAAACAAAGGAUUCAGAAAUGACAUAUUACGGCAAUCGAGAUCACGUGCUCGGAAUCUCAAUUCGCUACAUUUGCGGAAACCGAUACUUCAAGAUAGGUUGGUCUUGAUUGAAUAAAAGUUUCAGAAGUUAGACAUCACUCAGAAAUCUGUUCGAGCCCCAUCAAAUCCGGAACCAACAAUGCACGGGAAGAGGCGAUCCUCGGAAUCCUAAAUCUGUACGGGGGUCGAUUACCACAGAUACGUCAUCCUAACCAAGCCGUGUAUUUUAAUCACUGUUACGCACCAUUGGUGAUCAGUCGAUGGCAAACGAAAAGAUACUAAGGGAAGACAAUAGUCUGGCUCGAGUGGGUAGGUGUGUCCUACUCACGCCCUACAUAGGGUUAAAGAACAUGUGUGUUUCCACUGUUGAAACAAACUAGAGGAUGUUAUGAUCCCGCUAAAGAAAGCAUUUGUAUAACCCGUCCACAUGCGGGCUCUUCGAGUCUUAAGUUAGGGAAAGGAAUGUUUGGGGGGGCGACCAAAGGUCUCAGAACAGAAGGAGAAGGCAAAUGUAGGGAUUGGGAACCACCUUUUCUCGAAGAAACCAAUACCAGUCAAGAAGUGAACGGUCUCAAAAACCGCUUACUUGUUAGUUUUGGUUUUCUAAGACGGGAGAGAAAAAGGCACGCGAGAAGAAGACGGUUGCUGGAAUCGGAAUAGUUGAGAACAAAGUGGCGAACGGGUGCGGAAAUAGCUAGAACUGAAUGCGGAAAGUAUGGAAAAACAUCUUGUAAUGCAUUUAACCAUAAAAUCAAUUAUGCUUCUACGGAAGUAUCUACUCGUAACGGAAUUUCAGGUGUCAAAGUGCGGAUCUCAUAUAGUAAAAAUAAGAAGGGAAGAAAUGCUCGAUUCUCAAAGUCCUAAAUUUACCAAGUCUUUUUGUACAUCUAGCGGGACGGCUCUCGCCGCGACAACUGUACGUUGAUUUAUUAGUAUUAAUCUUUUGUGCAAAAGUCGGGAUAAAAGGUGGAAAUCAGAGGACAUCAAAAAUAAAAUUGAUAAGUGUUUGACAUAUGAAAUCCUUCUUAUAUUGGAGACGGAUGGAGGAGAAUUCACCAUGGGGAUUUUUUCAAAUCAUGCGUCGAAACACACGUUUGAGAGAGAUUUAAAGUGUUCCUUAGCGCAAUUUCAUGUUAAUCUUUCUUUUAAGAAAGGAUGGCAACCCGUUUUGGAAAACUUUUUAAAUGUAAAUCCCAAAAGGAUUAUUUUCUACGGAAAGGCUGCGUCCAUAGAUGAUACAUUAAGAAUUGUAGAAAAGAAAAAAAGAGCAACAAUUAGAAAAAAGGGAAGAAAAAAAGAGAGCUACUUUUACUCACCUUUUAGUAAUUAUAGCUUACGGAGUUUGCUUUUGCGCGCUGCUUCAUUUCUAUAACAAGAAAUUACUCAUAAAAAAAGGAAGAUGUCACUAUCGCUUUUCCCCUAAAGACAGUGUUUCUUCAAAAGAAUUCCCUGCCUCAUCAGGGUCUUGCUUCGAUAAAGGUUUCGCUUCUCUUGGCCCCAAGUACCACAAGCCAACCUUUUUACCUCGAAUAUAUUAUGAAUGACUUCCUUUGCCGGAUUGGUGAAUGGAAAAGAUCAUCAGUCAACAAGGGAAGACGUUAGGUACUCUUUUCCCGUAGUAAAGGUCAUUUGCACAACCAUUUUCUCACUCCCUGCUGCAUCAUUUCUAUAUAUGUGACAUGUAAGCUCAUCUCGCCGAUACUACUAUAAGAUUUUUACUGACCCUAUCCGAUCAAGGCACUCAUUCCUGCUGCCAUUGCUAUCUAUUUGACUUCCCAAGUCAAUGUAAAAAGCCCCACAGGUGGGUGAUCUGGAUCCAUUGCUGCACCGCCCUAACCAAAGAAGAAUUCCCUGCCCCCAUAUCCGUCUAUCAGAAAAGAUAAGGAACUACCCGCGGGUACUAUUACGAUAGGGAAAGACUGGCUCAUUUUUAGAAAAGUGAAUGCAGCUCCCCGGCCAGGGGUCUUUAUUCUUAGGUCAAUGCACCGAAACGUCCACCUUCCAUCUGCCCAGACAGAAAGAUAAGUUCCAUCUUGCCAAUUUGGUCUGCAAGUAGAGAGUUGUAUGAGGCUUCAGCCCUAGAAGCAUGAGAAGAGAAAACCCAGGAGCCUUCAGGGAAGAAUGCCCACUUCCCCCACUACCGAAAUAUGAACCCUUUCAAACUCGACCUUUACUUAAGUGAGUAUAGUAUCUUGCAAGUUCACCCUAAUUAAGAUAACAACAUCCGCCAUCCUCUAGGCAACCCACAGCUGGCACCAUCCCCUAUAGGGCAGGGCUUAUUAACUCUGUUAAUUUCUCCUCAUUCAUCCAUUAUAAGCUGAAAGCGGUAUGGCUAUGUAUCCCUUUGCUUAGAUCCUUUGAUACUGUAGUUGGGGAUGGAGAGGCUAUAGGAAUUCUCCAAUAUAGCAUUAUUUGUUCCUGUGACCCCUUGUCCCGUAGGUUUGGUUUACCUUGAGCGCAUAGAAAUGAAAGAAUCCACAUUCCAUCAUUCCUUCAGCGAGCAUCUUUAUUCACAAGGACAAGUGUUUCCUUCAAUCGGUGUGCGCCACUGGAUCAGGCUACUUAAAUUCAGGCGCAAUUAGAACCAGUUGCUGGAAUAGGUGUUUUGGCCGGGUCACCAAUGCAAGGAAGGAGGCAAAGAAGGUUGUGGUUACAUGGACUCUAGGGAAGCGGAUCCUGACAAAACAACUUGCUCAGAAUACGCUUUACCGCCAACUGAUAAGUAGUUUCUAGCUGCAAGCAAAUAAGGCAGGCAAUCUAUAAAAUAAAAUAUCAUGCAAAAUUACUCCACUAUUGCCUUUUGUAAAGACUCGGUAUCUGCCGCCUCUGCUUUGGCAGCUUGUUCAGCUUCAUACUCGGUGUAAGUCCUCUCAUUUGAUGGUAUUGUGUACCUUACGCUAGUUUACUAGCGGCUAGUUUUUGUUUAGACACGGAUCUAUUGCGUUUCUUGAUCCGCUAAAAUAGGCCCGCGUGCGGGUGGCAUGAGGAAGAAGUCAGAGCCUAUCAGGCCCAAGCGAAGCUUUGCAGCGAGAGUAGUCAAAGAUCGGAUAGACUCGAACCACAAUUGCUAAGGCUAUGCCAGCUCAAAUCCUGUAACGAACAAUCAUCAACGACUUCCCUAAAUGCCGCCAUCCGCCAUUCUGCACGCUCUGUGACACUGAAUUGUUCACUUGCAUGGAGGGUUUGUUUCGUUGAAGUCACCCAUGCAUAGCCAUGGCAACUCAAUCGACAUGUUCUAUAUAUGCAAUCGCAGAGGCGAAGUAUUAUUGUCAGCCUGGACUCGACACCCAGGGCUGUGCCGAUCCGCUUGUCCCUCUAGCUCGUAUUAUAAAAAGUUGUAUUUCUAUGUAGCACAAGUGACUUACCAUCCUACCAAGGAUCCCUAGGAUUUCCACACUCAAUAAAUCGAAUCAAUUUAUUCUAGUGGUUGGUGAGGAGGGUAGCGCCGAUCGGUAGUCUAUAUCAGCGGACCCAACCCUCCCUUGCAUCUAAGGCACAUUUCAUCUCUGGGCCCGCCCCCAACAGAUACCGGUACCGGCCAUGAAGGCUUCACCCUUCUCAAGUGCAAGAAUGAACAAUAUCUUACAUAAAGAACAAGAGCACGAGUUGCGUCAAAUGACCAAAAACAGUCUAUCGAAAAGAGAAACUUGCCACUCAGCAGGAAGGGGCACUCACUAUCCAAAAUCGGUAGACAACAAGCAAGAGAUGGAGCUUCUUCUAGGCCUGGUUAUCCCGAAUCCUUUCCGCCCCUUCGGUUUGAGGUUAUGCUUUGGCCUACCUAAAAUUUGUGCUUCUAUAGUGUGAUUCAUUACGGUGCUCUCUCCCAAUAACAGAUAGCUCUAAUAGGGCAAUAGUGGAGGAAAGUCUUCAUGAAAAAGAUGGACUUGUUACUUUUGAAUGAUAAACUUAUUCGGGCAGCUGGGAAAGAAGAAGGAUGACUUUAGUCAAACUAAUGAAGCGAUCCCGCGGAUACAGAAGUUGUGUUUGAAGUAUGAGCUACUGCUGCUGCUGAAAACAACAUUUUUGCAUGGUUCUUAGCUCAUAGUUUGUGUGGGUGAUUUCCAUGAAAUAGAUACAAUUGACACAUUGAUUAUACCGAGUAUGCCCCUCGGCAUGAUCUUUCGUUUAGCCCACUGUAGAAGAUGAUCACACUUGGGAAGAGAGACAGUCGCUGUUCGACCUCAAGAAUUCCUGGAUAAUACGAGGGCUGAAAGCCUUCAUCGACAAGAGGACAUGGUUGCAUGACCGUGGCUCAAAACUAACAUUAAUAUUGGCUUACUCGUACUCUAGAGAAGGAUCUGUGCCCUUUUUGAUAGCCGAGAGGUAAGUAGGCCAUUGAAGCCUUAAUUAAGCCUGUAUUCUUCUAUCUACGAUAUUCUAUCCAUGAAAGGGAGAAGCUCAAGUCGAAGUGUGUACCAAUAGUAGAAGCAAGAAGCGUAGGUCUUUUUUGGCCACUGAGGACACAUGCGCCAGGAAGAAAUGCAUGAUCGUAUACGGAAACUGGAGCUAGAUCGUACAGAUCGUAAAAUUCACCAUGAAAGAUGCCUUAUGACCUAAACCUCACACAAGCUAAUGAAAAUGACUAUCUAUUUUGACAGGCGGGACUGAACUAGUACGAAAAUUGACCCUUAGGUUUGUCUUGGUCAACGGGACCGCAUAACGAUUAUGCUUUGAAAAUGGCUCUGGGUCCGUCAGGAUUAUGAGAAGUUGUACUCAGUAGGGCUCUUUUGGAGAAGUUGAGUAGCACCCUCGUAUUCUAGUUUGUGAGUAAUAUGAAAAGGAAAGGCUGCUGGAGGGAAGGAUAGAAUGGUUCAGUGGGAUUUAGAAGGUAUGCCUUUUUCUUCUUAUUUACUGGCUCGGACACAGGAAUUCUCGAGCAAGAAAAGCAAAUGUCAUUUCUCAAUUGUCACCGCCUGGCAGAAAAGCUUUUCUUUCUUCCUACUACAUACGAUAUUCAAGUGCCCGUUUUCCUUGUUCACAUGAGGUGAACGUCCAUGCAGAGGAUACUUGGAAUACCACCCUUAGCCCCGUCCGUCCGUUGGAAACGAUGGCUUAAAAUGAGUUCUUCUAGCUUAGCUCAGUAGAAGCAACGGACGAGCUGAAACUCUACCCACGAGGCUUGCUAUCAACCAUCAUGCCGAGGAUCUAAAUCCGUCCUAUCGGAUGAGGAGAGCAAGAGGGAUUGCAUGACGAAGUAGAUCUGCACGUGGAAAGAAAGGGGUCAAGCGGAUACACGAUUCCAAAUUACUCCUUUCCGGCUAAGAAGAGAGGAUCUACAGGGUACAACGUAAAGUGUUUUGAUCACAUUGGAAAAGACUAUCCAUACCGACCUAGAGUCGUCAGCCAUCACACUAGCAGGCAAGCCAAGUUCCGAUACAAUUAGAGAGAAGCCAGCCUUUGGUAUAAAAGCCAUCCAUCAGUCUAUCAUUGUUAAGUGACUCAUCGCCCGUGGGACUUAGAGAUGAUUGAUUCGAAACCGACCUGGACUCUUUCUUUUUUGGCAUGGAAUUCUUAAAAUGCAUAUUAAAAGUGAAAUAGUUGAUGUGAUGGAUGUGCCCGGUAUCGAUCAAUGAAACAUCGGCUCGACGCAGGAUUUCAAUAGAAUGAAAAACCUCGUAAGUAGUAGUAAUUGAAAGCCUUGGGACUGCAACCGGAACUACCCGAUCCGCUGAAAUACGAUACGAAGGAAGAAAGCUCAAUACAUGUUCGAAGCUUCAAACAGAGCCAGCGAAUCCACGCAUGGACAGACCGAGGUAGCAACACCACUAUAGGAGAUUAAACAAAUGUUCAGUGCUCUAGUGAGGAUUGAAGUUCUAAAUAAAGAAAUUGGCUUUUGAUAGGCUGGAAUCGGAUCAUUGUGCAAUGUUAUGUUUUUCAAUCCAAAAUUGAUUUGUUUCGUUGGUAGAACCCACGCCAACUCUUUUCUCUAAAUAAUAGAGAGAUCUUUUGAUAGAAGUUUGACUUCUAUCAAUGCAAUGAAAGAACUAUCCCUUCCGAUUUGUUUGUCCUAAUGAGACAAAAAAGAGCCUCCUUCUUUACCACUUUAGGGGAUGGGGGUGAAGGGGCGUUUACAUACAACCGGGGCAAAGUGGUUUAUGAUUGAAUCUCAGAGGCAUUCUUAUCAUUUGGUAGAUCCAAGUCCAUGGCCUAUUUCGGGUUCACUCGGAGCUUUGGCAACCACCGUAGGAGGUGUGAUGUACAUGCACUCAUUUCAAGGGGGUGCAACACUUCUCAGUUUGGGCCUAAUAUUUAUCCUUUAUACCAUGUUCGUAUGGUGGUGGGAUGUUCUAUGUGAAUCCACGUUGGAAGGGCAUCAUACAAAAGUUGUACAAUUAGGACCUCGAUAUGGUUCUAUUCUCUUCAUAGUCUCGGAGGUUAUGCUCCUUUUUGAUUUUUUUGGGCUUCUUCUCAUUCUUCUUUGGCACCUACGGUAGAGAUCGGAGGUAUUUGGCCCCCAAAAGGGAUUGGGGUUUUAGAUCCUUGGGAAAUCCCUCUUCUUAAUACCCCUAUUCUCCCUUCAUCCGGAGCUGCCGUAACUUGGGCUCAUCAUGCUAUACUCACGGGGAAGGAAAAACGAGCAGUUUACGCUUUAGUAGCAACCGUUUCACUGGCUCUAGUAUCCACUGGCUUUCAAGGAAUGGAAUAUUACCAAGCACCCUCCACUAUUUCGGAUAGUAUUUAUGGUUCUACCAUUUUCUUAGCAACUGGCUUUCAUGGUUUUCAUGUGAUUAUAGGUACUCUUUUCUUGAUCGUAUGUGGUAUUCACCAAUAUCUUGGUCAUCUGACCAAGAAGCAUCACGUUGGCUUUGAAGCAGCUGCAUGGUACUGGCAUUUUGUAGACGUGGUUCGGUUAUUCCCAUUUGUCUCUAUCUACUUGUGGGGAGGUAUAUGAAAGAAGGGAACGAAUAAGUGGAUUGAGGAAUAAAAGCUCGAAGACAAAGAGAACUUCUCCGGGUGACAGGAUCACCCGGGCAGCGUGGCUUCUCUCCCGAGCAGGAAGCCACAAAAAGCAUUGUGCUCUUGUAACUGAUCUUUUAGUAGGCGAAGUUGCCGAAUUCUGAAAUCACUACAGGCAUAGUGUAGGAAAUUGUGAGUCCUAAAAAACAGAUGCCCCAUGAUCAUUGACUUACAUCACGAUAUCUUUUUCUUCCUCAUUCUUAUUUUGGUUUUCGUAUCACGGAUGUUGGUUCACGCUUUAUGGCAUUUCAACGAGCAAACUAAUCCAAUCCCGCAAAGGGCGGAUCUCGACGUUCUCGUCAUGGCCAAAGCGCCUAACGAGGGUGACUUUCCCCUAGACCAACCUCCCGUUGGCGGCUUGCCUGACCUCCGCGAGGAAAUAGCCAGGACUACCCCUCAUGAAGCAAUUCUGUCGGAGCUAAGCUCCCGCGUCGAGACAAUUUUCGAGGAAGUAGGAACCCAGGUUCCUUUAGAGGAAGGGCAGUCUUUGCACGAUUUCACACAAACUCAGGUCUUAUGGGAUGGAGAGGGCGAGGGUGAAGAUACUCUUCAGGAUAUCUUUCGAGCCAACCUGGAAGAGGGAGAGGAAAGAGAGUUCGUUAGAACCGCCGCAAAUCUGGCAAGAAAAUAUCGUCACGCAGAGCUAGGAGAGCCUGAGACGCCAGAUCCCGAGGAUCCCGUGGUCGAGCGUGAGGCUCAUUCCAUGAAAUCCCUUGAAGGCACAGAAGCAAAUGAUGGGGUUAAGGAGGCAGGCCCGUCUUCUUCGCGGAAGUGUAAAAGGUGGGAUGAUGAUUCGGGGUCCGAAGAUGAUGAUUCGGGGGGAUCUAGGGUUUCUCCGGAUCCCGUUGAGAUCAUUUACGAAGGGGACGCACAAACCUGUCCCGCAGAUGUAGAUAAGAUGCGGAGUAGGUAUCCAUCUUUGCAAAUCGAGAUACUGAGGCCUCCUAUACCUGUAGGGUAGAGGGGGGAUAGAAGAGAGGGUAUGUGGGCUUCUAUCAAAUAGUGAAGACCCGGGAACGACAGUCGCUCGACGUAAGGAGAGGAACGAAAUAUCAAUAGAGGCACGAAAACUGCUGGGUAUGAAAUUUGGGUAGGGUUGGCAGGGAAAGUCCAACUGACACUUUCUUUGAUGCCCUUUUUUCUCCAACUGGCGCAGAGAUUGCAUUUGCCCUUAACCUCCUUUGAAUCCAUCGUUUAGACCCUCUCAAUUGGUAUUGGCAUUGGCUCGAGAGCAAGGACCUUAUUUGAUCGCUUAGAACUCUAUGGAAGGAAACUCACUCGCUCGAGAUAUGCUUAAGCUAGCUCAGGAAGAGUACUAAUUUUAUAUGCCUUAAAGAGGGGAUUCAAAGAACAUUUAAGUUUGAAGUGAAAACAAAACAAUAACUAAAAAAAUUGACUGAGGAACUAUCUAAUACAACUAUUACUUUCGAGGACAAGAAGGAUGCUCUAUAUCUUUUUCCAAUCCUGGCAAAGGGAAAGCCAGUAGAGUAUGCCUUGGUUUAAGAGAGGAGCUAAGGUCCAUCUUGUGCUUACAAUACAUCUUAUUUAGCAGGACAUCUUGGGCUCUUUAGAGAAAGGCGAAGUCUCUACUUGUUAACCAUGGAUGCCUGUUAUAUUUACUUAUAGAGUGAAGAACAAGCCCACUUUCCAUAUCUCUUUCGUCCAUAUGAUCGAUUGCCUUAUUCUUCUUCUAAAAUAAGUGCAUUUAGCCAUUGUGUUUUUCCAACUUUCGUAAUAGAUCUGGGCAUGCAUGGUUUUCAAUAGAUAACCCUAGGCCUUCUUCGUUUCCCCACGGGCAUUCACUUCUCUUCAAGCUCGGGAUUAGCGAAACAUGGAUCCGAUGCCCAUCUCUUUUUCCACUUUGCAAGGCUGAGAGACUUUACCAAUUGAUAAAAAAAAGCAUGAGCGGUAUCAGCAGAGGCAAAAUCGAAUAAAACGGAUUAUUUGCACCUUUCUUUGGUAGGCAACGAAUCUCAAGGAAUGUGGGAAUCUUUUACAGAUGUGAAUUCUCGCUUUAACGCUUCGAUAACAUAUUUAGAAUUAGGUAUCUUCGGGACCGGGGCUCGCCCUCAACAUAUAUUGUCUUUGCUUCCGCUGAUGUGGCGUCAAUUGCCCGAGGGAGCAUAACACUACAGGCCGCAAUGAACAUGCCCGCCGCAUCUCGGAUAAUUGCUCCAGUUGCACCAAUUCCAGUAUCCGAGACAGAAAGCAGCAUCCACGUGAACUUUGACUGUUCAUAAUAUGGGAAAUUCCGAGGUGAAGGAUGCCUGCUCAGGUCAUGAUAUCACUGAUCCAAACUACAAAAUCUGAAUCCUGACUAGUUAGCGAAUCGUGUGCUCUGUGCGAAUGUCUUUAUUAGUCUGUUUCAUUUAAGCCCAAAGGAUCUUCGAAUACCGACUGGUCGUCCCAAUCCAAUCUCCCAUCUGCUUAUUCCAAUUUCUCCUAUUCCUAGAGAAUCAACUAAGAUUUCUGUUCUUCCAUCAAGAGGAGAUAGUUAUAGUUAUCGAUAAAGCUAAAAAAACCUGUUGACAUCGAUAAAGCUAAAAAAGUUGUUGACAUAGAAUGCAAUCGAAAUAGAGACAACUAGGCGAAAAAAAGACCGAAAACAAUAGAAACUUCUACUCCCUAGGUGGUUAUUUGCCGCAUAAGAUAGCGGUGGAAGCUGAAGGAAAGAGUCGGCUUUGAAUCUAGGUAUGCUUUCUAAGGAUUGUGCUGCGCCUAGCCUACCUUUACGAACAUACCUCUGUCUUUCAAACAAAGCCCUGUGUGUGGAACUACUUAUAUUUGUUUUCUAAUUGCUUUUAUCGGGCCAUCGAGAAGUCAGUCAGCGGUUGGCUUGAGUCCUCAAGUUGGUCUUUAAGACUUAGCAGGGCCCUACACACAGUACACCUUAGUAGAAGAUAGAUUUCUCUCACCCUAUGUGCAAUCAAGCUCAGAGACUUGAGCCGCAGAAUCCCUUAUUUCUUUUCUUCCUCAUCGAUCGAAAAAGGAUGAACUAAAAUGACUUGAUUCGAAGCCACUUCUGACUUGGAUUGAUGAAACGAGAAGAUUAUUGGAUUGGAUUGUUGGUCUUUCACUAAUGGAGCAUCUCAGCCCUAGCCUUGAAGUUGAACAUCCGGGGAUAUCUAAAUAUUGAACUAGUGAUUCAAAAGAAUGGCAAGUCAGCGGUUAUGUGUUGACUUCAGAAACAGGAAUCUUGCCACUCCAAAGGACGAGUAUCCAAUGCCGAUAGCUGACCUACUGGUAGAUUCGGCAGCUUGUAUUGAGCCUCUUGGAUGCCCACUCAGGAUAUAACCAUGUGCCAAUCGCCGAAGAAGAUAUUAACAAGAAUUUAGAUGCCCUAGUCUAGUUGGUGCCUAUGAUUUGUCGAUCAAUUCCUCGGGUCAAGGGGCGCACCUAUGAUCUAUAAUCUUCACUACUAGUCAAUCCAGGGAAAUAUUCCUUCUGGCCUUUUAUAGAUGGAUACCUUUUUCUUAGAAAAAAUCCCCUUUCAGGUUUAAUGAUCAAGGAGCGGGGUACCGAUUAUCCUCUUUUUGCCGGAGGAAGCAAGGAAACAGAGCUAAUGGAAUUUCAUUGUAAAGAAAAUGACUCAUAAGGAGGUGAGUCAUAAAAUCCUUAAACACUAGAUCAUGACUAUAUACCCGGAUGUCAUUCCUUGAAAGAUCCCAGGUCGCUUCGCUUAAUCAAAGAUAAGAAAUAUCAUAGCUGCUUAUGAAUGCCAUCCAACGAGGUAGAACCACCUUCUAAUCCUUAUGGAGUUUAAGAACAACGUCCACUUGGAUUUUCUAUACUAGUUAGCCGCAGAAAAAGACGAAAGCGAGCCAAAACAUGUAAAUCAAAAAACAAAAGAAGGGAACAUCCACUGUUGAAAUACACUUGCAUCGUCGUUAAACAGGAACUCAAAAACGGCACUAUAGCAUUGGAAUUAUGGAAUUUGAAUGGAUUGAGUACAUCAAGAUGAAGAAAUUAACGUAAUAAGAGAUAUUCUCAAAAGAUUCGGUCAUGCCAGAAACCUCAGUGUGCAUGGCACUAAAAAAGGGUACAAAGAACCUGAGAUGCAAGUAAUGGCUGAAUAGCUGGGGAAACACUAAAUAAAGACAAGUGUCAUCCGGACUUACUUGAUUGAUUGAAUCGAGAGAUGGAAAUGCCAUUGAGAGAUUAGAAGGGACAGAGAAAACGUCAGAUAGAGGUCGUGCUUCUGCUCAGUCCAAAAGAACAAUCUGAGUGAGGAUAAGGUGGUUUAUGUUAGGGUCCGAGAAAGCAACUUGACAUGCCAAUCCUAACAAGAAUUCCACUCUUUCUGGUCAUGUCAGAAACCACCUCUUGGAAAGCAGAUCGAAAGCCAAUCGUUUCAGAAGAUGAUGACCCUCUUGUGCUCCUACGUUCCUGCUAGUUGGUGGAUGAAGAAUAGGAGACAACUUGUUUGAGUAGAAGAUAACCCGCGAGAAGGAUGUUUUGUAGCGCUUUCUCAUACAAAAGGAAAAGGCGUCACGAAUGAUCGAUAAAUAAAAGAACCGCAUCGCUGUCGCCCACCCCACUUUGGGCACGGGGAGGCGAGAACCACCGCUUUUAGGAAAGAGGCCUACAAUUUGAUUCUCGUCUCGUUUCACUUGCAUUUUCUUUCGUUCAGUCUCGUUUUGAGAGUGGAAUCGAACCACUCACUCCGUUUGGAUUUCGAGUCCAAAGGGCCCAGGCAGCGAAAGAGGAUUUACAGUCCCAGCAGCCUGCAAGAACCUUUUUCUUGCUUGAUUUUUAUACAAUUUUUUGAGCAACUAGCGCGAAAGCCGUUGCGCGUUAGCGCAUCCGUUUUCUUGCUUGAUUUUUAUACGAUUUUCUGAAGUGAUCUGUCCAACUAAGUAGAAAAGGACACUAGAGUGUGGCUACACGUGGUACAGGGCUGCUCGUCCCGCCUCGUGUUGAGAAAUGACAUCCAAUCUUUCGGUACCUAGAAUAUAUUCUUGGUGGAUAAACUUAUUUUUGAUCAACAUCAAUGGGAGAUCUGAUGUUUUAGAAUGACCUUCCCCCGAUCAGAGAAGGGGCUUUGUCUGGAACAGAUUGAGACGGAAAGCGGUAAUUAAUCGCCGCGUGGUGGAACGCUUGUUGGAGAAGGGUAAGCGCCUCCAUGUCGUAGGGGUGGGUAGGCCAAUAGAAGACUAGGGAACUUAGCCUAGCCACUCAGUUGUGCCCCGAGCCAAGUCUAUUUAGUGUCAGCUAACACAUACCACUAUCUAUAUAUUGGUUUUUAUUUUUCGUAGAGGUUGCUGCUUAGGUCCUUGGACCCUUCCUUCAUGAAGCUUGAGGAAGCACUCACUUUUCUAUCCACGACAUUCUUGGUUCUGCACUUAGUCUUUAACCUGUGUUGGUUUGGGACAUCAAUCACAUUCGUCAGUGGUGUGUGCCACGCACUAAGAUUGCUUUCUUCUUGCUGUCAAAUCCCAGUCUAUCGUUCAAUGAGCUUCCUUCGCUUGGAAUUCAAAGUCCAAAAAAAAGAAAGAAAGCGUACUGUGAGGUAUGAAUGAUCAAAUGUCUACGGGUGUCAUUGAAUAUCAUGGGGUACGAAUUUCUAAGGUCAUGGCGUAGGGUAUUGGAUAGGCUGGUCUACUGGUCGAAGUCAUUGCACGGUGUGCUACGGACAACUAUUGUUCCAUGGCAUUUCCUUUCUCUCGUCAUCAGGCCAACAUACACAAGGCUUGCCUUCACAGGGCCCCACCUUGACUUUCCAUCAUGGCUACACUCUUUUCAUCAAAGCAACUCUUCUUAAGAAGACCCCUUGGUCCCCACAACGAAGUUCCUCCAUAGAGAACCCAACUGCACAGCAGCAUCACAAAGGUUUCUUCGUAACUCGAUUAGUCUCACUCAAGAGAACUCAUCUAGACGGAAGGUCUUUUAAGUGCCAGUUGUACCCGCACAGAAGUUCUGCGCCCUCAACUACACCAGGAUGCCCCCUGCAGUAGCAUCACAACUUUUCUCACCAUGGACAACUCGCUAGUCUUCUUGCAUCAGCCACACCUAAUUACAAAUGACCUUGGCCUCUCCAUGCUCAUCAUUUACAUUUAAACUGCACACCCCCUUGUUGAGGUCUUACUCCAAAGGUACGGCCUCUAGCACAUGACCAUUCCUCACUCAAGUCAUCGACACCCUCGUCGAUGUACGUGUUGAAAGAAUAAAUUCCACUAUCUCUCAAACGAAAUGAGAUUUUUGAACUCCUAUAUAACAGAGUUUCAUUGAUGCCAAAGGGGGUUUUCCUCAAACGAUUGGAACCAGAAUAAAAUAAAAUAAAGAAUGAAAGAGUCAAUCUAUCUUAGUCAAGGCGCUCGCUCUGCCACAAAGGGAGGCACUGGCAAAAUCUAAAUAGAAAAGAAUAGUGUGGUUCAGCGUUGCUAUCCCCCGGUCUCCCCAAUCAAGGGCUUAUAGCAACCUCUAUCAACACAACUAUCCGAACACCUAUUGCUUGCUUUAGCUCCAACUACUGCUAGCUUUAGCUGCAACUAUCUUCCGACUCUCUACUUGUUCGUUGCCCGACGCGGCUCUGCCUCUGCCUGUUUUUGAGCUCAAUAAAAGAGAAAGUUUCAUGCCAGUAUGGGCGAAAACCAUCAAUUUUCACAUUCCCCUAAUAAAUGGGUGUUUUUGAGGUCCUUUUUCCGAUCAGUUUCAUGCCAGUAUGGGGUCAAAGUAUACAAAAAUCACAUUCUCCCCGUAGAACGCUGUUUUUAGAGCUCUCCUUUUUUGGAAAAUUUCAUUGCGCAUAGUACGAAAACCAACAGAAAUCCCACUGGCAAAGGUGUUGUGCCGGUUGCCGACCGGGCGAUCGACCAGCUUCUGACCACAAGCGUUGGUCCAGUGAGGUGAGCCACGACCAGAACAGAGCUGUUACAAAGGAAGCCCACUCCCUUAUGUUCUAAUGGGAAAUAGGACUAGGAUCUGUAAUAGUUGUAUCUGCUUUCCUUUGGUUUGCAUGGGCACGUGAUACAUUCCUAGCAUGACGUUGGAACAAGCAAGGACCCAGCGUGAUGCAGAGGGCAAGCCCAUCCCGGGUAACUUUGUAUCCUGACCCAAGCCGGAAGUUUGUCGAACUUGUAGUCUAGGACAUUGGUAGGGAUCCGCAUGGGCACGCUGAACAAUCCGAUGGCCACCCACAACACGAAACAUCGGCCCCGCUCGUAGCACUUGCCGAUCAUCCCUAUCUCUACCGGGCCCGUAUUCCCCACCUCGCUAAUACUUAUUCAUUUCUUUGAAUCGAUAAAGAUGGGUAUCCAUGCCUCUUAGUUCCGGGGAGAUACUGGUUAUGCCAGUGUGGACAGGUUCAAAUGGAGCAAACCCGCAAGAGCAUGGAGCAUAGGAUUUGAAUUAGCCCAGGAGGCGCGGGCGAGCAACUAAAGCCGACUUCCUUCCACUGAUUGGAAUUGGUUGAAAGGAAACCGGAACUGGAAGAUUGACUCGGGGAAACAGGAAAUCCUUAAUGCCGUGGGAAAUCCAUUGAGUAUCCAAGGAAAAGGCAAGCUCAAGGUAUUCUCCCCAAUCUUUCCCUUUCGGUCAGACAUCACUCGUCAAUAGGAUCGGGUGGGCUGGACACAUAGCCGGAGAUAAGAAAUGGCAACAAGGCUCAACAGAGCAGAGAGACAAGAAUACCUAUAUAGAGACAUGAGAAAGAAUAAGCCAAGGACAAAACGAGAAUUCCGCAUCCGGUGAAAGCUGAAGUCACAUAGGGAAGGGAGUUUCUGCAGAUGGAGAAAAGGGAGAUAUCACACUGUGUGUGAUAGGUUAUUAGCUCGAGGAUUGAGAUUGGUAUAUGGCAUUCAGGUAGUCCUUCUGAACUGAAAUCAUGGAAAGACUAGGCUCACCAGGCAGGGAAAGCUAGAUAUAGCCUAAAAAAACCCCACUUACGGAUUCACAUACUAGUUGGUAUGUUCAUCAAGUUCUUGAUUACUACUUACGGUGCCCACUGACUCCCUUUAAUGGUACGCCAAGAUAUCGCUCAUAACAACUUCAAAGGCAUAUUUAUUAGCCAGCUGUGGGAUACUGCCCUAAAGGUGAUGUUCCGGUGAUUAGGUCAAAAUAGAGUUCUUUCUACAAGAGCAUCUCAAGUUGGUCAUGCGUCUCGAGGAGUGUUUCGAUAUCAGCAAGCACAUUCUAACUAUCUAUAAAUGGCAUUUUGAGGUGAGAGAGAGUUCCAGCAUAUUACACAAAAGAGUGGGUAGACACAUGCGUUGAGGCAUUCCCUACAACAGGUGGAUAAAGCCGUUUCUAGGCCAUAGAAAAACAUAGCAUGUGACAUUUAUUUACAUAGGACCAAGCAUAAUCGUUUUAGAAAAGAAUCAAUCAGCAUUUGAAAGGCAAGCACUUCCUUCCUUGAAUCCUACUCUUGCCCUAAAAAGUACUAACUAAAGCCAAAUCGAAUGAAAUAUGCCUCUCUAAGUGAAUAAGCAGAAGUGAGCCCAAUAGAACAGAUCAGGAAAGAGUUUACUAAGCUAUCGCGCGUAGUAAAGAGAAUACCAUAUCUAGUUCCUGGCUAGCUCCCAUCUUUGAUGCAUGGACCCGACUAACCGGAGAUCGGACUCGUGUGCUUGAAUCAAAAGAAAAUACCGGUAUUCUGUUCCAAAUUAGGCUUGUAAUUAGAGUUACCAAUGGUAAGGAUUGGCGUGGGUUUAGAGUGGGUAGCCCGCUCGCUAUCUAUGUCUUUCAUUCCCAUGGAUUGGAAAACAUCUUACUCGCAAUGGGGCGAAACUUCUCAUCGUCAGCCUAAGUGAUUGUUUCUGUAAGCUCGAGAGAAGUACCCUUGAUUGGGUGCUCCGAACGCCCUUUGGGAAGUGAAAGUGAAGGUUGAUCAAUAGCUUGAAUCAGGACGAUGCCACUUAGAAAAGUCUUCUUUCUUCCUUUUCAUUGUGACUCAAAAGCCACAAACAAGGGUUACUAUUCAGGAGUGGAAUUGCAUUCUGUACAAUGGGCAUUUUCAUUUCUCUUUCUGUGCUAUGGAUAUGGUUGACUUCUGUCUCUCGACAUGUAAAGAAGCUGAUCAAAAGGAAAUAGUCUUCCAGAUGGCAAAUAUAUGAACCAUAAACCGUAGAUUUACCACCAAUUGUGACUCAGGGAGAUGAAAGGUAGAGAAUGGCUUAUUCGUAAAAGAAGGCUCCCAGCCAAAUAUAGAAUAGAAAGGAAGGGGCAUCCCCGUGACAAAACCAGGUGGUGUUACUUUCCUGCUUCCACCUGAACCUGCUUGCAGGCCUUAUAGAAAAGUCUUGUAUAAGAUAACUAGCUUGACAACAGGAAUUCUCUAACUUACUUGUAGAUAACGAACUUGCUGAAGGAGGUUAAGAUAGUUUUCCGUUAAUGGGGAGAGAGAAAAAGAGUCCUCGCUUUCAUAAUCGGUAAUCAGAGUCCAGGCUUCCAAAAGCCAUAUCUUACGACAACCUCUGAACCGACUAACUCAACAGCUGGCCUUAGAGAAACUGUCCUAACUUAUCCAAGUAGUCCUAAUAAAUAGCCAUGAUGAAAUACUCUUCCUUUCCCUGCGGCACUCGCUUGAAGGACUCGAAAGCUGACUAAUGCUGAUAGGAAAACAGAGCUUCCUUCAAACGCUGAUCGAUACCAUCCACCAGAAGAAAACGUGAUCGCAACUACUUCCCGAAUCAGCACCUUAUGGAGGCUUUGCAUCUGUAUUUGGAGCUGGGCAUGCAUCCAUUGAUUCUAGCACUUGGAGCUUUGAACGCUCGAAAGAGAAAUACAAUCUCCGCCCUACAAGUGGAUUGAUAGGUUCAUACAUCUUGUAGUCGGUGCAGUUCUGGGAAGGAAUGGGCUAGUAUGAGUUCUGGUUUAGUCAGUAGUUCAUUUCUCCCUUCUUGUCCGCAAACAAAGCAAACUAGAAACCUGCUUUUGCUGAAGACAGUGCUCAAUGAGAGGAGGUGGGCAAGUAUUAGUUAAGGGAUAUCAGGAAGGAGGUCGAAGAAAGGGGAAAGAGCUUCAUCAUCGAUUAGCAAUUGAAAGUAGGGGAAACUAUGAUUCUAUCGCAUGUGCGUAUCCAUUGGGGCUAGUGAAAGAUUACGGUAGGGGAACCCGUUUCACUACUGACUUCGUGUAUGAGUGACAAAAAGUAAGGGCAGAAUAGCCCCUUCAAAGUAGGGGCUUCACAACCCGCUUCUCUUCCUUAAUUUAGUGAAUGGUGGGUGCGCAAAGUCUUGAGUUUUGGAUCUGUUACGGACAAAAGGAGAAGACAACCAUUGUACCGUUCCACUACUUGAAUCUACGAGGACUAGUUUAGUCGGAUCUAUUGUUUUACCACUCACUAACAGGACUUUCCUGCUUAGGAUUGAUAAGAUAAGAAGAUCGUUUUCUUUAUCUUGCUCUGUAUAAUAGAAAUAGUGUACUAAGAUAAGUUCCAUUAAGUUAGGGCUGGUUAGUGAAGUUAAGUAAGAGGGAGUUCUAGUUAAGUAUGCCCAUAGCUCUUGCUUCUAAUUGGUUAGCGCAGGAUACUACUCUCCCCGUCCAGUUCUAGAGAAGAGAAAGGUUGCGUUCCUUCUUUUCUUUCAGAUAGUGGGAUGCGUUGAUCUGCUGAAUCAAGAAGAUCAAGUCCUCCCGGGCAAGGCGAACCUAGUGGUUUCUAGUUCAGUGCAGCCUUUUCCUCAGAGCUAUUUGACAAUGGGCCCAAUGAAGACUUCUUCCCCCCGAGGGAAAGUCGAUACUAGUUUCUGGUCUGCUUUGGAGAGUAGAAGUCGAUAUUUGUUUCUGGUCUGCUACUGAACUUCGCAUCGCGCUAGGUGAGACGAGAAGUGCCAGCAAAGGCCUCUGUUACGGAUUACGGGAAACAAGCAAACAGAACAAGUUUGAUAACUUACUCGGGUGCCGGGGCCUCGGAUGCAGAGGUUCCAGGAAGGAGGAAGGCUCGUUUCAUUAUCGAAUAUCGUGUAGAAUUCACUUGCCCUGCCUUUUGCUAGGAAUCCUAUUGUUAUGCUUUGGUCGGGUUAUCCCAUAAAUCAAGGGCCCUACUAUUCUAUUAUUUUUUGUUCAGAUCUGAAAGGACAGAUAGAAAGCUUAAACCCAGCUUGUGGGAGAAAGAUGAAUCUUGGCGAGAGUAAGGAAUCGCACCCUUAGCGUGAGGGGAAUAGCCGGUUUCCUUUCCUUAACUAGACUACCUUACGUUAGCUCGACUGGGCACGUCAACGUAUGUAUUCUGUCUUCCCAAUCAGACAUUAGUCAUUGCAGCUAUUUCAUCUGGUCUACUAGAGUAGAGAGAUCUCUCACUUCACUGCACAUCGCACUAACUAAUAGCUAGCCGCCUCACAGAUCACCUUAUUAUGUGCAGCUAAAGCGGGGUGUGUGCAUUGUUCAACUAGAGCCGAGGAGGACAAAAGAAUAAGGAACAAUAGGUUCGCUACCCGAUUUCAAUAGUUUCCUUGAUUUGAAAUCAAUCCAAUAUCCUUUCGAGAAUCUAGAGUGAUAUCAACAACCUCCUAGUUGACGUACAGACGAGGAAGCAGCCUAUUAGUUUCGGUCCAGUCCAGGAAAGGAGCAAAGCAUAUUGAUAUAGCUUAGCAGAGCUUCGCCAUGAUAACAGUUUGUUUUAACAAGUAGUAGGAAUCCGUGCUGAUGUGCCAAAUCAAGGUUUUCUCCUUGAUCAAUCGACUUGCGUGCUUCCUUUCAUCUGGCCAACGGUUCCUGUUUCAUUAGCUAGAUCUGUUAUGUCAACCUCAGAGACAGAUGCUUAUGUAAGAAGAAGGUAUCCCGAGGGGAACAUGUCAAGUAUCUGCCUCGCAUCGAACUCUAUUUUCUGUAUGUUAAUGAAAGGUUUAGACUAAAGCGGGGUAAAGGAAUUUGUCAACUCAUCAGGCUCAUGACCUGAAGACAGCAGGUUCGAAUCCUGUCCCCGCCUAAUCACGUGUACGAUUCAAUGAAAUAGCUAUUUGGAGUCCACUGAUGAUUUGCUAAUUGUUUGAUGAUCCUUGACUAGCUAUAUAGACCCUAGGAACUUGCAUGUGCUAUUACUGUUGUAUAAAGGAAAGGUGGCUCACGUUAGCACUCUCCCCUAUUCCUACAGGAAGGAAGAGUCCAUCAAAUGCAAGUCGCUACCAGUUUCCUAUUUUGGAUGAAUACCAUCGCACCAUUUGACCUCGAAGUAACGAGUACUCAAGGAAUCCUCUGGAAUUCCAGUCAUGAUGAUCAGGUACCCGGAGUACAUCACCCUCAUCAGGAAGAAAAGAGAGAGAAGUGGAGUAAAAUGGAUUCAAAUGCCGCAUUGCAAGUGAACAAAAGAAACCAGUGGAAAUAGAAAGAGAAUGAACAAGUGUAUCAAUUCAUGAGUUAAGGAAUACUAUUGGGAAGAUUGGGUGACUAAUAUCCUGAGAAAACGAUCUCUUGCUUCCCUUGAAACAUGCUAAGAGGACCAUUUCGAUUAGUGAGAAGCUCAGUUCAUGGGUCAUGACGACAGAUCAUAUCGUGUACCAGUGCACUGUUCUUUAGAGAUCUAUGUUCAGUGAACAAGAAUGUAGUUAGGGGUGCUACUUUAGUGUUAUUCCUAGACUGAUGAAGUGAAGACAUUAGGCCUCGCUAAUAGUGGACCAACUAAGAAUGUUUGUUUCUCUUUUCUGUAGAUAUCUCGAUAUUCCUUGAAAGACUUAUGAAUGGUGGCGAGGAUGUGGAAGAGCUAGUCCUAUAGUCCUUUAAGCUUGAUUCCUUUUAUCGGUUAGCAAGGAGUUUGAAGCUUGAGUACUUUCAUUCAGCUUUCGUUCCUGUGGAAUGAAGUUGGUCCAGAGGUCUCAAGUAGAUCUUCUCAGACAGCGAGUAAUAUCUCUACUACACUUUCCUUCCACUUUAUGUUGAGCAAGUUCACCUGUUAGCUUUCCCGCCAAAGGACAGCAAGUCAGUAAUGUGAAUCAUCAUAGUUUUUGUUUUCAGACAAGUACAACGUCCACCUUUAUCAUAUUAGCAAAUAGCCGAUCUUAAGAGAUCUCAAAUAAGGGACAUACUUUUUCGUAUUUUCGAAUGGAGCAGAAUAGUCAUUCAACUGAUGCUUUGAAAGUCUUAAACGAGGCGAUGUGUUUAUCUGUCUUUCCUCAUUGCAUUCCUAUACUUUCCUGCUUAGUAUCAAAACCAUCUAUGGUACACUAUUUUGGCUAGAACUUGAUUUCUCUAACAACUCAAUAUGACUUUCUUUUUCGUGUUGAGAAACAUGUUCGGAUGCAACUUUCAUUGAAAAAUAAGCAUAAUGAAUUAACUGGCCAAUGGAAUUUUAUGAAAUGAGGGCUCUCAGGAAAGCAAGACUUAAGGAAGGUAGGCAAUUUCAUACCAAGAAGAGCAUUUAAGAACAGCUCAUAAGCAAUUCCAAGUGGCAGAGAUGACUCGAGGGACCUCGUCAGAUAAGCAAAUCCUAUAGUAAAUGUGGUACCUGGUCCAGUCAACUUGGAAGUAGAAACUCACCACUAGUGGGUGUCAAUUCAAAAGUCACUUUGUGGCUAACGCUUCUACUGCUAUCGGCGGGGCUUACUCUCUCGUGGUUCAUUUCCACUGGAGAGCAUCUGUUUGAAUAAUUAGCGUAUAUAGUUGAUCACUCUAAUGACAACGGAUUCGAUUCGCAAAUUUCUCGUGCUUGACUGAAGGAAAGGUUAGCGACUGCUCUCCCUACGGAAUCUCAAGUAGAUCCAUUGCAUAGCUGGCAGACACGAUGGGCUCAGGGUUUCGACUGCUGUUCAUUCCGAUCUUAGGUAUCGCUCAGCGAAUUCAGAAGGGUUGGGUCCUUUGUCAAUGACUAACUUUCCUAGUAGCAGAGAUGCAAGAAUAACUACUCUCUUCUGCUAGGCUAUUCUUUGUUUUUGAAUCCAAGAUAAGUCAUUGCCCAGGGAAAAUCUAUAAUGAGCAUGAGGUAACAAUUGCAUGUUGAUCCGAAUCAAUCCGUAUGCUCCCAUCUUUCAGAGAUUCCCGCUAAAAGCAUACAUGUACUGUCCCGUACUCCGAUUAAGAAAUAAAUGGAACCACCUAGACUUUGGGAAAGGGGAGUAGCGGACCUUAGGCCGAGAUGUGCAAUCCUACGGCACAUUCCAGUCAUCAAAUAAAGGAAAUCGCAAUCCUAAAUCCGGAAAGGUAUAAUGAUUUAGGGCCUGGUUUUACUAGAACAAUACAUUCCCCACGAGAGGCGGGCAAUGCCCACUAGAGACUAAGAAAGCAUGCCUGUGGAGAAGAGGCGUAUGCCAAGUCAAUUGGUCCGAUUGUACAGGAAGAUCGAUACUUGUUUCUGGUCUGCUUUAGGCAGAGGGCAGAAUCUAUUAAUUGAGGAAAGGAUUGUUAUCCUACAUACAAAGGAAAGAAUACCCGGCAAAGUCAUUCAAUCUCCAAUUCUUCCUCACCUGGAUCAAGCCCAAGGCGAGAAAUACAAGCUUCUUUGCUCUCGGCCUAACCGGUCUUAGCUUUUCCUAUUCACGACUCCGAUCUUUUUCAUCCGUAGUUCUUGCUAAUGUCUUCACUUUAAAGGGAGAGAAGGAACCCGAGCCAACAAGUCGUUCGGUUAGAAAGCGCUAGCGGUCUUACUUAGCUUAGGAAAGAUGCCAUUUCUCUUGUUUUAGCCAAGAAUGAAUUGCUCAAGCUGAAUCAACUGGUAGUCUUUCCCUGGCUUGUAGUUUCAGCGACCGCUGUUCUAUGUCUAGAUUUGACACAUCGACAAGUUCCUCCACUCACAGAUCCACUUUCUUUUGGGGCCAUCAAUAGAAUAGUUCUGUUCUUUAGCCGAUGUUUUUCCUUGCCGUCUAUAUCCGAGCGGUUCCCUUUGGCACAUUUCACUUGCUUUGCUACUACGGUACCCACAUUCUUGAAAGAAAAAGGGAUGGAUAGUUGCCCUUAGGAGACACAUGGUGCCCAUUUAUCCAUAGAAUAGGUUCAAGAAGAUGAAACGCAUUGAUGUUAAUGAACUUGAGGUUGAAGUUCUAGUAAUCUUAAGCAUAGGUUUAGGUGCACAAGUGGUAUACCAAAAUACUCGUUUAACUACUCCGCAAUGGGACACCCUUCUCAAGGUGGGUCCCCUUUCGUACGACCUAUUCUCUCUCUCUGAAAGUAGCAAUAGAAGAAGGAUAGCUUCAUGAGUUCGUUCUGACUCCUAGUUCAAAAGAUUUUGCUUCUGCUUGGGAACUAUCUUAUCCCGAGUCCUCUGUGGAGUGAAGGAAGUGAUGCCAAUUCUACCAGGUCCGGUACCCACUUAACAACGGAUUCCAUUUCUCUUGACCGAUGGUGUUCUCCCACUAACUUGCUAAGGAAGAGGCUAGUUCGCGUGGACGCUGCCCUACGUGGUGUUGCUCGUUUUUAAUGACUCUUAAAAUAGUUGACUAAUGAAUUCCAAAGGAUUUAGGUAUUUGACUAGCAGUCAUCUUCAUCAGGUCUAGAUAUUGCUCUGAAUAAUUGUUCUUUCGCUUGAACCUAUGGAUUGGCUUAAGCAAGCAUGGUAUCUUUGGACCAGACCUCGAACAUCUGCUUCUAUAGGAGUUCAUGUGUGUCAACAUAACUAGUUUGAUCCCCCUUCCUAAAAUAUACAUACAACUCUUUUCUAUUCUGAUAAUAAGUAAAGUCUCCCUCCUCCACCAGUCGACGAGCCUGCGUGAGAAUCUACGCACUAAAGCCAUACUGCAGGAUUGCCCCCCAUCAUUCCAGCUUUAACUGCCUAUUCGGCUUCAGUAGUGGGUUUCCAAAGGCGCUCUUCCCAGAUAAAAACGGUUUUUAUUCUAUCCACAAGGACUUUUGCUCCAACUAUAUUGAGCACGAAAUCCAAGGACCUUGAGUGACCACAAAGCCGAAGGGCGAGAGCAAACGGAUCAAUCACUAGAGACAACUUUGUUUCUUGAUAACAAAGAUAGCCUGCCUUGACUUGAAUUGAGAUAAAGGAAGUAUAGGUAGUACAUUGAUAUCGCUCCGCAUUGAAUUGAGAAAAAGCAUUACCGGAUUGUGGAGGAUCAAUAGACUCUGCCGUCGAUAGACAGAAAGACGCUUCAAUUGCCCAAAAACUAUAGAAAUUCAUUAGCUAGAGUUUGCUUACAACAACUCCUAUCACUCUAGCAUCGAAAUGGCACCUUUCGAAGCACUCUACGGGAACCUUUGUCGCACCCCGAUUUGUUGGGGUUGGCACGUACCGACCGACGGGGCCACAAAAGAUGAAGGAGAGUGCCGAGAAGAUUCCACUUAUUCUAGAUUAAAAGUAGUUCAGGACCAGGUACGCCGACCACGAUAUUUGGAGUUUGCAGUAGGUGAUCUUGCUUGACUUCGGCUUGAACCUACAAUGGGUGUGAUGCGUUUUUGAGUGAAGGAUUAGGUAUAGCUGACCGAUACAUCGGACCUUUCUUGGCCCACAUCCCCCUAGCCCUUACUCCCUUGUUUCGGUGGUUGGUCUCUACCUUUUUCUGUCUGUUGGCUAGUUUGUCUUCCUCUUCUUUUUGAGGGUAACGUAGUAAAAAUCCUUUAUUUCAGGGGAUUUCCCUUUUCUUUCCAAAUGAAUUUAUGCUUAGUCUAAAAUUGGUAAAUACCAAAUAAUAGUAUAUAUAUAUAAUUAUUAUUAUUAUUAGAAAUAUGUACCAGUUUCCUGAAACUAACAAAUAGAGUUAUAUCGAUAUAUCGGAAUAAGUACCCCUUUUGUAAUAUACUUCCGCAGAGUGAAUACUCGCUCAAUGAUGAACCUUCAAAAAUGCGAUAUGCCGCAAUAGGUACUAGUAUCAUUAUAGCAAGUUAUUUGACUUCGAAUGCAAUAAUUCCGCUAACAUCCUCUAUAAUAGAUUGAAAAAUAAAUGAUCAAUUCUAUUCCACGAUGUAUUCCUAGUUUGAAAAGAGAUGAAUGAAGGGCAUGAUCAUUAUAAAGUAUACCCAUUUUUAUUUAUCCCAGCUGGGUUCUUGUUGAAUACCCAUAGAGCUCGGAUUCCGACGAUACGAGCAAAAUCUAUGAAAGCAUUAGGAAAGGGACACCCGCCUCCAUUUUGGAUUCGGCCUGUUCCAUCUUUUACCUUUGGGAAAAUAAAGGGAUUGGAGCCGCAAAUCCUUGUUGAAGAGGAUAUCGAGCACAAGAGUGAAGAGUGAAGAGUAGAGGGCGCAUUGGAUGUGCGCUCCCUAUGAACGAUGUCCCACUAGAAAUGGAUCUUCGGAAAGAAGAGUGUUUCUCUUGAUAUUUCUAUUCUAUUCUAUUUCUAUAAGUGAAUUAUUGAUCAAGAUCAAAUGGAGAAAAUGUAGAUGUGAAACUAUGUUAUUUGAACACCUUCUUCCAUGCUAUUGAAGCUGGCAAACAGGGGAGUGAGUGAAGAGAGAAGCCAUGCCUCUUUCGAUGUGAGGCAAGCGAUGAACGAGUAGAUGGUGCCCUUAGACCAAUUUUCUCUUUCGGUAGCUGACAUCGAGAUUGGCUAGGCUAGGAAACCUUAUUCGAGACGAUAGGGAUGGUAAACAACGCGAUGGGGUAUACAUACGAAUUGGAAUACAAAUGAAAUCAUUGCCUAUAAUGAUGAACCCGUUAGCGUAUAGGAACAACAUCAUAUGAAAGUUGGGUGGAUACUCCUAUUUAAUUGGUUUAACCAGAAACAGAGGAUAGGAUUCGAAAAGUCAACCGUGCCCUAAUCCUUAUUUGAGUUCAAUACCGCCACUACUAGUAUUGGCAUUGGUUCGUAUGUAUACAUUCGUAUUGGCUUAGCGGUGCACUUCGUAUCCCGCCACAUCCGAUCCUUUGCUUUGCUUCCUUCUUACUUUUAUGAUUUUAUUGACUACUCUUGUGCAGCUGGGUAUAGUGAGUUGAGAAAGGAGAUAGUGAAACUUAACUAGUCUUUGUCAUGGAAGGGAGCAACUUCUCUCGAGUACGUACAAUACCGAGGAUUUACGAAUAGGCUAACGUUACCAGUACAUAGUGGAUCUAUGAUAGUGAUGUAUGGACCACACCAACCUCUCUUUCUAGCCGUAAUCGAUAAGAAAGGAAGAAAUAUCAUGGCAUGUGAAAGCAAUAAAUCCAUAAUAAAAUAGGUAAAGAAAGGCAAAUACUCCGGGGUAAUUGGCUUAUACCACAAUGUUACUCUGACAGUAUCCUUGACAAAAUAGUCUUGGCUUGUAACCCAGUAUUUAUUGGACAAUAUAAUUGGCUGCCGAAUACGCGCGGCUAUCCUGCUAAUACUGGCAACCAAAGACAUGAGGUUCUUCAUACCAACAUAAUCAUUCUCCCAGUAUUGGAAACAUACUUUUGUAAUAACAUGAAUGUCUUUAAUCUCUGUGUACCUUCCUAUUUGCUCUGUCAGCUCAUUAGCUGCUGCAAAUAUUUCUUAGCUAUUAGAUCCUCUUUCUUCAUGGUAGAACUCCAAGACAGAUGAUAGCUCUUGCUUGUCUUCAUGAAAAAGUGCAGAAGCCUGUAUCAAUGAAGAGUAGGCCGGUACCAGCAGAAGAUAGUAAAUAGUGAGGGAAGGUUGGCUUGACAGGCUUCGUUCUGGAUGUUGUAAUCUCUUCUCAUGGUCUUUGUUCGCUUUAUUAUCCCGUUGUGAGAAUGGCUAGGACUGUGGAUCCACACGCCCUCUAGUCAGUACUUUCCGAGUAGCGCAAGGCUUCUUCGUUGGCAAACAAACGAAUUAAUGAACUAAUUUCCUAAUAUGACGUGAACUUGAACUAGCAUUGAUCAUGUCCAUGAGCUCAUAAGAAGGAGUUCUUCACGUGAGAAAGUCCAUGGCUUAGCUUAAUUCAAUAAAAAAGAAAGUAUCCAAUCGACUUUAGGAGCGCCAUAUGUUUCUAUCUGAAAUGGUAAAGCGAGGCUCGCUAUAAGGGUCAUAGCUAGUUCAGGAUUGGUAGGAAAGUAAUACAAAUGAUUGUAAUAUGACAACCCCCAGGGGAGCUAGCCUUUGUGUUAAGAUUAAAAAGAAGAGCCCUCUUGUCAUACGACUCGGUGAUUCCAUUGCUCUAUCCGGCCACAAGAUUCGAUCGCGUACAACACGUGCACGAGAUGGGUUGGGGACUUAGAAAUGAGCUAUGCUCCAAGAAUUGACCCCUGAACUACCUUUGCCCGCCUUUUCUUGUAGAAUCCAUUCCCCCUCUUUUACAUAUUUAGAAUGCUUUUAGGGCUAGUGGAAUGAGGCUGGAACCCAUCAAUAUCGCUAAACCGGGAGAGUUGCUUGUGUUGGGUUCAAAGUUUCGCUCUACCAAGGCAAGAUAUAAUAGAAUAUGCAUCCAGCUUUAGCUGAAUAUAGUGAGUGUUCAGCGAAAAAGAAGCUAUCCCGCUAAAUCUUCCCGUGGGGCCAAGGUUUGUUUGACAUAAAGAUAGAUAAGUGACCUUACUACACACCCAUGGGUGAAACUCUCACUCCGAUUUGAUUACCAGGUUGGGGAUAGGCAAACUACUUAUCAAUGCAUUUGUGUUGCUCUGGUGGCCACAUAUAGAAGAGUUGUUAGUGAAGUUAGCUAGAAAGGGUCCUCAUUUCCCUACCAUUCAAUCUUCCACCUGCCAGAUUUAUCGUCACUAUUUUAUUAUAGUGGGUAUCAGUAUCCAUUGGAUAAAUCCCUCCGCAUAACACUUCAGCCCUGACUUUUAUUGAUAAGACGAAUGUCUAUUCUGCGUGGUUAACAAGAGUUUUCCGAAUCAUCUAUACCUUCUCAGCAGCCUCCUGGACAAGAUCCGGAGCACUUCUCCCGAUGGACUUAAGCUCUUAUGUAGUAUAUAGUGACUGUAAGGAAUAGAGCUUAUGUAUAGUGCCUGUACGGAGCCACCCACCUCAAUGGUGAAAUGGUAGCAACUAUUGUGUUGUAUGCGAACUCCCAGCUGAUAGGCAAGAGAGGGGGCGGCUAGCAAGGGAAAGGAAAGCCGUAUCUUUGGCUAAAGUAUGUCAUAAGACAAUAUAUCAGUGGUCUAUACUGCCUGAAUCUGAGCCUGAACUGGUGCUGCACAUACAUGACCAGGAUAAUAUUAUUCUCCACACUUAUAACACAGACCAUUAGCCCUUCUCUUCUAUAUUCCUUCAACUAUUUUGCCCCUUGUCGAACUUUGACUGAGACAUAGCCUUGCUGCUGCGGGGCAGUCGACUUAUAAAUUACUGUCCUUCUUGUUCAUGUAGUGCAUGCCUCUCUCCAAAACUCCUUCCCGCACUUGAUUGAGCAAAAGAUGCAGCUUCACUAAUUGAGUUAGGCACCUGCACUUCCACUGCAGCUCUGAGUUCAUUCUUCAGACCCAAAAGAAAUUGUGUCACCAGCAGCAGUCCUCCUACAUUCAGAUCAUACAAUUUAACCUAGCGGAGUGGAUUCAACUACUUAAGAUAUUCUUCCUCAGAGCCAGUCUCCUCUCUAUCAUCAUCUAUCGUCUAAAUAAGUAAAUAAUGAAACCGAUAUAGAUCUUGUUGAGGACCCCCAUCCAAGCCAUAGGAAAGAAAGCCACUGGAGUGCGACGCUCAAAGCAAAAGUAAGUAAUAGGGAAACAAGGUUCUAUUAGGCUUGCAGGGCUGUUGCUCUUUGAAAGACGAGGUCUAGUGGAAGAGGCGGGUCAGGCAAGAUGAGUACUCAGAUUCGGCGCUUGCUUGACAUCUCUCUUUGAAUCUGAAACUUGACAUGACCAUUGAUUCCGCCUCCAUUGCCGGAAAGGAUAACGAUGGAUCUUUAGCUAGCUCAUAGGCAGAGGAAAGGUAUACGUUAACAGAUAAGGAAAAGUGGAUCCGCUACCAAAUACGUUGUGGAGCCGUGUUCUCUAGGGAGGUUUGAGGGUUCUUGGGAUGGGUUCUAUGUUGCUGCCCAUUCAUUUCCUAUUAAUAAGAAGAUAUGUAAAGCCAUUCAUUCUAUUAAAGAGAACUUCUAGUGGCAGAUUUUAGAUGGUAAUUCGGUGCGAUUGUUAUAAAACCCUUGGCUCGGUGGGACUGCAUUGAAUAGAAGGCCUAUUCCUAUGAACAUGUCAGAGCUGUUGGAAGGUUUGUCUCUCUCCCACUAUCUCAUUCCUAACAGGGAUUGACAUAUUUGUUUAUUAUCUUUUUUUCUCCCUGAUGAGGUGGUGCGAGAAAUUUCAGCUGUACCAAUUCCUAGAAGCAUCUGUUCUGAUACUUUGACAUGGGGGUCUUCUGUUCACUCUGACGAUUAGGAUGAAGGAAGUAUACAGGGAGGUCUGCCAGCCAUUUAAUGAGGAAGGUGGUCUUCAUUUCUCUUGCGUAUGGAUGCUUAAGGUCAUUCCCUGCAUUCCAUUUUUUGCUGGAAAGCUUAUUGGAAUAGACUUCCGUGCAGAUAACGAACUUCUUGUCUCAAGGAAUUUGCUCCCAUUGUCUGAGUGUUUUUUUAUGUUUGUGAAGGGGUAGUGGAGGACAUAGACCAUGUUCUGGUGAAGUGCACAGUAGCUAAUCAAGUGUGGAUGGUUGGUCUCCCUGAACUCUUUGAGCUGGAGCUUUGGACUCUACGAGAUAUUGGGUGCUUGCCCUAUUGAGAGUAUCUUACAUUCUCUCUUCAUCACACAGAUAGACAAAUAGGCAAUCCGAUAGAAAGAUUAUGGCUUUCUUACUAUCAGCAAGCUCCCACAGGCGAUGGACUGCUUCUGACUUCUUCAUUCGGUUUGUAGCCAUACCGUAUAGAGUGAAAAAUGCCUUUUUUGGAAGUAGCUAGAUUCAAGCAAGCAUCCUAGCAAAACGAUCUUUUGACAAUGGGCUCUGCCUAACACUGGGACUGACUGACUUUAUACAGAGAUAGAAAAGGCAGCAAUCCAAGCUCUUUUUGAAUCGGAUAUUGGAUAGGCUAAGCUAGGUGUAGCUCGCUUUCUCUACGGUUUUGCUGAACUUGUCAAGCCCGGGGGGCCUUUAGGGAAUUUUGGAGAACGAUAGAUUCUAGGAUAACACGACACUAAGGUUCAAAGGGAUGGCAUGGGUUAAGCAUCUUACUUUGGACCUUCGAGCUAAGUUAUUUAAUAAGGGGCUUCUCCUACUAAUUAAUUGGAAAUCCUUUUUACAAAUAUCCUCCUCAGAGCGCCCUGUAACCUUACCUUUUCUGAAUGGUACACUUUAAGACGUUUGGAAUAGAAGAAGAGCAGUCGUCGAUUGAUUGAAAGUGGAUUGACGGCAUUCAUCAGUUGAUUGAAAAUGGACUUCUCUUUUCUGAUCGAGCGAGGUCCCUUUUGGGCUUAAAAGUCCUUUGAGCCGUUGAAUCCCUUUUGUCUUGAUUUAGGAGAAUAGGCGCAUUGAUUAGGUUACGUGGUUUGAGAAAUCUGCAGGAAGUUUCUUUUCUAUUUAUUAUAUAUACCAUUCAUAUUCAAGUAAGACGGAUAGGGCAUAUUUGACUAGGAAGCAAGCAAAGCAAGUCCCUCCAUACCAACUAGCAGUCUUGUUUAGGGAGUAUCCUUCUUUACUGAGUCAGGUUCCCGGGUGCCUAUGCGAUUAUUAAGGCAGGGUGCUACUGUACCCGUAGUAGAGUGGCUUGAAUCAAAUCGUUUGUCUAGAGAGGGUGUAGCGAUAACCAAAGCUGACUGUACUAGAAACUUGAGAUCCUGUACAGGCAACUGGCCUUAGAAUAGUGUAUUGAACUACAUGACAGGAAUGACCCAUAAUCAUUGGCGAAGAAGGCUUGGAAAAGGAUAAAACAUAUUGAAGAGAAGCUUUCACAAAGGCCAAUAGCCGAUAGCUGAUGUCACUAGCCUUAACUUCUUUAUCUACUUGAAAGUUGAUGAGAGUACGGCUUUCUUAAAGGAAGUGCCCGUGCCUAUGAUAUUUUUUCCUAGUAAAGUAAAUAAAAUUGGAUUCGCCUUUUUCCGUAUAUAUAAAGGCAAGGGAAGCUCUUCGUCGAGAUUCUUAUCCAUUGAAGAAAAAGACAGACUGAAACAUUAAGACUCAAACCUGCCCCUUUAUUAUUAUUAGUAAGUAAGAUAGGUUGCUUGAGCCAAUCCUUAAAUCGUGGGAGGAAAAGGCAUAAAAGUGAGCCCACCCGACUAAAGGGGAGAAAUACAGAACUUCAAAAUAAUCGAAGAGUGGUCGGAGGUUUGAUAACCCAAGGCAAAUCCACUUCACAUUAUCUUGUUCCUGGUCAAGCUCCCGUACCCGCUCCUUAGUCCCAUCCUCCUCAUCGAAUUAAAGUAACGUAAGGUUUCAUAAGAAACAAUUCAAUAAGCGUAUCAAAGAGAAUGAGGUCUAGCACUCCGAAAUACCAUCGAGAAAGAGCAAUAGAACAAGGUUAGAAUAAGAUCUCCAAAAUGGGUGGGACAACCAAAGGUAAUUCAAUGGAUAAUCGGUCUACUUAGUGCGUAGGCAGGCCCAACGGUAUCCAAUCAAUGUAGUCGGCAGAACAAAGGAAACAUGAAUGAGAGAUAAGAAAAAAAUAUAAGUACCGAGAGGAAAAUAAAGCUCGAAUCCAUAACAUUCUCCACGCACCCACCAUUCAUUAGCAGCGACCUUACCACACAUCAUUACCACCAACCAUUUCACUUGAAUCUGUAGCUUUGCUACCUUCGCAACUAGAGGCAAUGAAGAUAUUCUUCCUUUAUUUGUCUUUCUUGGCAUCAAUAACAAAAAGAACCAUAGGUGCACCAACCAAGGCAGAGAUUGGAGAUACUACAAUUGGAGUGCAGUGACCAUACCCGAGAUAGAUCUGAACCGACGGUUGCGGAGAAUAGAAUAGGUACAACGGAAAACCAUGGGAAUAACGAGAGGGUACGUAGGGAACAUGGCUGACCAAGCUCCUUUUUCUAAAGAUUGCAAAAAUUGGCCGGUGUUCUUCCCAACUGCUCCAAUAAACGUGCCUACACCCCAUUCCGUCUAGAAAAUGAUAUGAUUGACCGAUAGUACUUAUGAAACCCGGCACUGAACUAAGGGUUUGAUUUGCGACCUCCUGAACUGUUCGCAUUGCUCUCCUCAGUUCAAGGCUAUGAUGAAAGUUCAGAUUGCCUUCCUAAUGUACGGAAUACGGAAUUUAGUCGAUGCUAAACCUCUGUUCUAGCUGAGACUAAUGGCACAGAUUUCUAGUGCUAUAACAGAAACUGCCCUUAACGCGCAAAUGAAAGACCUCACAACACUCUUUACCUGCAACUGCUCCCGCUUAUGGUAGUAGAUAAACAGGUGGUGGACAUGUAUCUGUAGCCUCUGCUGCUGGUAGAUUGACUGUUUUAUAUGGACUGAAAAAAACAGAGGGUAGUGCUUGAGAAUGCUACUCUAUUCCUGGAAUUAGCCAUCCCCUUCUUUGACUAUUCGACCUGCUCCUCGAAGCAAGGAAGGGAAUGAAGAUGGCAUUGAAUGCCCUUUCCGCAAGAAGGAUAGGAGUUGGCUUACCGCAUCUACCUUCUCAUCGCGGGAUAAGGGCUGGGGCGUUAACUCAAGUACUAAAGCUGCUGGAGCGGCUGCCUUCGUUGAUUCCCCACGAAGGAAUCGGAAUAUCGCUACUUCCCCUUACUGCCCUAAGCGGGGGAGAUGGAUUAAAAACCUUGUGUGAAGGAAAGGCUGUCAAAGUCGUUGACCAUUAAUCCGGUUGAAGGACAAAUGGAUAGUGAAUCAACGGAAUCGAGUUGUUCUAAGGACUCGGAUUCGGCAGUCGAGACAUCUAUAUCUAUGGAAUUUCAAAAGAGAGAGAAGGAUCCGAAUCUGACCCGAGGACGAGCUCAAACCUUAGGGUUUGAAAAUAAGAAGUAAAUCUCUCGUUUACUUCAAUCAAAAAAGGUAGGUCAUAACACAUAUUGAAUUAGACCUUACUCAAUCACUCAUCGCUGGAAAAAGUAGAGCGAUUUCCUCGCAAAAAAAGCACGAGCGAGAUAUUCUUCCUUAACAGGGAUCUCAAUUGCGGGAAGAAGUACAAAGGGCAAAGGCAGAAGUGGAAGGGUCAAACUCCUCUAUCGGGGAAAGACAAGAAGGAUAAAAGUGUAAAAUCACUUGUUUAAAACAUCUAAAAAAUAGAAAUGGCUAUUAGAAGUUGUAUUUUUGGUGGUCAAAGGGAAGGAAUCAGAAAAGAGGGAAGCGCUCUCAAGGUAGAAUCAGUUCCAGGCAAGUAUGUCCAUUGAAAGGAAAGAGUCCCUAAACAAAACAGACAGGUUUUCAGCAAAUAAGACGGGUCCUGGUCUUCGGCAACAAAAGAAGCCGAAGCGAGAGCUCGAACAAAGAACCUUUAUAGAUCCUCAUCAUCCUCAGGUUCUGGAUACACAACGAGAAGGGAAUCUUCCUGUUCGAAUGGAAGAUUUUUGAAAGAGAGGGGAGAAAUCAAUCACAUGCGUGAGCGGAUCGAGCUAUUAUAUAAUAAGUAAUGGCUGAAAAAGCUAUUCUUGGUAGAUCCACUUGUCAAGGCGCGGAAAGCCGCGUUCCUUCUCAGCUCACGCUUUCCUGAUUGAUUUGAAAGACCCUACACACCACCAUAUGCUUGGAUUUCUUCCCACUUUCAAAGAAUUUGCUAUCAUUCUUUCGAUUCUAUCUCCUCGCUUUAGGUCUUAUGCUUCUUAUUAAAGGGGUUAUGCCACUCUGAGUCCAUCAGUGUUGAAAGAAUGGACAGAGACAUGCAAAUACAAAGUACUAAUUUGACUACCGAUAGAGAGCAGAGCUAGAGACAAGAUGCCUAGGACCUGGAGGAGAUCCAUAAGAACCAAGUUGUGGAGAAGAUAGCAUCAAACUGGAGAUAAUAAACCUAACUCUCCAUGCUUUAAUCGAGAAUGGAUACAGGGUCGUCGAGCGAAACCUUUAUUAGGGGGUAGACCUACCUUGUUUUGUUGACUUAUUGCUUUCCAGCAAAGCGUGCCGGCCCUAUCUCUAAAGCACCAAACUUCCACAUUUUAGGAGAUGCCCUAUCUUCCCUUAAAGAGCCAGCUUAUUGAAUAGAGCUGUCACUCCUUACCUUACCUAAGACCCCUUCGGGAUAUCUUUUGAAAACCUUUUCUCUGAAAAGAAAAGAUGUUUGCGAUCCCUUGCCCGCUCGAUUAAAGAAAGUGGGAUCUGGCCUUGCAUUUUUUAGAUAGGGCUCCCUCACGGCAUUCUUGCUCUUGCAUUUGAAAGUCGAAUCAGGAUUCCAUCUAGAGAAAGGUUCCGAUUGGAACUAGUGAAUGUGUAUGCCGAACGUAGGCAGGUAUACCUGACCUUUGAUAUUAAGCUAUGAUCUCUCUUCUCUCUCUUGAAGUUCCCACAAAGCGACUCUGAACCUAAGACCGGGUUGUGGGAUGUCUUUUGAUAUUCUAAACUAAGAAAAUCGCAAUUGGAUUUCUUUUUAUAUCCCUAUGAUAGGAAAUGAAAGAAAAGGCCGAGCUUAAGCCGAUCCCAUUGCGGAAAGAAAAGAGGCUCUCCCAUUCCCACCUGAUACGUCAAAAGCAAUUGACUAAUAGGGGAACCAACCAGUCGAAUUCGAUUGAUUAUGUCACUCCGCAUUACUAUAAAAGGGCAGCAUCUUUCUACUAAAAUGGGCUUUGGCACUCCUUCCGCUAUUACUCGAAAUAAUAAUAAUAGUGAAAGGGUAGUCGAAUUUGUGACUACGUCAAAGGCUCGUUUCACUUGAAUUUAAAGGCUCUAACUCCUACUUAUUUAUAUUAAUUAAAGCUUGCCCAUGGCUGCUUUCUUCCCGUUUCUUUCUUCUUUCCACUAAUCUAAUGGUUUCAUUCUCCCAUCGAGAGGUUACGAUACUAGCAAGAGUUCUAUUCUUCUCCUCUUGAUCCUACCUUGGGUUAUGUUUGACAGGGAUGGUCAGUGAACUUCUAUUGGUUUCAGAGGAGGAUAGAGAUCCAUUGGGGAAGGCUCGAAAGGUUAUUCGAUAUCAAGGUUGACCCUCGACGCGCCGCAGCCACUAUUUUUACUCCUUUUAUGCAAUUAUGAACGAAACUUUCUUGAUUCCAAUGCAACUUAUCCUUUUGGAGUUGACGUAACAAACUACGCGAGCCUCCCGAUGAAGCCAACAGAAAUGCUAUCCGAAUACUAAAAAUAAAAGGCAAUUUCAUUAUGGUGGUAUACCAGCCGCCAGUUCUGGAACUUCCAGUUCCAAUCGGAGCAUAUAGAUCCGUAAAUGGAUUUGUAUGUAUAGCCACUUCAGUCGUGCUCCUCGUUUCUCGAAUGAAAAAAAAGUAUCUUCUUUCUGGGAACAAGCUAAACCAGAAAUUAUUACGUUCGUGAUUCUUCAUCCACCGAUGCAGAAAAUCUUCCAGUUUUCCAUUCUCAUAUGAGGCAGGAAAGUUUAUGGGCAACAGGUCGGCAUGAAGUGAUUCAUCAUGUUCAAACAUGAACCUUUCGCUCGUUGGGGACGGUUUAUAAAUCAUCGAAUUCCCACAAAUGGAAUGAGAAGUGGGUCCAUGUAAAUGACCGAGACCUCACAAACAACAACGUUCCUUCCCCAUAUGGAGUUCGGGACCCAAAGGCAAUCGUUGAGUGAAGUGUAUCUUAUUCGUAUUAGUUGACCUAAGCCGCACCAUUAUUGCAGGGGUGGGGCUCGGCCUCCGAACCGUACGUGGGACGAGUUUCUGCCUCAUACAGCUCGGGCCGAAGACCGGGGAAGUUGAGGAGAGAUGGGGAGACCGAACUGCUGCCGGUCGGGACGGACAGGAAAGGGGGCGGGGUAAGCUUGUGAAGAAGCAAGCUUAUUGCCCCACCCCCCAAAAACAAACCAAACCCAGCAAGAAAAUGUAUCCGCUUUAGCAACAAAGCGCUCAUCCCUUGCUUGCUGCUUCGCGUUCUUUCUAUUCCAUCCCAGUCCAUUCCGGGAUAGGCGACUAAUAUAAUAUGUGCAGUAGUCGUCGUCUCACCAAUCGGCCCGGACACCAGACCGCUUGUGCUCGCCCAUUCUGUCUCGCCCUAAAUGGAAUGGCUCUCUUAGUUACGCUGUGCCCCGACCCGAGUCCCCACGUCCGCUUUUAUCCGCCCGCAACCUGGCCAACACAACAUUAGGGCCGUCCCCCCCCAUUCUAUGCUGACCCGGGCCGGGGCUCGCUUUUUAGGAAGCCCGUUCCCACCGCGCUCACUGCCCGGCUGGCCUGCCAGCGGUAGUGGGAAUUCUCCCGUUCCCUGGUCAAAAAAGGUUGGUUGGAUGCGGGAUCUACUCCACGAGGAGCGGUACGGACGUAGAUGAUAUCAUCACGAGCUCUCUUUGCGUACCGCUAGGGAUGCUUAACGCCACUUCGCCAACUGGCAUUACUUCCGCUUUCAUGUCUCUCAGUGUGGUUAGCACUAGGUGUUUCCGAGCAGCGAGGCUUACACCCAUUCGCAUUAAUUCAUACAAAGUUCCUUACCCUUAUGCACGAAUUUUGGAAUAAGCCAUCUUCCUAUCAAGGUUAAGGAGUCAACUGAGCAUCUCAGCGGCGGGAUUGAAUACCCGGAUCGAAUCAGAGUUCACGCCGCCCGCCCUGAACAAAUAGAAUAGGAGGCGUGGGCCACAAGUCGCACAUAAGCCAUCGGGUCGCACGACAGAAGAACACCCAACAUAAAGAUGCACACUCCUCCAUGUGAAAUAGAAAGAUUCAUCUUCACUUUUUUGUAGUAGUCGUGACCAACGGCCAUCAGCAGUCGGCUCGUUAGUAAGGUGAGAGCUUCAAGCCCGCUUUCUGGUGGCACACCCCCCAAACAAGCACCACUCGACGAGCGGGGGGCGGGGGGGGGGGGGAAGCUNNNNNNNNNNNNNNNNNNNNNNNNNNNNNNNNNNNNNNNNNNNNNNNNNNNNNNNNNNNNNNNNNNNNNNNNNNNNNNNNNNNNNNNNNNNNNNNNNNNNNNNNNNNNNNNNNNNNNGGGGGGGGGGGGGAAGCUACAUGCCCAAAACCUUCGACCCUUCUUUCUAUAUGGGGGUGCGUGGGGCAUCUCAUCUUGUCAUUUUUUUGCUCAUUCCCCUUAGGCCAAAGUGUUUGGCCUUUACUUCGGAGCGCCCGCUCACGCUUCGCUGACCUAUCGCGUGGUAAAGAGAAGAGAGUACGAAAGAAUUGUAAACAGAGCAGACCGCAAAAAAAUUCUAAAUAUGACAAGUCCCCCAUGGAUUCGAUAAUAAGGAAAUGAAGAACGGGAACAAAACGAAAUAAAGCAUUUCUAGCGGAUGAGGUUCUCUCCAUUUUGUCUGGUAAUAGAAUAGGGCGGCUUGCUUUGACCAACACUCCACUUUUUGCUCUGUCCAUGGAGCGUAUGAAUUUCCUUAAAUGUAGAUAGACCAAAAAAGGGAAUAAAGGGAUAGGAAUAGGAAUUAUAGUACCAUUGGAAGAAGAGGCACCAGUGGGAACAUCUCUACUGACGAACCAUUUCAAUAGUACAGGUGCUGCCGUGCCACGGGGCACGACCAUGGAAGUAAUGAAAAACAAGAAGUUCUGUAGUUGGACCAUCUGCUCUAUCCGUUCGAUUUGAGCUUCUCCAGAGAAGAUGAGACGAUAAAAAUGAAAGUGUUCGCAACGCAUACCGAAAAAGGGUACCUAUGUUGCCGACCAUUAAUGACUAGUUUGAAGACCAAGAGCAGGGGCACGAGCCAAGAAAGAUUUGUUACUUUCCCUAUGGUUUUCGAACAUUUUCAAUGAAACCUUCUCGUAGAAGUAUUUUCACAAAGUUUUCGGUAAUAUUAGUAGAUGCUAUUCGAACCCUUCCUUUUAUUAAGAUUAGAAUUCUUAUUCUUAUUAUUAUCUAAUUAUUCUUUUUUUUCAUGUAUAUGCGUCAGACACAAUCUACUAAUUGAUCUAUAUUCUGAUACCCUACUAUAUCAUAGUCUCUACUACUAGUAUUUUUAAUACCUCAGGAGCUCAUGAGACUCUUUUAGUGAAAUUCAUAAGUCUCAAUUCCCGAGCGAUCGCACCAAAAACUCGAGUUCCUUUUGGAUUUCCUUCUUGAUCAAUGACAACCGUCAUCAUAUCGUAUUAUCAUACCGUUGUCACGUUUGAGUUCUUUACAUGUACGUACAAUUACAGCUCGUCUUACUUCUGCCUGAUCUUUCUAGAGGCAUUUUGGGCACUGCUUCUUUGAUUACAGCAACAAUAACGUCACCAAUAUGAGCAUAUCAGUGAUUACCAGCUCCUAAGAUUCGAAUACAUAUCAAUUCGAUAGCCCCACUCCGUUGUUAUCCGCUACAAAAGGGUCUGAGUGAGAUGGAUCCUGGAAGUCUGGUUUUUGAUUGGAUAGUGAUCUCGGGCACGAGUGGUUGAUCUUCGCGGGCCGUGAAUGGCCAUGGAAAGGAGUAUUGAUGUCAAUAUGUUCGAUCGAGAAGAUUGGACGAUGAAAGACGGAUCCUUUGUGGUUUGAGUAAUAGGCUGUGGUCUCGAUAUUGGGCUAUGGGUUGAUUGCUUUAUGUAUGAGCCUCUUGUGAUUGGGCUCUCGUGGACGGAUUACCCGAUGUGUACUCAUCUUCCAAAAAAGUGGAGAGGACAGGGCUACUACUGGUCCACGCAUAAGAGCUCCUCUAUGUCUUUCCGAAAAUUACUUUGACUCGCAAAGGUGAUCCCAACCCACAAUACAAUCAGUAGUUUACUUAACUGAUAUAAAGAGUUUCCCCUGCGUGCCCCUACUAUCAAUUGAUAAUACAUAAAUGAUCCGGGGCUAGUGUUGGGUAGACGGGCCCACUAGAAUUCAAGUGCUUCUUAUCGAUUCAAUACGCCCUUAACGGAUCCCCGUGCUUUAUCUCCAUUGGGUGGAGCAAGACCCUUGUCCUAUCUUUUCUUUACACAGCAACAGAAAUGAUGGUUUCCCCUCGCUGCACUUACCAAUGAUAUCUCAGAAGAGAGAAAGACUUCUAUAACUUGCCAAUGAUAUCUAGUGGGCACUACGAACUCCAGGCAUACUGUACUUGACCACCCUACUUUGCUUUGUCCCUAUUAGGCGAAAUCAAUACUUACUUUCAAUUGGUAGAGAGGAAGAAGAGAACUGACACUAGUAAUAGGUUGAUGACUCCUCUUAACAGAACUGACACUAGUAAUAGGUUGAUGACUUCUUUGACUUAAUAGCUGGCCGACUUCUCUUCAUGGAUCACCGUUCUAUAUAGUUAGGCGCAACAUCGCGUUUAACCACCUAUCCCUAUUCCCUCAAUCGAUACCGUCCAACUAUCCUUUUAUUGGGACAGCAGCAUAAUUCUCGUUAGGGACAAUAGUUCCUAUACUUAACUAACCUCUGUGCGCAAUCACUGUUUGACACUUCAUUCUUUCAGCUUUACGUUCUUGACGACUCUGUUUGACGGAGCCUGACCUUGAACUAGCUUUUUGCAACACAAACCACUAUCUUUACUUUCCUUUAGCAAUAGUAUCUAACUAUCAAUUCAUAAGAGUCAAACGGGUGGGUCCAUCCCAUCUAUCAACAGGUCCUGAUACCGGAUCUGGGAAACAAGCAAUACUCGCCGCAAUCCCUUAAUGAAAAAAAAGACCUAUCUUCUCUUGAAAGACUGUCCUUUCCUCGCUUGUUAUUGUGAUAUCAAUGAAAGAAAGCUGGAUACUGACUUCUUCCCAAGAGCUCUAUCAGCCCUGAAUUCCUUAGCCAUACGACUCUUCCUUAGUUUCCUAAUGCUGGUGGCCCUAGCUAGUGGUGAGACGGGGCAUAUACUAUUCUCGGUCUUAUAACGAAGAGGUUGCCUAGUUUGAACCGAACACUAUACUUGAUCUCUCGUCCUAUCACAAACAAGUCUCUUCCCCCGAGUCCUAGUAGACUAGUCCAAGUAGUCCGGGACAAUAGCGUCCCAUCUCUUCGCUGACCCCUGGCACACAAUCACUAUAAGACAAAGAAAGACAAACCUCUCUUAUCCUUCUCGGCUAGAAGUUACAAGUUUCCUGUUCCAGUUUCGGCUUGAGGGAAGUGCCUGAAAUCGGUUCAAUUCUUAUCUCCGAUUUCGAACUCCGGCUGGUUUCUUAUGACCAAGAGCUAUUUUCUUGGUCAGAAGAAUGGAAGGACAACGAGAAGAUGGUUCGGUUGCUCCUGCUGGAAUAUUCCAUUUAUUUAAUACUCCAACUCGCGUAACCCCGAAUGGCAAUGUUGUUAUUGCGGUUGGUCGGAUCAAUAAGACAACAAGGGAGUCAGAAUAUUCUGAUAAUAGCAAAAAGGGCUUUGGAAUCUAUGGAAGGAGCCUUCAAUGCUUCUCCAGUGUCAACCAUUAGUCGAUAACAGAAUGAAAUGCCACAAUUAAGUUGAAAAAGAGAGUCAUUAAAAAGAGGCAUGCUUGAAAAAGAGUACAGAUAAUAUGUUAUGGAUGUGAGGAGCCUCACCCAGUACUUUUCUUACUAAACUAAAAAACUCUACUCUCCUUUCACAGCCAACCCACCCAUUGCUUUUUCGAGCUCGAUAAAAAGGAAAGUUCACGUGCCAAUCCUUACCAUUGGUAACUAUAAUUACCAAGCCUAAUCUUUCACUAAAUACCGAGUAAAGCAAGCAAGAAAGAGGGAAGGAGCAGCUGUUUUCGAGCUAGGCUCGAUCCCUUUUUCAUCCACUUCUCGCUAUUUUUAAUUCUACUUGAACUAGUUCUUCCUAAGUUUAGUGAGGUCAGUACUGCAUCCAUAACUAGAGGACUUGCUUUUCUGCUUGGCUCCCACGGGAAGUUGGAUUGGAUAAGAGGAAUUGAAGCGCAAGGAAGGCAUUCGGUAUUCAAACAACUAUUCAGAGUUCCCAACUCUGGGUAAAGGAAAUCUGUACUUGACGACUGAACCAAAUCCUUUGCCUUUAUUUAUUCUAUUAUUUUUAUAUAGAUCAGCUAAAAACAAAACAAAAUACUACUACGUUGGGACAAUGACCCACCUUUCUCUGCUCAACCUGUCAUCUUCUCUCCUCGCUCCCUGGGACAAAUAAGACUAUUCAUUAAGUGAUAAACAAGAGAAACUAGUGAUAUUAUCUAAGCUUCUGGCCAUGUCUGAUUGGCAUUCAAGUCUGCCUUCCAUUGCUUGAAAAGGCCUAGCACCGUAAGUAGAAAUUGGCUAUGUCCAAACUCAAACGUCGUAUUUUAUCUAAGCACAUGAGUUAUAAUAAGGAAAGAAGACAUAAGAAUGGGAAGUAUCCGCUAGUUAUAACAUAGUAUAAAGAUAGCUAUUUCAUGGAUCUUGGUCACAAUAAAAAGAAUCCAAUAAUGAUCUAUCAACUAAAUGAGUUUAUUAUAUAAUCCCGUAUCUUCAAGGUUGUUAAGAUGAUUUAGUAGAUGUGUCGGUAUCGUUUUCAUCUGCCGUGGGGAGUGACUGCUUUGCUAAUCUAUCCUUUUAUCCUUCUUUUCGGAGACAAGCACAUAUUACCGUAACCUAGUGAUUAAUAUAUCCCGUUGGUACUACUUCGUCGAGCAAUCAAUCCUUUUUCCAUUCUUGUUCUGAGGUUGUCAGCUUCCUCCGAUGGCACCACUUGUACUCUCUGUCGGAAUCUGUAGACAUAGUUUCUGGGCGUCUUUAAAAACUGAUCGACAUAGUUGUCACACACAAACCUGCGCAACGGCUUUGGAGUAAAAGAAUCUCCUGCCUGGUCACACACAUCAUCUCGAGCACGGAAUCUACUACUCUAACAAGAUACUCGGCUCGGGUAUAUCAUGCUUUCGUUAUGCGAGGAAAGUGAAAGGAAAGAGGGAAAGGGAGACACUGAGCAAUCCGGAAUCGAUGAAAUCACUGUUUUUCGCCUUGUAAUAUGUCCGGUUACAUUCCAAAGAUGAAUCAGAGCAGGAGAUAAGAAUUUGAAAAGUAAUGAUCAACUUUAUGGAUCCAUAGGUAGAUUCACUUGUGAAGCUAUGGGAUGGGACAAGAUUCAAAAGUACCAAAAGUAAGUUAAGUGGGACGCUGAGUUCAUUGCUGCAAUCGAGGGUCCAAAGCUUUGGGAGAAGAGGGGAUCUGUACCUUCAUCUGAAAACUAUUCGCCGGUUGUCCGCAUUCCUCUCCUCGAGCGAAAGGUGUUCCCACGCAAUCGCUAUCGCUGUUCCUACGACGUAGUCAAUACGCAUUGGAAUAAUGGCAUCCCCUCCACCAUAGUAAGAAGUAACGGGUCUACGCCCUGCUUCCUUGUUCGGUUCUGGUUACGGGAACGGUUGACUUUCGAAAUAAAAUACCCUUCUUCCCUGUUUUGCAAAUUCACCUAGAGCUAGCGAAGCGAGUCCGUUUCCUAAGGACGAGCGAUGAAGAGCUUUUUAGAAUUAAAUAUUGGUCUACGCCCUCCUUUGAUGCCCAGAGGAAGAAAAGCGAAGGCAAAGCAAUGGCAUGGGCAUGAAAGGCUACGUGAAUAAGUACUUCCCCGAAAGAAAGGGGGCAGUCUAAGGCGGGACCUAUCCACUACUUGUGAAGUAAUAGAAGAGAGGAUUUCUCAUAUCUAGCGGAAGUACCACUACAAAUGCUAGGCUCCGUGGAAAGGACAUCGGCUCCUACGCAUCCUACGCAUUAGCGAACCUACGAUAAAUGAAAUACGAAUUAUUAGCGCUAUUAGGGACGAGCUCCUGCUUCCUCCGUUUCCUAUCCGAUCAGAAAUCCUAUCCUUGCUAAAACCAAUCCAAUCCACGAAAAGCAUCGUAUUGUAACACUUGUUAAAAAACAAAAAGUGUUGUGAAUUCGAUUGAGUUCGAAAGCACAUUCCCUUGCUAGAGAUAUUCCUUUUAUUCAUCCCGGAUUGUGUGAAUGCGUUCACACCUAUCCCGAGUGGGUAUAGUUACGUGGUUAAGUAAUCCCUUCCUAUGCGAGGUUCAUUGUAUGAGAGAACAUAAGGAAAGGCUUGAUACAUCCAUGUCUAGCUCAUGUCGAUCUUCGUGUCAUUUUUCUUUCAUUAGCUUAGUAGGAUAGUCCACAUUGCUAGGAUGUGUGGGUCUAGUCAGGUUGUGACCCUCGAUCAAACCAUCCUAGCAAUGCCCUCUUCUCAAAACAGGCGUUCGAUGUACGGAUCAUCGCCGCUUGUCUUUGGGGGUGGGAUUUUGGAAUUGGAAGGUUUGACAGCGCGGCAAAUAAGUAAAUCUCUUGGACAUAGCUAAAGAGAAAUCGAGAUUGUGUGUUUGGAGUGGUGUAGAUUGUAGAUUCCAGCCGAGAAGACCAGGAAAGAUAAGGAUAAAGAAUCUUAUAUAACUCAGGAGCUAGAUCACUUCCCGAUGAACAAGUCAGAAUUGCCUCAACAAAAAUGGAUGGAAUUGGACCGAAAAAUCCAUUCAGCUUCGUUAUCGAUUAGGUAUCAGUGGGAACAUCAAGAUGAAUGAGUUAACUAAGUAUCAGAUCGACCAAAUUGAACAAAUGAUAGCUCAAGAUCAUGUUGUUCAUUGGGAAUUGAAGAGGGGAGAACGAGCAGACAUCGAACGAUUAAUUUCUAUUUCUCGUUAUCGUGGAAUUCAUCAUCAAGAUGGAUCGCCCUUACGCGGUCAACGAACUCAUACUAAUGCAAGGACUGCUCGCAAGCAAAUUCGGAAAUGAAAGAAGGCUACCGAAAGAACAAGCAACGGAUUUCGCGCUCAUCCCUUGCUAAAACGCAUACAUUUUCUUGCUCCUUGGUACUUGUCUGAUCAAUCACACUGUUCAUUAGUUCACUUGAUUUUUCGUUCGAUGUCUUGAACCGCUUACUAGUCACGUAUACGUAUAGUAGGCCCCCUUCGCCACUCCACGUCUGGCCCGUCUUGGUCUCGCUCACUUCACCCGCCUAUCGUAUCGGCUCGGCUUCGUCCGUCAAGCGACAGCUUCUGCCUCUGACGGCUUCACUAUCGCUCAUGACUGGUAGUAGUUGUCUCUAUGUAGUAGUCGGCCUUUGUUAAGCUUCGCCAGAAGCGACUAGUCGCUUCCCGAAUGCCUCUUUCAUGUACUAAUUAAUGUGUAUGGUCUAGUCUUUCCAAUGCCUCCUUCCUUGCCGCCAACGCACGCUAGAUGGAGAGUAAGCAAGCUACCUUUCUUGCAUUGCAUUCGUUAAACGGUAGCUUUUGCGCCCUUCCUGCCUGCUUCAAUUGAUGUGAAUGAUCGUGUCUUCGACAUCAAUUUCAGUCUGAUUAGAUAUGUCAUUGAAACAAAUCUGUUUUAUCUCUAUUUUCUUGUUGGAUGAUGAGGAUGAGCGAGCCGAUCCUAACAUAAUUUUGGAGGAGUCGGACGACGAAGCCUCAAAAUCAGAUAAAGAUGUCUCCGACGCGAUCGGACUUCCACUAGAUUUUUAUAGGGGUCAGGAGGGAAAACAUAUGCUGUUUUCUAUCAGUCCCAAGCGGAUACUCCCCAUCUUCCACGGUCCGCUUACCGAGGAAGAGAUGCGGGAGGACCCAGGGCCAGAGCAAGUUGGGUUGGGGUAUAGAGCCGUAAGCACGGUGAGGGUGAUAGAGGAUGUGCUCGUACGGUUCAUAGUUGGGUAUGAUAUUCUCGUGGAUUGUUGGGAACGUCCUCUAUAUUCGAAAUAUACCUUUCUAGGAGCAUUACGAUCUGCAACUCAAAUGGUCCCUUAUGAAGUCUCUAUUGGUCUUAUUCUUAUUGUGCGCCUUGUGAGCACGUUUGGAUCCGCGAAGGAAAUCGCUCGGAUCUUCCCCUAACCCAACCCGGGAACGGACCGGAGGGAACCGCAGCAUGAGGAAUGUCCGCGUCUCCUCGCAAGGCUCAUUUUGGGUUUUGGGUCAUAGGGCGGGCAGUGCAGUUCGGGGCACAAGGGUCCUGGUACUACCCAGGUGCGAAGAACCCUGGAGGCGACUGCAAUGAGAAAAAAUGUAACUCACCAGCCUAAACGACGAGCAAACACUCGAACGUGAGAGCAAGGGAUCACCCAAUGAAUGGACGAGCUCAAAGGAGGGAGGAGAUAGGGAGGCAAGAACCAUGCUUUCAGAGAAGUGGCGGUCCGAAUCCACUCUGACAAAAUAAAAUAACAGACUAAGCCGUGCCAUAAGGGGGGCAUUCUCCACACGGGACGGGGCCAAGGCCUUCAUGUAUGGGUGACAGAUCGGCCAUAGGAGCACUCCGGGAUAUACACCAGGGCAACUAAUGUCGAGCAUACAAUGAUGCCGCCCGUUUUCAUUUCGUGAAAGUCCCCGGCAGAGGAAAGGGCUGUAGGUGAUGGCGCGUUCUGCUUCUUAGGGCGUUGAAAUCGUUCCUAUGGGAUCGUGCGUGGCAGCUGGUAUAGAUGAUGAUGAAAGGCGGGCCGCUUGAACCGGGACCUAUUCUCAUAAUAGGCAGCAAGCAAAGCUAAAUAGGAAAGGGGGCGACUGAUGACUGCCUUUUUCGUCAGAAAUCAAAAAGGGUGGAAUGUGGAGCCAAUAUGGCUAGCUACAAGUAUAGCCAAAGAAAGAUGAGACGAGACGGACUAUCAGAGGACGCAGCGGGACUACCAGGGGAAAGCCCACCCCCUCUAGCUAACAUAGAUAUCUAUUCUCGGUGCGCAUAUUCGAGAUUUAGAACCUCUUUCCGACCAGGCUAGGCCGAAUCGGGCCACCACUUGGGAUGGGAAUGGCUCAGCCCACAUGCAUCAUUUGAUGAAAGCACUCCAGUCCAGUCGCCUCCGAUCAGUGGCUUGUCAACCACCGGACCGUAGCUCCUCACCAAAUGCCCCUGCGUUGGGGCAAAACAGCACAUGACCAGUUCGCUCAAGGACCACACCCUCUCGAGAGCAGGAUGCCGGCCGAGAUGGAGCGCUAACCUAGACUUUCCUUGGGCUUGCCUUGCCCCAACAUCUAAAUAAAGGGCGGGCGCCGAAAAGGAAGCAGUGACGCCUUUUCGACGAAAGCUUAGCUUGGUAGGCGCAGCUUACUCACCCUACUCCCUUAGACAAUGCAAUGCUCUGAACACGAAAGUUUGCAGUUCCGCCCUCUUCUCCCAUGCAGAGUCGCAGGCAGCGCCUCGGAUAAAAGCACGGACGAGCCACAUGCAGGGAAACUUGCACGUGUGGUUCUGGCCGGGGACCCCGGUAUACAGUACUAAUAUGUGUAGGUCCCUGUAAUUCGAGUGAGAUUGUCAUGGCGCAAAAGAAGAUAUGGUCCGGUAUUCUCUUGUUCCCCGUAUUGGUUAUGUUUCUUAUUCCUCGUCUAGCAGAAACUGAUCGAGCUCCCUCUGUUCUCCCAGAAGCGGAAGCUGAAUUAGUUGCAGGCUAUAAUGUAGAAUAUGCGCGGGAUGCAAUGCUUAAUAGUUCACUGUUGGCGGAAGCCAAUGUCUCGGGGACUCAUUCUGACUUAAACAAGGGGUGGGUCUUUACCAACUUCCAAAUCCAAGAUUUAGGGAAAAAAAAGAGGGGCAGGGCACUCUUCAUUCUUCAUUCGAAACUCAUGAAUGUCGGGUCGGAGGUUUUUGCCUUGUUAUCAAAAAGGGGAGUUGGGUAAAGCAAACUCCCUCCUUGGACGAGCACGGGGCUUAGUCAAGUAGAACCGGGUUGCGCUGCUUGAUGCUCCGAUUGAAAACAAAUCAGUGGGGCCAUGCCGGUACGACAAAAUAUGCGUUAGAAAUGUCAAUCCCUCCCCCCUUUUUGAUUUUUUUAAUGAAAAACCGGGCCGAACUUCUGAAAAACAGCCCACCCGCUUCCAUAGAAAAAUAUCGCGGCAACAUAGACCUAAGUGGAUUUAUUGGAUCCUAGGGAACCAUCACAAGUACGGCCAGCCUAUAGAACGAGAAUGCCGUGUCGUCCAGCGGAGUUUAGAAGAAGGUGACUCGGAGCCUAAGGAAGGUGACUCGCGCAGACAGCUGACUCCUUUUCAAUAGAAAGGAAUAGCCAAACCUACCCAACUGGCUGGUCAAUCUCAGUGAUCUUAUCGGCUGGCAAAGCGGAGACGACGACCACGGUCCCGACCUUACCAGCACCGUAGGUUUACUAAUCAAUGAAGCCCCUCAACCUACUAUCUUUUCUUACAAACUAAACCAAGCCUAACCAAACCCCAUGCUCACGACAUGUUCUUGAUAUUGUUUGAGUAGGAGGGACUCAGAGACUACCAUGGAAUGCUUCCAUAGUCACCCCGGUGACCUUCGUCACCAAAGCGUCACGACAGUUUCCAAGACCCCUCAUAUAAUCUCCAGUGGGGAUCAGUCGGAGCACGUAGGAAUGCCAACCACUACAUAAGCAACGUCUGGCUGAGGCGAGCAGCAAGCGGGGGAGAGUAUUUUGAAGUACAAGAACGUUGGGGUGGGACGCUAGUACUUAAACUAUGGUUGCAUCUUAGCGCUAAUCUUGCGUUUUUCAGCAGUUAGUUGUAGCGCGCCUUCCCUCCUUCUCUCAUUUCGGAAAGAUUUGGCAGUAUUUUCUUAUGAUGACCUGGUCGAGAGAGUAUGAAACAUCGGUGUAAAAGAUUGAGUGGGAUGGUUAUAGUAAGGGGCGAACCAAGUGCUUGCACGAAGAAGCGAAUCAAUCAGAAUGGAGACAAGGAAAGGAGGAGAGGCGAAACUCAACAAAAAGGGAAAAGGGAACUAGACUGACUAUCAUGAGCAAAGCGAGGGAAUUCCUUCUGAUUGGAUCCCUUAGGAGAGAGACAGAAGGUAUUAUGAAAUAGAAUCAGAUCUUUGACGAUCCAGUAUUAGCUACCAAGUGUAUGGACUCAGACUUUGAUGACUCCCUAGUGGCCAGGGAAGCGUUAGCUUCACCCUUUGAACGUCUCAUUUACUCUCUCUAGCUCUCGGCUUUACGUAUAGGAAUUUCAGGUACAUUGGUCGAUGAAAGUGAACAUCUAUCUUAUCUUAUCUUACGCCACUUACUCUAGUUUUACUUUGUGGAAGACGUCUGAUUGAAUGAUCUCCAGUCGGUUCUAUUACCAUGUGUACCCAGGCCUGCUUCCUUCUUUUUUACUAGCCUCUCUGCUUCUGUCAGUAUAGAGGAAAGUCUUCAAUCCCUUGAGAGAAAUCAAAAAAUGGCCAAUAAAAGAUACCUAGCAUGACACAUCAGCUAUGCCAUCCGAGCCUGUCCACUUGCUAGUCAGGAAAAAUAACCGCUCCGUUCCGUGGGCUUCUUUCGCUGCUCUCUUCACGCUCGCUUUACGAGUGCAACCAAGUUCAAUAAACUGUUCAUGCUAAUUCAUAGACUAUGCUGGUUUCUAUCUAAGAGUCCUGUGAGACGCUUCCUUCUCAUACACAUCUGAAGCAACGUUUGAUUAUCCGCAUUAGAGAGUUUUGCAGGUCCUUGAGAGAACGUUAUCCAAUCAGUUAUGAUUUGACCAUGGUCUGAGGUGAAAUUGGUCUUGGUCCAUAAAACGAAAGGUGCUGGGCAAGCGCAGAGAAGUCGUCUGAAGGGGAGUUCCAUAGGAAUGUUCAUCUUCGAUCAACCUUGGUUUGGUCCCAUGCCUAAAAAAGAAAUAAGGUCCAAAACAAAAUAGGGGUGAUAUAACCCACUGCUCUCCUAAGAAUGUACUGACGUAAUCCCUACUAUGGCUCCCCGAAGGAUCCAGCUGCUAAGAGGGUCCGAGCCAUAACGGAUUGAUGUGACCGUAGCGGCGACUGGAAUCGAUCUGAAUGAGGCAGUUAUGGGACUUUUCUUAUAUAACAAUAUAUAUGGAGGAAGGAUUCAAAAAAGGUGGGGGUCAAGGUGUAUAAUACGAGCUCCACUUUCACGCAAUGAGCUAGCUUAACCCUGAUUGCUUAAGGUUUAAUACAGUCAUGUUGGAUCUGCUACUAAGAAUGGAAGAGAAAGACUGAUUGCGACAGCUCAACCGGAUGAGACAUCUCUUAUUUACAGAACUGUGCCAACGUGUGCCUACAUUGUUUGAUUUACCAGUUCCGGGUAUUGGAUUUUGGAAUAGAAAGAAUGAAACUAGUACCAGCUUAUCGCCAACCGUGCUUUCUACCAACUCCGCCGACCCCAGAUGGGAAUAUUGAUUGCGAUUUAGCCGCACCUGAGCCCGCAACUGCUGCCUCUACUCCGCCUACUUCUUGUGCCGACUUCGCUAGCCUCGCGGGGUACCGAUUUCCUCCUGCUUUGUGUGCGUGCCAUUGACUCCUUUAAUGGGUCGAAACCUACUUAGUUCUCAUUUUUAUUUUGUCCAUACAAGAAAAGAAGGAUUUGUGUUUAGCAAGACAGAGAAUUGAAUAAGUAAAAAUAAAGUAGUGUGUACCCUUUACCGAAAAGCAAAUAUGACAGAUAAGGUACGACAUAUUGCUUAUUCCUGAUUGAUCUAGUUGAUGAAAGUUGCCUUGUUGGACCGAUUGUGGAUUGGAAUAGAAGUUUCUUAUAUAUAGAUAUUCGUGUUUACUGAUUUCGCAUACUGGGAAUGGAACUUGAUGUAACCCAUUGGAAACUCUCUUUGACACUCAUUAUCUGUUAUAUACGACAGGCUAAUUAAGUCCUUAAAUUUAAGAAAGGAGUCUUUCCUUACUUCCUUACACAAAAUUGUUAUGUUGUUAUGCUGCUCGUGCAAUCAAAACUUAGAAUAGAAGAAAAAGUGUUCCCUCGGGACCCAUCCUCUUCUCCUUCGCUUGUGUGACUAUCAUGAGAAGAAUUCCAUUCCAAGAAGUCAAAUAACAAGAAAAAGAAACGAGGUCAAGAUCCGUUGUUACCAGUACCGACGAAAUGGAGAAAGUGUCCUCCGGGAACGCAAUCUACUACAUUAGUUGGUGUAGCCAAAGAAGAGGAUAUCCCCUUUUUUGACUCAUUGGUCUUUAGACCAGACCCAUACCAUAGCUACAAACACUUUUGAGUCGGAGGAGACUGGCCAGAUCGCCUUCUCGAGGCUCUCUGGGCUUAUCGGACGUCAAUCUGUAUAGCCACUGGUCCCCUUCUCCUUAGUCGUUGGCAUGGACGCCAUUCUUCCCAGUGAACUCGACGAUUCCUUCCCUGCGCGUUCUGCUCGACGACGAUAUGACUGAUAAUCAGAAGCGAGAGGCUCUCGAAACUAGUCCUACUUGAUUCGAUCGAUGGGAGAAAAAAAGGUUACGAGCGGCAGAGCACGCACAAGUCUAUCAACGUCAACUCAGCCACGCUUUGGACCGAUCCUACGAAUAAGAGGCAUUAACAAAGCAUUUAUGAGACACCAUACUUUCAAUAGGAAAAGGCCAGCUCGAAGAUCAACGGGAUCUUUCUCCAAGCUAAGUUUCUACCCCCGAGGGAACCGGCCACGAUGCGUGGGGGUAUCGGUGCUGAUAAACUCAUCUCCGCUCAUCUUACCUGGAAAUGGAAAUAAAUUCUGGUAGAUUACCUACCUCAUUUGAGAUGAAGGAAUUUCCUACUUAAGAUUCAUAUGCCUAUUUUGUUGUUGAUGUGGAGGAAUUUGUACUAGCCUACUCGAUAUGUUCCUUGCCUGGUUCGCUAUAGGAAGUGCUUUCAGCAAAUGAGGAGGGGAAUAUUCAUAGGUAUGAAUCUUCCGUCAAUGGUUAAGGUUGAAGUGAAGGAAAACCUUCUUUGAAUUUUGACGCCUAAUUAUUUAGCUCUAGUAUUGAGAAAGAAACCAUUCAUACGACCAGGUCGCAGGAAUGCUUCUUCGGCUUACAAUUCCGAGUCAAGAACCGUAACUCGAGCACUUAGCCCUAGCUCUUGCUCUUUCCUUCCUUGCAAUGGGCUGCCUGUGUGCCUACUAAUAUUUACCUCAAUGGUGCGCUAACUUUAGAAUUAGGAUUUGCCAAAUUCAUAUUAGGGGGGCUAUGCAGCAAUUCGACCACUAUUACUGCACUAGAUAUGUCAGGCUUAUCCUAAAGAAAUUAUGGCUUCGCUUCUCUUCUUCCUGGUGAUGGAUAUAGUCUCGAUGGCUUUGCCCAAGUAUGGCAUAAAAGUAAAAUAGGAUAUCCUUCAAAAGGGAAUUUCAUGUGUGAGCACCUUGCCUCUUUUAGGGAAGGCUAUUUACCAAGUGAGUCUGCGCAGCAUGCUAUGAAACAUAAGAAUCAUUUGGAAUCCCAUUUGCACCCGGAUUCAGCUUCUUUCGAACUAGCAAAUGCACUUUCAGAGCCAACAACGGAUCGGCUUGGCUCAUUCCCCAUCUGGGGAAGAAAGAGUACCUAGAUCUGCAUCUACUAAGUAUGCCCUGAAAUUCAUGUUAUGAUUCGGUCUUUCCCAAAGCUAGGGCUUCUUUUCCCAUCCCUAUCCUCCGCGUCAACCUGUACCGGACCCAGAGUCAAAACUAAAAAGAGAAUGAAGUCUCGAAAACUCUUAGUUAAUAAAUAUUCGUGUGCCUACUUUGCUUAUCCUUCUCUGCCCCAUUUUAGAUAGUUGGGUAGAGCGAGGGAUAUCGGGGAAGGAAGAAAAACCUCCACUUGUUUUACGGAUUCACAUACUCGUUGGUAUGUUCAUCAAGUUCUCGAUUACUACUUAUGGUGCCCACUGACUCCCUUUAAUGGUACGCAGUCCCUGCCAAUUUAUCAAAAGAAAAUGCUAUCCACUGAGGGCCAAGCGGAGGAAGUGCAGAAAUCGCGUAUCCGUCUUAUCCUCGCUGGAGUACAGUGGCUAUAGAAAGAAAGGAAGAGUUCGAUUGCUUGGAGAAGGUAUUCUUCUUGGUCGACGGGACCUCCCCUCUUCUUACCCAGAAAAGGAAACGAGUCACUUCUUGCGGAACAGUAGAUCCGUUUGUCUUGAUCUACCUAAGCAGGAUUGAGUACGAUGAUGCUCCCUACCUAUGUGUACCUCAUACUUUUCGGGCUAGAAAUGCCAUAUAGUUAAUGGAACUAUCCAUUUUGGUCGAUCUUGAUUAGUAGAUUGCCAACUUCUUCUUCUUCUGAUAGGAAUCUUCCCUUUAUUAGGUGGCUAUAGAAUAACGAAACAAGUAAAGUAGGUUAUUCUUUACUAAGUUGGUUCCUCGACUCGACUGGUAAUGCAGAAAUCACCUGGGCUUGCAAGCUAUGUGAUGUGACAUACCUGGCUCAGCUCAAUCCUAUGACGAAUACCUUCUGCGCCUAUGAUGAAUACCUUCCUUUCCUUAGCGGAACAAAAACUCCUAUCUCCUGCUAAAGCUGGAUGCGCACCGGCACACGGGGCAAAGAGGACUAAGGAGAAGGGAUGCCAUACUAAUAGACUGGGCAAGCAAAGCAAGGCAAGCGUUGAUGACUCUCGAUUGAAAGGUUAAGAAAAGGAUGCGCAUGGCACGUGGAGCUAGCGACUUCGCGUAUUACUUAUUGAUCGAAAGUAGGGCUUACAGCAACCAAUGAAUACAUACCGGGAAGGGCUGAGAGCUACCUACUCCUUACAGGGCUGCGUUUACCCAUUCCUUGCCUAGAAGAAAAAGAAUAACCAUCUUCCCUCUUCUCCUCCCUUCACACUCGACUAGAGGGCGGGAUUCUUUCAUCCAAUUGAUGGCACUUUACUAAGACUGGAAAAACGGGUAAGAAACCCCGUAAAAUUGAUUCAACUUGACUGUCAUAAUUAAGAAAGUGAAGAGAUAGGGGUCAUGGAUUCCAUACGCCCGCUAGACCCAUUCUUAAAGAAAUGCGUAAGGCUUUGGGCUUUCACCGUAGGUUAGGUUCCUCAUCUCUCUCAGAUGUAGUAGUUCCAGUUGCUCCGGUUGUCUCAAUUCAUUCGAUUGUGAUAAGGCAAGAAAGCUAAUAGUUGAACAGGUGGUAUAGUCACCAGUACGGUAAUGAUGCUCGGCAUGUGGAAGUUCUCGUUUCUCAACGUGCCAUUUGGUUCUAACGAAUUGAACUACAAACGGGCUUUCCUUUAUCCUCCUUGUACGCCAACCUACUGACAAAACAGGAUUUCUAGUUGCCUCCUCCGGUGAAAACGAACAGUAAACAUAUUAUUAGACCUAGGAAAACCAAAACUCGUCGAACAGAAGAACCGAGUACUAUAGAAUCUAAAACACACAUAUGCGAGCUAUUAAACAUACUGUUCCUAUUUCUAAAUAAAAACAUAUUACCGCAGCGCUAAGAAAAGGGUUUGAAAGCUCUAAGUGGUACGAUAAGCGGAAUGAAUCAAACGAAGUGCAUCAUGAGGGUUGGGGAUUUAGCAUACGCUCUACUAUCAAUUAUAGGUUCACAUAUGCCCCAAGAAAGAGGUGCAGAGGUGGAAUUCAAUAGAUUUAAGCAACUUCAGUAUGCGGGUAGCGAUGCUUUUUGGAAUCCAAGAGAACUUUGAAUCGGAGGAACGAUCAACACAACUGGCAUGGCUUUGUUGAAUCAGGAUUUGAUGACAGGAACGUUGUUGAAAUAACUUCUUUACCCCCCGUAAAAUCCUUUAUGCCUGAUUUCAGUACUAACAAUAAAUGGCUAAAAACAUCCUAUUUUUUACUGUAAAAUAUGGAAAAUCAUAUGGGAAACGAAUAACGAAUAGAAGUAGCCUAGCCUUUUCUUUCAGUCUCGGUCUCUACAUUCCCUUGUUCUUACUGUAGCUAGCACUUGUUUUUGCAGUCAAGGAGCCAGGAAGCGGGCGGGCCUUCAAUCACAUUUUAGCUUGACGUUCUUCUCCUUCUUGGGGGUCGACUUGUAGUAGCAGGCGUACAGGACGAGGCCGAACAGCGCAUCGAGGCCAUUGGCGAUCUGCAGUGCACGAACGAAGACAAGAGCCGACACGGUUAGAGAGACACUCUCAAGUUAUAUAAGAUUUGGUUGGAAUCUGAAGAUGGAGAUAUUACUGAUCGUGACGUAGAGGUUGAAUUUGAUGAGAGCGUAGGACGUCCAGCAGACGCCGUUGAGGAAGCUCACCAGCGACAGGAAGAAGGGCAUGUACUCGACGCUCUUGGUCUUGAUCACUUUACCCUGCACGCAACCCACAAUACACAUUAAUUCCUCCCUGCAAAAAUAUAUAUUCAUUAAUUCCAAGCAGAGGAUGCAACAGCUCGAGCGUUCAAAAAAAAUAUAUAUUACACAGACAUAGGUAAUUAACAAGAUUGAUUCUAUGUUCUAUGUAAAAUGUAAAUAAAUUCCACAGGUAAUAUUGGUGAACUCUACACCUGGACCACAUGACCCACGAGAAGAAACCGACAUACAGGAUCCCUUUUCUGUUUCAACGUGAUCAUCUCACAGAGUUGGCAAGGGAAGAUCAAAAAAAGCACAGACUGGUACAGGGAACACAUGUACUAUCUCCAUCCAAGAACACAUGAUUCGAAAUCUAGCACACCUGAAACUUGCAUCCCCUAGGUGAACACAUAUGUUUAUGAUGAAGCUGAACAUGAAAGAUUUCAUUAGAUGAAAUAUUCCUCCCGUUCCAGACCCGUCAAUCAACAGCCAACGAGUUUGGCGAGAACAACAGAACAAGUUUGGUUGGCUAAUCAAUUGUACAACAUAACUACCUGUAUUGAAUGCAACUGCAAGUAACCAAGGAUACCGCAUCGAUAAUCAGAGGACACGUAGGGGCUACGGUAUCUUUUUAGGUAGAAACGAACAAUAGGCCUUUUGACGGAACAUAGAGCAACAUGGUCUUGGGAUGUGCCACACGAACACCAUGACAGUUUAGCCCAAAAGGUAGCACGUUGGUUUUUACUGGUAAAAAGGGGGAAAGAAGAGAUUUGACACGAUGGUUAAAACAGGACCAUUGAUGCAUCUUUUAGAGAUGGAUUUGGUUCCAAAAUUGGCUUCCGCAUCCAUGCUACCAGAACAAAUAGCAACUAAGGUAUGCUAAUAGUGGUACAUAAUGAAUGCCUCAACUAUAACCUAAUGAGUCACUUGCCCUGAGUAAGCUGCAAGAUCCUUCACAGAUCACUAUGUCUAGAUCAUGCAAAAGAUUUGAAAGAUGAUGGCAACCCAUCAUUAAUGAGUAAUCAGAAAAGAACCUGGAGACUGGAGAAGAUGAAUAUGGCUAAUCUGUUUUUAAAUAGAAGUUCCAGAAGAAUUAAUAUCGACUUUUUUAUCUUAAACAGUAGAACCCCUGAAUCACCAAUCCAUUCUGAACUGCAAAGGCAACGUGUCACUGACAGCUGGGUCCAAAAAAUCCUUGACUGACCCAACAGUAAGUGACCAUACACGACAACUUAACCUAUGAAACCCUCAUCCACACAACACCAACAACAUCAUCGCCGCCACCAACCGAAGGGGAACGCACGCCUAUUCCCCAACAAUAUCACUAACAUCUACCAAUAUAGAUCUAAAAAGACAUCUAUGCACGUGGAGCGAGAUUGAUGGGUACGUACCAUGAUGGCGAGCGGGGAGGCGUACAUUGCUGAGCCGAAUAUGACGCAGAGGAUGCCGUAGAACACCCAGAGCAUGCAGUUGAGCAGCGUCGCUAGGUACGGGUCCGACUUGAACUCCUCAAGUCCUUGUUCUUGAUGAUCCGCCAGAACGUCGGCCUGCACAUGUACAAGCAAAAAGCAAGCGCCCCCUCAUCAGAAUCAAACCCUAAUUACCAACCACCUUCCAUAGAGAGUAGACUAGACAAGCGGAUGAGGGGGAUGGCGGCGGUGGCUUACACAGGGUAGAGGAAGAGGCCGAAGGAGAUGACAUUGCCGAUGAUGUUGCGGGCCGCGUCCGGAGAAAUCAUCUUUCUUUGCUCGCCGCGAGCGGGUGGGGACUUGGGAUUGGUUUGGAUUGGACGGCGCACGCGGCGAAAGGGAGGGAGAGAGAGAGCCAAAGCAAUUGAGAUUUGGGAGUCGGUUGAGGUCGAGGGAUUAGCUUAUAUAGAUAGACGCGGCGGGGUAGCGGUGUUUAUCCGGUCUCGUGUUAGAUCCUAUGAUUUGGUUAGUUAGCCUACGAGAACAAGUCACAAGUUUCGAGUUUUACUAUGCAUCCAGUUCGUUGCUAUCUCUAUCUUUAUCUACAUGGAUAUUAACACGCACUAUUCUUGAGAGUCAAGACACCGUUUUGCUUUAAAGAGCAAAAGAAAUCCCAGAUAAUUACUAAUGCACUGUUGAGUACACAGAUUCUUUUCCUGUUCGUACUGGAGUAUAGUAAGGAAAAACUGCUUGACCGAAUCAAGGUCAAGAUAACUAGUGUGAUUCCUACACUGGGAGAAUCGUGGAUAUGUAAGGAAUAGAGAAAUUCCACCCGCCUAAGUAAAGAACUGUUACAAAUAAAGAGGAAACUAAUAAGGAUAAGUAAGAAACAAGAAAAAAGAAACCAUAUUUAAUACCGGAAUAUUCGGUUUGAUAACCUGCAACUAAUUUCCCCUCUGGGUAAUCUUUCACAUUCGGCCAAAGAAGAAAUUCUAAAAACUAGAAAGCCUAUAGGCUGACACCAAAGAUUCCAUAAAAAACCAUAUUUUGGCUGUGCUUGAACUAUAUCAACUGUACUUGAACUGUUAGAUAAUCAUAGUCGAUAAUAACAUCACAGCUCCCACCGCUAUUGCAAAACCGUACAUGAAACCUUAGCUUCAUACGGCUCCUCUAUGAUUAGAAAAAAGGACUGUUUCGGUAUUAUCCCCCUGGUUUAUCAGUUGCAGGUGAAUCCUGUGAAACAUCUCUCUCGAGGCUAGUAACAACACUUGGAAAUGAAAAAUGAGCUUAGCGGUUGUACCAGGUCAGGACCAUAAACACCACGAGCCGGUUAAGCAACAGAAGCUGUGGGCGAAAGCACACUCGUCAUUCUCAGACCUGCGGUCGAGGUACAUGCGAACAAGUUCCCAUUCUCUAUGUUUCAUGGCCUAUCAAUGAAAGUCGGUAUCAGGCUGGCUUGCAUUGCGGGUCGUCUCCUUAUAUACCUAAAUCCUCGUUUCACUCAUCUAUAAAGGUCUACCCUUCGAAAGGUAGGUUGAGUUCCCCCGUAUGUAACCAGCCACACUCUACUCGCAGGUCAAAUAUUGGCGUAGACAACAGAGAAUGUGCUAGGUAGGAAACCGGAGGAACUCUUACUAUACGAGAAUCUUCAAUUCAAUAUGACAACCGAUCAGAAGGGAUUGGACGAUGCCAAUGCAUUGCCCUCCUUCUCAAUACCAGAACUAUCUGACCGAGCUCCAUCAACACAGAAAGCAGAAGGGACAGCAGAUACGGAUAGACUGGAUCCAGAAAGGGAUUUCAGCCAGUCCUUGCCUAUUGCUGGGCUGGUUGUUUUGUCACGGUCCGAUUAGUAGAAGAUGAGUGAGUAAGACGAGGCCCCCGAAGAGUAAUGUAGAGCUAUACUGCUCUUGUUUUUCCUUCCGCCCUGCUUAGGAGAACUUUGUCUAGAACCCACUUUAGCUAGCUUUCGAGGAUACCAUUACAGAUGAGUGAAGCGAGUAUACCUUUUCCGGACCUCCCGAGGUAGCGCGGUAGCGGAAGCCCUUUCUAGUUCAAGCAGUUCCAAUUCCUAUUCCGCUUCACCGCUUACACCACACUCUAUUGGUUCACCUUGUGGUGCCUUUCGAUCAAGGUCUACUUUGGUUGAUCCAAUUUGUUCUACAGCGCGUUAUCCGCAUCGAAGUUAGCCAGAUUCCUACCGCUUCUUGAUAUUAUGGAUUUUGCAAUCCCUGAACGCUAGUGCUUCUACAACCAACGGAUACUAUUUAACAGAAAUAAUAAGUAGAAAUGGACAAACGAGUGUGGCUACAUAAAGUGAGGAAAAAAACAUGGUGGUACCAGCAUUGCGUAUCACUCACUAUGCUUUAUGUAAUAUGGCCUACGUCGUCUCUCUUCCAGAACCUCACAAUCAUCAGUGUCUGAAGUUUCAUGAUGAAUAUUGGUUUCAAAUUUUAUUGCUUACGUGAGAAAAUAUCAAUUUGGAACUCGAAUUUGUAUUUGAGUUAUGAUGAGGAGUGAGGUAGAUUCGCAUUGUUGAAGAAAGCAAAGAAAAAGGAUGCUGCUAUGGCUUGCUUGUGGCUCUUUCUUCUAUUGGCUAGUCUCAGGCAUGAUAGUUUCAAUUUCUUUUGGAAAGCAAGUGCGGCUCAGUCAUAAGUGUUAGUAAUAGCAUGAAGUAAGUUGUCGGUAGCCGGCAUUAGAUAGAAGGAAAAGCUUCUCAAAAGCAUCCUGAAAUAUCAUAGAAUGGCGAUCGAGAUCACCUUCACGGGAAUCAUCCUUUGCAAAUUGGGGGAAGGGAACCAAUCAAGUCACCAACAAGUUCCCGAAACUUGGUUUAGUAUUAAGGUUCUUCUCUUCCAGCGUUUACUAUUCAAGUUCUUCUCUUCCAGCCCCCUGGCCCCUCUCUGAUAAGUAAAGUUUUCAAAACGAAAAGAAAAUGACAAAUCUGGUUCGAUGGCUCUUCUCCACUACUCGCUUUACUACUUUCUAUUUUUUCAUAUGUAUUAAGUUUCCCUUAAUAUAUAAUUUUAUAUUACUUUCGAUUUUUAUAUUUUUAUUCCUUUGGCGUUUUAUAUUAAUAGUAAUAGCCGUUUUCAAUCUUUUUUGUUCGUGCUUCAUCGGCUCCUCCUUUUUGAUCACUCUCCCGCCGGAGAUUCAAGACCCCCAGGCUCUAGCUCAUUUAGCAGGGCUAAACUUCUAUCUGAGUCUUUACGAGCAGGAUCCGGGAUGGGUUACGUUCAUUUAGAAUGAGCUAAAUCACAAUACCCCCUGGAAGACAUACCUGGGCGGCUUAAGCUCUUCCUAAUGGAAGAAAAGCUCUCUUCUAUGCGACAAGAUGUCAUUCAGGAAUUUGUGGCGCUUUAUCAAAGAGUAGGGCCUUAUCUACCGAUCGAGCCCUACUUGGUCGAUGAAGCGCUUCAUUCCUAUCUUUUCCAUAUUCACGCAACUGAUUCUUUCACUGUUCUCCAAGCGUCUUAUCAAGAUCUGCGGGAGAAUGAGGGAGGAUCAGUUUUCCUUGAAAAUGUUGUUUCCCACAACCGGGAUUUCCUUGAGGCGGAAAGCUCCGCAAGGAGGUGCCUGGAAGUGGAACAGAGGAUCCGGUGGGAAGAAAUCCCCAAGAGCAAGGCAAGUCUCGAAAAGGCGGAGCACGAGCAUGCUCUCGACUUGUUUAAGUCGGGGGAUCUUAGAAGGGAAUUAGAAAAAAAAGAGCGGGGUAGCUCAGUAAUUCUGAUUCUUUUCUCUUCCAGCAUUUACUAUUCUCUUUCUUCUCUUCCAGCCCCCCGGCCCCUCUUUGAUAAGGAAAGUUUUCAUUUCUAAAAAACAACAAAUGACAAAUCUGGUUCGAUGGAUCUUCUCUACUAACUACAAGGAUAUUGGGACUCUCUAUUUCAUCUUCGGUGCCAUUGCAGGAGUGAUGGGCACAUGCUUCUCCGUACUGAUUCAUAUGGAAUUAGCCCGACCCGGCAAUCAAAUUCUUGGUGGGAAUCAUCAACUUUAUAAUGUUUUAAUAACGGCUCACGCUUUUUAAUGAUCUUUUUUAUGGUUAUGCCGGCGAUGAUAGGUGGAUUUGGUAAUUGGUUUGUUCCGAUUCUGAUAGAUGCACCUGACAUGGCAUUUCCACGAUUAAAUAAUAUAUCAUUCUGGUUGUUUCCACCAAGUCUCUUGCUCCUAUUAAGCUCAGCCUUAGUAGAAGUGGGCGGCGGCACUGGGUUGACAGUCUAUCCGCCCUUAAGUGGUAUUACCAGCCAUUCUGGAGGAGUAGUUGAUUUAGCAAUUUUUAGUCUUCAUCUAUCAGGUAUUUCAUCAAUUUUAGGUUCUAUCAAUUUUAUAACAACUAUCUUCAACAUGCGUGGACUUGGAAUGACUAUGCAUAGAUUACCACUUUUUGUGUGGUCCGUUCUAGUGACAGCAUUCCUACUUUUAUUAUCACUUCCGGUACUGGCGGGGGCAAUUACAAUGUUAUUAACCGAUCGAAACUUUAAUACAACCUUUUUUGAUCCUGCGGGAGGGGGAGACCCAAUAUUAUACCAGCAUCUCUUUUGGUUCUUUGGUCAUCCAGAGGUGUAUAUUCUCAUUCUGCGUGGAUUUGGUAUUAUUAGUCAUAUCGUAUCGACCUUUUCAAGAAAACCGGUCUUCGGGUAUCUAGGCAUGGUUCAUGCCAUGAUAAGUAUAGGUGUUCUUGGAUUUCUAGUUUGGGCUCAUCAUAUGCUUACUGUGGGCUUAGACGUUGAUGCGCGUGCCUACUUCACCGCAGCUACCAUGAUCAUAGCUGUGCCCACAGGAAUCAAAAUCUUUAGUUGGACCGCAACCAUGUGGGGAGGUUCGAUACAAUACAAAACACCCAUGUUAUUUGCUGUAGGGUUCAUCUUUUUGUUCACCAUAGGAGGGCUCACUCGAAUAGUUCUAGCAAACUCUCGGCUACAAAUUGCUCUACAUGAUACCUAUUAUGUGGUUGCACAUUUCCAUUAUGUACUUUCUAUGGGAGCCGUUUUUGCUUUAUUUGCUGGAUUUUACUAUUGGGUGGGUAAAAUCUUUGGUCGGACAUAUCCUGAAACUUUAGGCCAAAUCCAUUUUUGGAUCACUUUUUUCGGGGUUAAUCUGACCUUCUUUCCCAUGCAUUUCUUAGGGCUUUCGGGUAUGCCGCGGUGUAUUCCAGAUUAUCCAGAUGCUUACGCCGGAUGGAAUGCUCUGAGCAGUUUCGGUUCUUAUAUAUCCGUAGUUGGGAUUCGUCGUUUCUUCGUAGUUGUCGCAAUCACUUCAAGCAGUGGAAAGAACAAAAAAUGUGCGGAAAGUCCUUGGGCUGUUGUACAGAAUCCAACCACACUAGAAUGGUUGGUACAAAGCCCUCCCGCCUUUCAUACUUUUGGAGAACUUCCUGCGGCAGAAGAGACAGAAAACCUCUCCUAACUAUGAAGGAAGUUUCAUAGAGAUAGGUGUGGGGACGGGGACAACAAUUGCUUUAGCUGUUUUUUCAACUAAAGCGGGGCUUCUUUCUAAGCCUAAUCCCUUCACUUUUGAAACAUAAGGAGUUUUUGUGUAGUGAUCUCUGUUCAUGGAGAUCACGAGGCCACUGAUACCCUAUGUGGAUAAGUGGGAUAGAAGAGUGGGAAAGCGGGCUUCUAUCACAUAGUUUAUCUUUCAGGGUACAUAGGACGGCCCUCUCGUCAUUACCUUUUGUGCUUACCCGUAGCUAGUUGUGCCUGAAGUCAUGGAUGAUGCUAUUCCCACUGAGAGAUGUGCUGCAAAAUGGAAGCUGUGUUAGUCCUCGGCUAAAAUCAUCUUCCUUUAUUAAAGACCAUAUAUAUCCAUAUGUAGAUAGAAGAGGGGAUAUAGUCGUUCAAAGCUAAGGUGAGUCUGUUCCAGCUAAUUCCUUGGAUUCCACUUUCCUGUCAGUCCAUGUAAAAAGGAGUCCAGCCCACAAGGAGAGGGAAUCCACAAAAAUAUUUGUUUUAGAUGAUUUCUACUAUGUUUCAAGUGAUCAAAGAAUAGUAUAGUAUCUUUAGACAGAACUGAAAUAGCAGAUGCAGAUUCGAAUGUUAAGGUUAUUAAAGCUUAAAAGAAAAAGCAGUCAUAGGUUAGGUGACUAAGAAAAGAAUGUGGAAAGGGUCAUAGAUAGGAUUGGUAUAUUAGUUUCAGCUAUAACAGAGAUUUCUCAGCAUGUUUCUAUCUGGUUGGUAUCCGCUCGUACCAUUCAUUGUGAGUUCUUUUAGGGGUUGCUCAACUCUCGGCUAUUUUCACCAUCUAGAUGAUUGCAUCUUCCCGUUCUCACAAUUUCUCAAAGGUUAUUGUAUCGAUACUAUGGAAUUUUUAGUGAAAAAACAAUAGGGUUCAAUUCGAUUCAUUUUGGAAACUCUAGCGGGGCCAUCCCCAAUUCCUCUCAGCUGUCAUAAUUGAAUAAAAGGGAUCAUAUAGCUUUCCAAUCCAGCAACAUACAUCUAUCACCUAAGCAUAACUGCCAACAUCAGUAUGCAGAAAGAAUCUGUUUAUAACGGUUUAGAGUCGGAAGCAAGGCAAGUCACAGGCCAGCUUUCCUGCUUAAAGCAAACUGUCUGGAAAAGGAAACAUUUGUGGCACCUAAAUUGGUGAAAGCAAACAGAUUGGGGAAACAUGGCAAGCUAAUAGGAAGGAAGCCGAUCAAUCGAGUACGAACCUACACCGUGGCCGUUGUUUGAAAGUCAACCGUACCGUUGUUGGAAAGAAUCGAAGCCGAGGACGCUACUACCCGGAACUCAAUACGAUUCAACCAAAGCCUUUGCUUUGCAAAAGAUACCCGUUCAGCUGUUCCUUUACCGGCAACAACUAUGGAAUAACAACCUUCGCUUUGCUUUCGAUAGUCUCUCGCAUUAGCAAAUCUCAAAAUAUAGUAGAUCCCGGGGCGUACCUAAUGGUUUCAUUGAUUUGAAUGGAUUGACCCGUUGUACCGUUGUAGGAAUCCUCAUCCGAUGUGCGAAUCCCGUGGAGGAAGGGGGGAAACAAAUCAAAUUAUUUGAUUUUGAUAGGAGCAGUGCGGUAUUGAGGGUUUCUCUAUCUAUUCACUCAUGAAGUUAAGACAAGUGAGGAUUGAUUUCAGUUAUUCAUAUAAGAAAUAAGAGGAAGACUGUCUUCUCGGGGAAGACAUGCUUUCCCGCUCUCGGCACAUCUGUGCUAGGGAUACCUUCUUGCGUUGAGAUGCCAUCAACUCUUUCCUGGGGAAUCAGGUCAAUACGUUGGCUAUGGAAAAGCAAGCUAUAGCAGAUCGUUGAGUAUAGAGAAAAAGGAAUGGAGUUUCAUUAGCUCUCUGCACACAUCCAGUAUAAUACCUUUGCGAGCCCCUAAGGAAAGGGGUGUCGUGUUCUCUUUACAAUGGGGGUGAUCCAAGUUUCCAAAAGACAAGGUUGGUUGUAUCUUUUUCUAUUGGCAAUCCCCAAUCCGUUGCUUGUUCGUUAUGAACAAAAGAAGCCGAUACCAGAAGAGGUGUUUAUCCAGCGGAGGUUCGUAUCUCUUCCAUGUGAGACCAGUGACCUCAGAUCAUCCUGGACUUAUGUGCUGGAAUAGCUUCGUUAUGAGUUGAAGCAGCCUCAGCUACUAUUCCUACUAAGGAGGAGUCGCCUUUUUCAAUUCCCUCCCUUUCGCAAUCCCAUGUUGAUGUAACGACUGUAGAGUAUUGGCAAGGCUGUAACAUUACAUGCAGGUCCUAGCCUACGUCCGUUGGUGGUUGACUACCGGGAAAGGGCAGAAUAGCAACAGUGAGGAAGCAUACCACCCAAAGCAAGACGUGAAAACCUCCUUCGUAUCCAAAAGCCCCUUUUAGUCUGUCUGGCCUUAGGCGAAAUGAUACAUAAUCGUAUCUUCUCCGCUGGAUCGAAUGAAAGUAAAUGGUGGUUGGAUCCCACUAAGGAAUUGGCACGCCCGUGGAGCUUACAAACAAGCAAGCCAGUAAAAAGUUAAGGAAUUCACAAUAUCGAAAAAGAGUUGGUUGGCUUCAGGAGUCACUCAAUUGGAUUCGAUCGGGGACUGGAAUGAAACUUCUCAGAAACGAUAGCAGAUUUGGUACCAUAGCUGAGGCGAAUGCUCGUUGACAUGAUCCAAAAUUGAAUGAAUGUUGCAAGAUAGAUUUAUUUAGAAUAGUAGUCUUAGACUGGUGCUCUCUGGAUCACCCCUACGAUGAAACAAAGCCCCUAUUAUGUCCCCCAGAUUUGCACAUUCUUCAUCCCGUUUUGCCAUUGUGCAUUAAGUAAUCCAACGUUUGUGGAGGAAGCUGCAAUGCACCACAUGUUAGCUUAUAGGCCAGAUUUGGGUCCUGCAUUCUUCACUACCUUAACUACUAUAUUUAUUGAGGUGAAGGUCUUACUUAGUAGGCAAAUUCGAGCUGUUGUUUUAAUUCAGAGACCAGACGACUUUGAUACUGCUGCUUCUAUGGCCUUGACGCUGACAUAAGCGCAUUUAUAUUAUGAGUUAUUAGGCGAGGCUGCCCCUAGAACCAUCUUAUUAUUUUUAGCGUAGCAGUUGCUUAAAAUUGGAGAAAAACAACCAAUUGUGCCUAUGUUUCAGACAAUCCCAUGCUUGCCCCGGAUCCAGAACUGUGAUUAGCAAGCACUACUGUCAGGUUCUUGACAGUUUCCUCUCGACUUUCAAAACACCUAUACUCAUACUCUCAAUCAGUGCACAUUUCUCUCAGGGUAUCCAAUCGAUGGGAUACUGGUGCUGGGGAGGGCACUAAACUUACAGGAAUGCUUCUCUUGAAUGAAUUCAUUGGUUCGAAUUCUUUUCUAUCUAAAAAUAAAGUGGAAUAUGGUAGUUUUCUGGGUGAAAUGGGCAACUGGAUCAACAAACAUGAGUGGAGCCAUAGCCUUGUAUGAGUAACGGUGCAACUGCCUAUCUUAUCCAUCUCGAGCCCUAAGCAAUGCGAUUUUCCUUUACUUUGCCACUAGCUAUAUCAUUGUCUAAAUGUUGAAGAACUAUUGUGAUUUCAUUUCGAUCGGAGGUUACACAUGGAGGCUCUGGGUCAAGAGGGGAAAGCAUGGCUGAACAUAGCAGCACUUCCCACUCACUACCACCUAUGUCGCAAGCGCCUUCCUCCGUCUAUCUGUUGUCGCUUCCGGGCACACCAUCAAUUGAUUCAUCUUUGAAUAAUAAUGGGUUUCAGUGGCGGACAAUAGCAAGCUACUGACCCUCUAGAAUAUGGGUGCAUUCAGCAUCGGAUUGACAAGUUCUGCUGAUAGCGGAUCCUGAGACGCAACAAGGGCGGGGACAAUACCUAUAGUGGGGAGGGGACCCAAGCAUCACAAUAUCACGAUGUUUUCUUUUCAUUGAUCAAACCGCUUCGCUUGCACGGAUCUAGAAAGAAUAACAAGAGCUGAACUACCGGUAUACGGAGUGGCUUCGACAUGUCUAAGCAAGGGGAUGAGUCGGCAUCUUGUAGAGGAUCUAUCAAGAGUGGCAAAAAGAGAUGCAUUAUUCAUGGCAAGUAGGCGGUUCCUUUUCCCUAUUACCUCAUUGACUUCCCGUUUGGAGCUUGCAACCAUUAUUCUAGGGAGCACGAGCACAUAUGAAGGGGAGAAGACGACUGGUGAGGGUGGAUUUCAGUCGAAAGAGCUUCUGCAGUCACCAUUGCGUAUCCGUAUCGUGUUCCUCUAUUCACAGGUUCUCAUGCCCUUACUAAAAAGCUCUAUAACAUGGUCCCUCAUAAUGAAUGUCAUUCCUUUUCGCCUAUAUAAAAAUCCUGCAGAAUCACAUUCGCUCUUGGGAAAUAGGCAUUGUCGAGCUUUAUUUUCAGACAAGUUCAUCUCUGUAGUGGCCCAAUCCAACAAAAUAACAUCUCGCAGGUGAUCCACCGAGCGAAUCCUGAGGCUGUGGUGCUCAUAGUACCCGAACCCUUGGAUCUCGCUUUGCAAUGGAACCUCUUCUGUGGACUCAGCUUAAGUAAAAGAUGGAGGUUUCGGCGAUGUCUGGUUGGACGGACCCCCUAUUCAGAAUACGCGUGCGUCCCCACGUACGCGCGUGAUAAACCAUAAACACAAAGGAGUGAUAUGACCCUCUAAGAAGAUGAGGAAUCCACUUGUUAAAAGAAGAAAGAAUCAGCUAAACCACUGGAAUAGAGAGAUUCGCCUCAUGGAAUAUAAGGAAAACAUGCACAAGAAAUAUGAGGAAUGCACUAAAAAAGAAACUAAACAGAUCCAAAAUAUAAGGAAUGACCGGCUUCGACUUCUAUUCAGAUGCACAAUCCAUUGAAAUUAUUCCACUUUACCGAUGCAUUCAUCUGGUUUUGGAUGCAUUCAUCAUGUUUUCAGUAUCCAUUCCCUAUGGUGUCCAAAGGGAUUGCCUUAUGAAUCGAAAAUUCCGAUCAAUCGAAAAACAAAUGCAGCAGGACACACUUUUGAAGAUAAAACGAGUGUGCAGCUGUGAUGCACACCGGGGGAAUUCCAAAAAGACUGGCUUCCCCUUCUAGAAAGAGAAUACGCGUGUGUCCUCACGUAUGCGCGUAAAAAAUGAAGAAAAGAAAGGUGUGGAUUGCUGCGAGAAAAUAGCUUGCACGAAAGAGCUCGAAAUUGAGUAAGUUAAGUUGACCCAAUUAACCGAUUUUAGAGUCUUGAAAAAGCAAUCGAAUUAAGUUGUAUAUAGUCUAACUCAAAUACUUGAUUCAUGAUUAGAAAUCUCAAUCUUAAAUUAGCUUAUAUAAUGUUCUUUACUUUUGAUGCAAUGACAGAUUCUCUUUCGAUAACAUAGCACAGCCAUUGGGCGAGACCACGUGAACAUGACUACUUAGUAACGUCGUUGAAACCGGCCAACCUGCCGUCGUAAGAGAGAUAUUUUAGCAUUGUUGCAACCAGUUAUCAAUCCAAUCCUUCGCAAACCAACUAAGCUAUAAAGCUUUUUUUGUUGAAGUGGCAGACACAAGAUAAAUAAUGUGAAACCGGACCUCUCUUACUACAGUGGGAGGUGUAGGCCUUAUUUGCAGCAUCAGGUGCAACAUUAUUCCCCCCUAGAGAGCCAGCGGGUCCCCACGCUGGUGCAUUCGGGAAGCUGUAUGCAUUCGGUGCCCUCAAGCGGGGAUUAAGAUUACCCAAAUCAGCAUAACAAAAUGGGAGCUCAAAGACAAACUCCAGAAUAGCUGAGUUGACAUCAAUACAGACCAUGCAAUGCUUAAAUUGCCUUUGCUCAUUGCUGCUAACCUGACUCCAACAAUUAGACAAUUGUUGCAACUCGUGUCAUCCGUGAGGGUAACUUGAGUAGUAAUUUUACUGAACUACAACAACAACCAUGAACUCACAAAAGAAGUACUCCAUCAUGGUAGCAGUCCAUGAAUCCCAUUCAGCACCAGAGCUCAACAUACACAAGACUAAACUGCCAAUACUCUAACCACCAGCUACAGGUGGCUCACGAAUGAAUAGUUCCAGGCGAGUAGCUUCAGGUGGUGGUCGUAUCUCAUCUCCAUCCACGAACCAAGGUACUAGCCAGUGCCAGACUGUACAUGUAAAGGAAGAGACGCUGAAGACUGCCUUUUAUUCAUGGAAGAUAGAUAAACAAGAUUCAUUCCAUCGUAAGACAGAACAAAAUACUACUAGCCAAAGCCUACUUCGGCACAUGAAGGAAGUGAGCAACAGCCCUUGGGCAUGAGGCGGGUAAGAUAUGCCUAAUCUAUUGGGCCGAUAAAUACUUCUUUCCCAUGGGUACGAUAUUAGAAAUCUUUGUUGCGAACAGAAAAGAGAGAGACAUAAUAGAUUUGGUAGGCGGAGGAAUGGAAGGGCCAGGCUCACAUCUUAUGAACGGAGGAAGCGAAAUGCUGCAGUCAAGAGAAAUCAUUAACACUUAUUCACAGCUCAAAGCCAUAACCAUAGGGGCCUAGUCUACGAGAGAUUGAUCCGACAAGCAACUCCGGGAUGUGAGGCGUUUAAGCCAUAGUUGAAAUAGAAAGUACCGGUAAAUGACUUGCCGGGGAUCCGCUGAAAUACGAGAAGAUCCCGACGUUUUGCAGUGCAUGCGCUUGGUCAUUGGCAUGAGGAGUGCGGCACGGGAGAGCGUGAUGUUGCCAAACUAGGAUGGGCCCCGUUCCUGAUAGCAGCUUCCCUGGAACUAGCUGCCAUUGUAUCGGUUGGUGCCAUUUCUUCUCUUGGAGGCACGGCAAUAGAUUAAGAUUAGGCGGUAAGCGAAGGAACUGUAGGGCUUAGGGCUGCGGGUGAGCGCAACUUCAAUAGGUCGAGGGGAGGAAGAGAAGAAAAAGCAGCUAUUUCACCUGGUGUCAUAAUAACCACAGUUUUCGGGUUUUAAGGCAUAAGCGCAGGAGAGAUCUUCUUUCAUUUAAGAAGAAGCCACCGUAAAGAAGAGGAAACAAGGCGUUUAAGGGACACUGACUCCCAUUAUUUUCUCCAUGCCUGCUUUGGCUAAAUCGACGGAGGCUUAGCUUAUUAUGUGUCAGGCGUUUAGCUAGCUUAGAGAAUAAAUAAAUCUAUCCCUAAAGGGGGAGCGGUACCACUAUUUUAGGUUAGAGGAAGGUUGAAGAGAGAAUAGCUAAAAUAGCCAGUCGGGUAGCCAAGUGCGGGUGGCUAUGGUCAAAGUGAAUAUGUCUUGUCGAUCAACUGUUUAGUAUACCCAGUUCUGUAGAAUUAUUUUGUGCGUGGAACUCCGAACGACCCUUAUACUGUUUUGCUUUCUGCUACUUCUUGUUCUGCUUUGCCUAGAGAAUUUCACGUCUGUGGAAUGCCCUAUAGCUAUAUUUAGGUAUAUUACUCCUCUAGCUAUAUUUAGCUAGUUCACCAUUGUAUACGACCAAGGUUUACACCUGAGAGUCAUAGUGAAUCCUUGCAUUCGUGAAACUGACCAGAUGAGAACGAAACUGGUGGGAACAAUCAACUAUACGACAACUGCGAAGUUCAAGUUGGCUUCUGAAAAUCAACUAUGCUGAAAUAGAUUCUCUUUUGAGAGCCCUACAUAUACCGAUCAAACAUUCCAUUUCAGACUUGUCUGCUUUACUAUCUAAUAAGUUUGAUAGAAAUCAAGGCGGGUAUAGCUUCCUUUGAUCCAUACCGUAAUAUUCAAGCCGACUUUGUCAACUUAUUCCCCUUUUUCAGGUUGAAUUGACAAUGCUGUACUUUAUUCAACCAUAGGAAUCAGAAUUUCGUAGGUAGAGGGGGCCAAGGUGCCAGAAACAUGGAUUUCAUGGAAACAAGGUAAUCCAUAGUUGGUAGCAGAUGUUCCAUGGGAUCAGUUAUCCUCCGUCUUGUCUCUGCAUUCGAGGAAUGCUUGUAGCUAUGCUAGGCGUGAGAAGAACUCUACAAUACGAUUUCUACGAUUGGUACCACAUUGGAAUUCAUUCUCGGAACUCUCCUCUAGAGAAUGGCCUAGCUAAAGAGAGUGAUAGAUCCAUCGCGUCGUGUGGAAACUAAAGCUAGGUGCCGCCAUUCGUCCUCAGCCGUAUUCUCAUUCUGGGAAAAGUUAUGGCUCGUUCUGGGAAACGAUCAGUAGUAGUGGUGGAUGGCAGGUAUGGAAGGAUCCCGGCAAGUUCCUAUCUGAGAUUACCACCGGCCCUUCCCUGAGCUGACUUCUUUGCUAGUAGUGAAGUGCGUUUUCACUUAGCUGGAAAAGUCCAUAAUCCGUUUUGACCUCGGGAGCCUGCCCACGGAUCUGAUCAAAGUAUGAUUCCCUAGUGCCAAAAGUCCUAAAGCCUAUGGCGCCAAGCAUGGGGAGUCCGCGGAGAAGAAAAACUCUAUUUCGCUAUGGGCCAAAACUAGUGUUUUUUCGGAUUUCUAGUCUAGUUUAAGUGCAGGGCUAGAGAGUUCUCUUCCAGUAUCUUAGCUGACUGUCCGCUUGCUUGACUCGAACAAAUAGCUUUUGUUUCCACAAGGCAGAUCCCAUUCCUCGAAUGCAAAGGACAAGAAAGACGGAUUCUGGCUGGAAGAAAGGGUUCUCGUAUUGGUUCUUCUGGUGCGCUACUUCCUUGUGCUGUGCCAGAUUGGAAUUGGUAUCGGAAUCCUGGUUGGUAGAAGGAAGCUCGGGUAUUGCUUAUUGUUGAAAGCACUCGUUUGUUUCGGCUCGUGAGUUGAAAUCACUCGCUUGUUCCGGCUCGUGAUGUGUCUGACGCAUGCAUAGAAUCAAGAUCUAUUGAGACCAGGAUGUUUGUUUCUUGCUCGAAACAAGAGAUACGCUCCGGCUUAUUUGCAUUCAACUGGAGAACCUCACUUAUCAACUGCCCUGGAUUGGAUCUACUUACGAUUUGAGAAACUGGCUCCAGAACCCAUGUUUUUGAUGCAGAAUCGGUGGUUCCUUCUCUUUUUCGUGAUUUCAUCCAUAAAUCAAUGGAAAGAGCACUUUAUUCAGUGAAUUGACACGUUCCUCAUGCUUUUACAGUAGUAGUAGUCUCGGUAGCAGAAGUAGAUCCGAGUGUAGAUACCGGGAUCAUAUCACCACUAUUGACUAUUUCAAUUCAUUCACAUCUGCUCGUAUCAAUCAAAGUUUCCUAUCAAGCAAUCCCAGCAGCAAUCAAGUUGGCACCCACUAUAUAAGAUGCACUAUUUCCUGAUCUUGUCCCAAACCCAACUCGACACUUUUAGACCUGGCCUGGAUCCCUCCCUUCUCCGACAAUAUAUGCAACCUUAAAGAAAAGAGACCACUCUCAGAACGACCCUUCGGAAAGCCCCACAACAAGCUAUCCCAGAAGAAAUUGUAUAACUUGGCCAAAGUAUUCACUUCCAAUUCCCUUUGCAAUAAGAUCACAGUAGAUACUGUUUAGAAGGUUCACUCUCUCGUCUACAAAAAAUAGAUGUGUGCUUACUUCUUGGAGAUUAACUCCUGCGGGUAAGUGCACACCCUCAGUAGUAUCUCUAUAGACUUUAUAGAGUAUUUCCAAUUGAUAAAUGAUUUGUUCUUUAAGAACAUCUUUGGAUAUAUCAGUUACUUGUGUUUCAACAUUAAUAGCAUUUAUGUGAUGGAUCAUCGCCCUAACGGCGACAAGAAUAGCUAUCGACAAUGACAAACCCAAUGAUACAAUAUACUCAAAUAUAAUCGUUUCCAUAAAAAUCUGCCAUCAUUUUUUUAGUCAUACUUGUCCCUUAGCGGACUCACUCUUGUCUUGCUUCAUCUAAGGAGUGAUAAGUGCCAGGAGUCUGCCUCUAGCAUCAAUACAUGUCCUAGUUACGAACAAAGAAGCGGUGUUGUCUCCUUAGCGUUAGCGGCCUUAUGCCUAUUCCAGUAUACGCCCGUGUCAAUAUGUCUAGACUUACCUAUACCCAUGCUUCCUUCUUCUUUGACUAGCUUGCUUCCCCUAUCAAAUAGAAGGGGAAUGACUGCGUGCUUGGCCAUCGUUAGUAAGCCCACGUAGGAUAGGACCAUCAUCGAGCAAAUGUUCCUUCAAAGGCGCGGAGCGUGCUAUGGCAGAUUUUCAUCCCGCAAGAGGAUGCGCCUAACUAAAACGCCGUAAGGCAGUGCAGCUCAAUCCGUUGCUUUGCUUGUUGGAUCCACUUUUGGAAAGUUUCUUUGUUCGUAGCAUUAGUAGUUACUCACUGCAUUAGUAGUUACUCACUGGGUGGGUGCACCAACGGCUUUCUAGGAAUUUGAGUUGAAGAUUCUUUCGUGAAAUAAAAGAACGGCAGCGGCAGGUUGAUGAGGGAAAGGAAACCAGAUCUUUUUUCUAUGGUAUGGCCUGGGUGGCCUAAGUGAAAUCCCGAGAUAUGAAGGAGCCGAUCAAUCUACCCGCCCGAGGUAAGCUUGCUCCUCACUUGAGUUGAAGCUGCCUCCGCUCCCUGUCGUCAUACGGAUUGAUUUACUUUAUCUUGACAUGCGCUACACUUAUAUUUGCUAGAGAUAUCAAUCGAAAUAGGAGCCUUCUGAAAAUAGAAAUCGAUAUAUCCAUGGUAUUGAAUGGCCAAGAAUUGAAUGGGAUUGUGGCACCCAGUGAUACACUACGCCAUGUUACGAACAAAGAAAUGAUAGAAUUUCAUUAUGGCAUGGCGCUAUAGGCCAUCGAUUCGGUUAUAGGAGUAGACGCGGGCAAUGGCAAAGAGGAACAUUUGGAUGGACGACCUCCAAGACACGAGUCACUACUUUAGAACUACGUUAUUCCCUGGCGUGAGGUACACAUCCGGGGUUGAAGAAGGGACGCAUAUCAAAUAAAUGUGAUCUAGAUCCCUUUAACAGAAUAGCAGCAUCUUUGAAUUCCGAGCCGAGACUAUUAUGAUUACCUACCGAAUUGGAGGAAUCAAAGAUCCUUACUUGAGGAACUUAACUGGCACUCUACUGAUUGGACUUUACCGACUUCAAAAACCAGAAAAGAUUCUAUACCGAGCUUACCUAUCAACCAGACGGACUUGAACAACUGACCUGUAUGCUAUUGUUAUUGUCGGGCCUCCAGACCAUACCAAUUCACCGAGUUAGAAACCGGACCAGAGCUAUUAACCGACUUGACGUGCUUUCCUGACUAACAGACCGGACAGACCAAUCCAACGAACUGACUUUGCUAGCUUAUCGAGCCGAGGAGACAAGACGGAUCCAUAUAAGGAUACCAGCAACCCGAAGAGAAGAACCCCGGUUUAUUAGAGAGAUCCGUUCUAUUUCACUAGUUGGGUUUCUGUCUCGGCCUGGCAUCUUUGGACAAGAAUCAUAAGUAUAAGUAGCAGCUUCCUAUUCCUUAGUACUUUCCUGUAGUGUAGUUUCUCAAACCAGUGCUUUUCCUGGAAUGGAUAGAAUUCCUCAACUCUAGGAAAACCUGGUAUGAAAAAUUCCGUAUAAUAUGCAAAAUUACGUUUCCGUAUAAAAUAAAUAAGUAGACUAGCUCUGGACCGGAAAUCGAAACCCUGGAAAGAAAAGACAGGACAGGUAUGAAUCACUAAACCUGAGAGCUUCCUUGUCUUCUCCCAAAGCCAACUCUGGAUUUUCCUCCUUCCCGCAAAGUCAGAGUGAUGCUAUCUCUCCUCUCCCCGGCCCUCUGGGAUGAAGAAUGUCCAACAUCCUCUUCUUGGAUACCAGAUUCCAUCCUUAUCCACCUGGCUAGAAGCUGGCUAGAAGAUCGAAUUUCUUGGAAUGAGUAUAUUUUAGGUGUUUACGUAACUCAUCCAGUCCAGAAAUAGCUUGACCUGUACAAUUUCGAACGAAUCAAGAUAUCCUAUCGUUCUGGUAGCUAUAGUAGCUAUCUGUUCUUCCACUAGGAGAAGGUUUGAUUGGGAUUGUUUAAGCAAUUCCCGUCAUAAAAACAAUGGAUUCUGGCUAGUUUUAUCGAGAGCAUAGGUGAAUAAUAGGCUUGUCACUCUGCGAAUUGAGCUAGUUCCUAUUUUGAUUUGCCAGCUACUUGUUUCAUUGUGGCACAUUUGAGCCGCUGAUCCUACUCUGGAAAGUGAAAUACCCACAUGAAUAGCAGGUCGAAUUCUGGCAUGGAAUAGAUCCGCGGAUAAGAAGAUUUGUCCAUCUUGGAGAUGACAUUAGUUGGAAUAUAGGCGGAAACCACUCCAGUUGGGCAUACUCUCUUCGCCUAAAAGAAAAUUGUAUUGAGUGGCUCUUUCUAAAAGGCAUGAAUGCCAAUCAAAUCAACCCUAUCCUGAUGGAGAAUAGAGAUCCACCCACCCACCUUCUAUAUUCUCCCAUCCCCGAGGGAAGACCACGCACGGCCGAGAAAGAUGUGUCUCGUAUUCAGCAGCUCGCCUAAGUCCUAACGUUAAUGGAAAGAGUAAGAUAAGAAAGCUUAAGCGUGGUAGCCCAUAGAACAAAUAUGAGAAGUGAUGUUUUGAAAGCUUCUUAUUGAGUCUAAUACUAUCCUUUUGAAAUUCUUGGUCCUCAGAUCAGAUACCAUAACCAGCAUCUACAUGCUCAUGCUGCAAACUAUCACAUAGGUCCUAUUUCAGGUUCAUUUACUUUCUCAAAUAAGUAACUUUGUCUAAUGUUCCCCGAGCGAUUAGUUAAAACAACCACCCCCUGAUCCGAAAGGAAUGGGUGUUCCCGAGGCUUAUUCAAAGGGCUUUCUAGUGAGUUAAUGGGGAAUGAGGGUAUCACCCAUAACCAGUUUGAAGAUGCAAAAAUUAUGUUCUUGUCAAGGAGGGGGAUUAGCUACACAACCAAGGAAGGCCUUUUUAGAUUAUUAAUAUUCUGACUGCUUUUCACUCUUGUCUAGAUCUUGCUAUUGCUUAGAGGGCAGGCCGCAGGACAAAGCAAGAGCUUGCAUGCGAGGGGCGCAGCGAAUGUUUGCUUCAAAGGAGCCUGUGAGCCAGCGAUAAUUAGACCCGUUAAUUAGUAGGGACAACUUGAAGUAGGGACAACUUGAAUACUCCACCUGUGUCUAAUCAUCCACUCGACCAGCCAAUGAAACGAAUUGAGAUGAAAGUGAUCGAAAGUUAUCUCCCGUAGAAGGAGCUAUGUUUGCGAAGGAUCGAAGAGAGCGUUGAGGGCGCUAGCAACAGCGUGUUUGUUUCAACACAAGAAGUGUCGAUCCAAGCUUUAAGAACUCAAUCGUCCGUCCGACCGAAUCACUCGUUUAUGGCUCUGAUUCCAAGUCAGGGUUUAAAACAGCGGUGACCCAGCUAGUUGAAUAGUUUUUACUUGGAACACCAGACAUGAGAGCCAGCUACAAAGACAGCUAAUGAUAUCAAAGUUGACGAAACAAGAGAGUUUCAUUCAAUUCUUUUCAGAGUGUACGCCUAUGAUCAAUAGUUCCUUAUGUAAAGGAUAUUUCCCUUCUCAUAUUCUAUUCGAGAGUUAUCAGUAUUUAGCAAAGCUGUUCCUAUCUAACGGAGGGCUAUUGGAUCAAAUGAAAAAACAUUGUUGAGAAAUAGUAGCCACCCGAAGUAGAGGGAAUCCAACCUUGCCCAAUCGAUGCUCAAGUGGCCCAAAGAAGCAAUCUGAAAAGGGAAGAGCUUGUUCUGAAGGAACCGCACUCAAAGGUAAUGUUUACUUUAUCAAAUCAUUCUUACUCCUUGGUUACCCCUGAUGAAACGAUCCUAUUCAUUUGACCAUUCACUAGUUUGUAAAUUGCGCCUACUUCAUGCACAUAACUCCACUCUACUGGAGGCUUGGCAUGCUCGAAAAGAAAAAAACGGAGUCAAUCUUUUCAAAUUCCUUGCGAACAAUACCGAAGACUUGCGGUGUGUAGUUGCUUGUGUGAGAUUUCUCAAGAUUGUAGAAAGGGGUUUUUAAAACAGGUUCCUUCCGUCUGAGAGGCUUUGCAAUCCAACUCAGUCUCCUUUGUGUGCGCACACACGCAAGCCAAGUUUCACUUUGAAUACCCCUGCCUUCCUCUCCUUUCAGUAAGUUUGGUAUUCUGUCUUGUGAGGUAGGAAAAGCCAUCAUGUUUAGGAGAUCAACAAAGAGUGAAUUGGUACAUAUGGACAUCGUGAAAAUAAGGAACUAGGGGAGUUACAGCAUAGUGAAUGUAAAGCUUACCUACCCGCCUAUCCUGCAUUGCUGACCUACCUGUACGAAUGUGCUUAAACGGAGAAUGAGGCGCCCUACCAAAUAUCCUGCUUGGGGCUCCCUACAAAUAGAAUUUAGGGAAUCCCUGCAGUGAACGAUGACAUUAUAUGGGCAAGAGCUUUACUUGUCCAUCACGGACUACUUUUCUCUCCGUUCAAUAGUGAGUUGCCUGAUAGAUAUCCUUCUAUGCUUCUUAUCUCUUAUCCUUUGCUGCGCGCCUUGCUAUUCUUUAUUAUAUAUCGUAUCAUUUGUUCCAUUCUCAAUGGUUGGCCAGAGGCCAGGAUGCUUUAGUUUAUCGGAUCGAUCGCUGUGGUCAAGUGCGCUGGUCUCUUUCCCAAGUCACAGGGGUACGGAUACCAGAAGUAGAUCCAGCAGGAGGUGGUAGCCAUUAUUAUUGAGAAAUAUAAAGAAAGCCGCUUCGUUCCCUUGUUUACUGAACUCUUUUUGGGAGAUAGGUCUACCGUUGCAAACUCAUUUUCUUGUAAAUUCAUUGUCUAAAAUAACUCGUAAAUUCAUUGUGCCAGAAUUGAUCAUCUAACUAGAACUAGUACUAGAUAUGAGCGUUAUUUCUGCGGGUUGCUAGUAGUUUGUUUCAUUAUCCCUCCCCGUCGUCCUCGAUGAUGAACCUUACAGAUAGGUCCCCAUUACGCACCUGUCUCUCUGCCCUGACCCAGUUUACUGCUCGAAAAUAGUAGCGGGAACUGUUUCCAUGAUGCUUAAGACUUUCAUACACGACCCAAAGCUUCUCUGGGUCAUUGAGCUCCUCUUCCUUGUGCUGGAGGGCCGAGGCAGCGAGAUCCUCGACGCUUUCCUCCGCGAAGUGGUAGCUCAAGACCGAGGUAGCAUCGAGGUCUCUUAACAGAGCGCCGAUGUGCUGGUGGUAAUUAAGGACUAGGGCUAGCCGUUCUUCUUCCCCCAUUGUAAGCGGUCGUCCUUCGGGCAGAUUUACACGAGCCUGACCUCCCUGCGGGAGAUACGGGGCUACGGCGCGGGACAGGUCGUCAUCGCCUAAAUGCAUCAGAUUAGUAGAUGCUUGAGCCCUUGCUUGCUCCCCGCCUUCCGUCAAGCCCCCGGGGGUUUGACUUGUGGACGCGACUUGUUUCUCACGCCUAUUGGCACCCCCCUGGAGAAGCGCAUCCCAGAAGCUAUCCUCCAGUGGUGUAGCCCUAGCCCCUGACCCCGACGGAUCCUCAUUUUGCGCGGGGUCGUUACCCGGUGAGCAUUCUGUAGGAGUAAUGUUAGACCCCAGCACCGCGCUACAACAAAAGCCGUAAAAAACUUGCACAGCCCAGACCGGGCAACGCGGACAUAAAGCGCGAACCAACAUCCGUGAUACGAAAACCGAAAUAAGAAUGAGGAAGAAAAACAUAUCCAGAUGAAUUUGAUUUAAAUUUAAACCCAAAAAUAACUUCCCAAACAAUUUGGAACAAACAAGUUCCAUACGAGACAUAAUUAACAACAUGGAAUGUCAGAGAAAUUCAAAUUAUGUAAGUUUGAUAAAACAAAGUCCCUCGUAGAGUCCACGGGGAGCCUACUUCUAUUUUUUCUGUAGUCAAACUAAGACUGGAGCUUGAAGCCACUACUCUAGAACCGGAAGAAGCCUAACUUUUGCAUUUUUAGUAUUUUUUCUUACUGUCAUUUCCGUUUAAUUACAAUACGAAAAUCUUCGAUUGGUAGAAGUGAGUCCAGAUCUCCCUCUUUUCCACUAAACCAUUUAAUUUCUAUAUGAAAAUAAGAGAUGCUUCUAGGGACAAUCAAGAUCACUAGGAAAGAGCUGAGUUAAAGUGGCACUCACUUGAUUAAAGGGUUUUGUGUGUACUGACUGAUCUAAGUGCAGAACCAUUCAAGAAACGUAAUUGAAAGAAAGAAAGAGCGCUAUUCUUCUCUAGUUAGGUACUGCCAUCAAUGAGUUUGCUAAGAAAGACCCCGGUGGAAUAUUUGGCCUGCUUACUAACUUAUAGGCUUUAGAGGGGACCCUUUCUCGCCCAGCCCUACCUACAGGGAUUGUAGGAUUUCGUUUGCAACUCUUUUUCCUAGAAAUCUCAAUCCAGCGAGUCACUACUCUUUUUCUCAAACAAGAAGCUGACAAAGAGAUCCAUCCAUUUGAUUUUCCCAAGAGACUAGUUUGAUUCCACCAAAGUCUCUCUUAGCGCAUAAGUAGAAAUUCAUUAUGAUUAGCAUGAAAACCAUUUUGCAAGAUAUCAAGAAAUUCUUUAAAUAAGUCAUCAUUCAUUAGCGCGUAAGAGCAUUCAUUCUAUCAACAAUAUUUCUCGAACUGGCGCACUUCCCUGUAGAGAGGAAAGUAGGAGAUUUCUCGUAAGGAUUAUACGUGAUUUUCCCAUUAUGUGAGCGUGCAUUUCCUCAAUCAUUAAGAAUUGGGCUUUGGGAAGAAAAACUAGUUCUAUGUCAAUUCUACAGCCAGAGGAAGAAUCAAGUCUAUCUCACUCAUAUAACUGCCAGUGGCACUAUUUCUUUUCAGGACAAACCUUUUAUGGUAUUUUCACUCCGAUUGCGGGAGGGAAGCAGGGCUAUAGAAAUCAGUUCAGAAAAGGACUGAUUGAUAGACUUAAUUUUACGGAGAAGAAAGGAAUAUUCACAGCAUUCAUCACUUCUAUAUUUUACUAUGAUUUUUCGAGCGUGUAUAGAGCCUAUCUAGCUCUAUUUCCUAGUUUCUCCUUUAAGUUGUGAGGAUUGAGUUUGCUUUGAUUCUGGUUCAGGGCAAGGGCUACUUUCUUGAGUUCGUAUAAGCAUGGAUCUAAUCUUACGUGGAUUGGUUAUCGAGAUGAGAAGACCGACACUUUAAAGCGGGUAACGUAAAGGAUAGUCGAAGUAGAGAUGCCAGGCCGGGUCUUAUACUAGUAGCUUCAACCCAGUAGGUUAUUUUGACUGGCCCUUUAGUUGGCAACUCGACUCCAACCCGAUCUGGAAGAGGAUUUAUUUUUUGCGAACUCAUAACUUAGCUAAAUGGGGAGAACGAAGAGGCGUGGAAAAUUGGGGGACGGACUCCUCAAUACCGGAUGAAGUUGGCUUACUUAAGUCCUUGGAGCUUCCCCCGCGGUAGAAGAAUCUAUCUUAAGGAUAUCGUCGGCAUCACAACGAAGACACACAUUCCGCACUACUUGCUCAUCCCACGACUUCCCAUCAAAUUUUCGUAGAUCCCUCACAAUCGAGUUAGGCCGAUUAGGGAAUUUCUCUCUCUUCGAACCUUGGGAUCCAGUAGUCCACCCAAACUUGCUGUGCUUAAACCAUCUCCAAUGCGCCAGAUCAGACCCGCCCAAAGAGUUUCCCUUGCAGCACAAACACCCUCCUCCAUGUGAUCGAAGCCUGAGGCGGAACCUUUGCCCUUAGACAAUAUCUAUUCGGGUAGUCACGCCCUUGAAGCACCUGAGCACAUAGAAAAUCAACGGCAGUCAACAGACUUCAUCUCAACUGAGUGUGCCGGUCCCAGGUUCUCCAGUGGAGUCGAUAUGUGUGAGUUGAGUCUAGCAGGGGCAGGGGAGUGAGAAUAGUCGACAGUUGAAUAGCUUGGCCAGAGAAAGAGGGAAUGAAUGACCGGUCUCGUUCUGGAUCUCUUUCCUUGCGCCCUAGUCCAUUCCAUCUAUCUUGACUGCAACUUGGAUUCUUUCUUGACUGCUAUUUGGAUUCGUAGUCCCUCAAAUCUCUAAGCAGGUGGCUAGAAAACCUUCCGGAAUAGGAGGAAUAUCUGAUAGUUUCUCAUCAGGAAUGGAAUUCGGUUUCCAAUCUGGUCACACAUGAAUCUUGCCCUAAAGCAAUUUCUUGAUUAGGAGCAGUAGGUGGCCCAUAGAAAGGAAUGUCUGCCUAUCCAUAGCCGGGCAAAUUGCUGCAUAUUCAAGUCACCCAAUUCUCUUCUCUUGCACUAUGUCUAUUGGAAUGGACCCUUGAUUCUCCAGCAGAUCCUCCUGGUAUGGAAGGAUAUCAUCCACAAAACAGAUUGCUGAAAAUGCCAUCCAAGUUCACAAAGGAGCGGUCUUCCUAAUAUCUCUUUUGUUUGUGGGAAUCUCUAGUGAGACCUUUUGAUUUCCGGGGUUUCCUACUGUCUUUUGACUUUGUCGUACUCUGCAUAAAAUCUAGUAUGGUGGUCCAGUUAUUUCUAGAAUAUUUCACAGGAUGAUCGUGUGCGGCUCCUAUCCAGCUAACCAAAUGGAUCAGUACCUGUUUGCGAAUUUCUCUUUCCCAAAGAGGACACAACGAUUCGAAAUUCAGGAAAUCUCCGAAUUCUCAAUGUGCAUUUUCUGGUCCUUUCUUAUGGACAAUUCCGUUUUCCCAUUGGCAUAAAGACUUGUUUGACUAUGAUCCACGAACCAAUUCACAUACUCAUCGGAUCUAUCCUUCGAAGAGAGUUGAUCCACUAUUUGCAGGACUUCCGCACCCUCGAUAGAAUGAAUGAAAUGACUGAGCAUAAAAUCCUAUAUAGCAAGGAUAGAUUAUACGGAAUAGAAGAGUCGGUUCUAAGCUAAUAAAAGUAUGAAUUCCCAUAGCAAUAGCAAAGAAAAAGGAAGCCCAUAUCUGAUAUAUUGCUGAGGCAUCUUGGGAAAGAAGUGUCUCUCGCAUCCGCCGGCUAUGAAUUCAAUAAGAAAAUCCAUGUGACUCAUGCAGAUCAAUACGGAAAUGGCAAGGCAUUCAACUUGACCCAUUCAUUCUCGACCAUACGCCCUAAGCUCCUAAAUCUCUGACCUGCCUCCCUUAUACUAAGAAGAGAAGUAUUUGCUUGCUUGCUGGUUGAAGUCUGCUCGUCGCAUUCUAGUCGUGCGUGAUAGAAUAGGCCCACAUAAAGAGAAAGCGGAGACCUUCCCAAGGUUACUCAUCUAGAUCUGGAUAAUCACUAGCUAUAUUAUUUCCUGCUCCUAAAUUCUCGUAAAUAGAGGAUAGGCCCGGCACCCCACAGUCACGGCACCUCUAAGAAGACACCUAUUCCCGGCGCACUCCAUGUGAAAGACACCUAUUCUCGGCACUAUUCCAUAGCACACACACUUAUACUUAAGUAGGCAUAGCUCCGUUAAGAGCUCAUCGAACUUGACUUCUAGAGUGAGACCUGUGAUAGAAGGGGUAAAGGUGAAUUUUGGUCCUCUUUCUCUCGGAAAUAUACGCCACAUGCCUGUGAUCGAUCUCUCUCUUUCUAGGUAUCGGUGAAGUCCGUCAUGGAAUUUAAGUGGUAGAGUGGUAAGUGGGCGUACGGUCUAUGGAUUUCCUAUCAGUGGCAUUAUUCCUUCUCUAGAUAGAUGGCUAUUGAGCUUCUCAUUCGUGAGAGUCAUGCGCCGGAUCAAGGGCUCUCUCAUCUCCUAUUUGGAAAUGUAUAGGUUGUGUAAGUGGCCAGUGCCCGCGGGUAAAGGCUGAUCAUCAAAAGUCAUAUAAUCCAUCUAAGUGCCGGUAUUGCCCAGUGCUUGUCUGGAGUUGUCAUGAUACCCGGAUACUCACCUCACUAUACGCCAAUUCAGGGAAAGGUCAUGCUGGGAAGCUUCAUUGAAAGAUAGUCUCAACACUCUCGAUGAGAAACGACAACCCAGCUAACAAAGGUUUAUGCAUAUGUUGGUCCACAUGCAGAGGAAGUCAAGGUUUCCAGAUGUGCUCAUCCCUGCUUGCUGAUAUGCAAAUCGAUUGGAAUUGGCAAAUCAUAGAGUUUGUCGCUGACAAGAGCUGUUUUGGCCAUGGUGAUCCUCCUCUCAAUACCCAUUCCUGCGAAUUCCCAAUCCAAUUAUAUUAGUAUAAUGUGUAGAAGAAAAAGGGGAAUCCAUGAGAAAGCCCAUAUUGUUCGUGGCAAUGGAACAUUCAUUUCCAGUUUUGUGAAUGGAGAUCACUGACGAGCACUCUUGCGCAAAUCAAGAGUAAAGGUAGGAGCUAUGAAGCUGUCCCGGGUAGGAAAGGAUCCCUUUGAGUUCAUAUUGCUGCAGGAGAAAGAGAAGGGCACAAAGCUUCUAUAUACCACUGGAUUCCACCAGACUGUUCUGUGGAAAACACGGCACCCUAUCCCUUCCCUGACGGGAACCUGGAUACCAUAGCAUAGGAACCUCCCCUUCCCUGACAGGAACCUGGAUACCAUAGCAUAGGAACCUCGAAAAUACGUAUUAUAGGUUGGUUGUAUACACACUCAUCCUUUAAGAAGAUAAGAGAGCCCCGCGGACAUUUCCUUCCUCGGAACCAGGAAACUGAUACUGCCUCGAUUCUGCUUCCGUCUAUCAUGUCCAAUCUUACUUUCGUGCCGAUGAAGGGCAGUCCGGAAGGUGGAGUUAGCACCGGGCCUAUUCUUAGAAGCUGAAGUAGGAGUAGGAGCACUCUUCUUCCUCAAGCGUAGCCAUAUUAGUUGGAUCCGGCAUCCUUUUCGACUGGAGAUACCCUCACAUUACCGGCUUCCCGGCAUACUGGCAAGUUUACUUGACUCACCCAUUCUUGAGAUUGGCCUAGCCACUACUUUGUUUGAUUUCCUUGUCACUGUAGUAAGCAAGUGGCACCUAUUGAUCUACUUCCCUCUAGCAUCACUCAUCCUUACGGCACGAGUCCAUCCAUCCCUCGACCGAAGAGAGUCUUCCUCCUCACGGAACUAGGGUUUGAUUUCAUAGACAAGACUUUCGAGCGCGACGUUGCGCACAUCCUCUUGCUUGGUAUCUUUUCUAGUGUGCAUCACAUUCAUUUUCCUUUCCAGGAAUUUUCCUUUCAUGUAGAUAUGAUAAUCUUCGUGGAAUCAACCUAAUAUAGGAUCUGCCAGUAGUACUUUCGCGGGAUUUGAAAGCAGGCAAACUUAUGAUGCGAGUCUAGUUAGAAUAGAACCAGUGCACUCUGAAAUCCGAACCAACCAAUAUGCUUCGCUUUCCUCUGCUUGUAUAGACUCCGUUCGUGCUAGGACAUCCAUAGCCAAUAGUAAUAGUAGCUAGUAGCUUCGCCCCCCCCUUGCCCCCGGAAAGGUUCUCAUUCCUCACUGGAUCUAGUUGACUUGCUGCUACAUCAAUCAAUCUAUCUAUAUGUUCCGGACGGAAGAGAGAGUUUCCUACAUUGCCAUUCCCAUGAACUGAACAUCGGGUACCAACGAUCUGGAAUCCCGUGCUGAAACCUACAGAUAUGCACCUGUGCGGACCAACCUGGCAAUCCUCCUGUCUAUUCUUUCUAUCUGGACUAGCGCUUCCCACUGGAGCUUACUACUUGACUAGAGCACUGGAACUUGUUAGUUUCAUUAGUCAGUUUCCUAGCAUAGCAAAGUGAGUUUCCCAUCAAUGGAUAAUCAUCCUGUUGUUUCCAUGAACAUCAGGUACAUAUAUGAACCUGUCAACGGAGCGGAACAUAUGAUAUGAACCAAGUAGAUUCAUCUCUUUGCUCGUAACGUUAGUAGUUACUCGCUCAUUAGUAGUGAACUAUGAUCAUUUGUGAGGAAUAUGUUUUCAACUCUAUGUAUGUCAAUUCGAGAGUAGAGCAAUCUAUGUCAACCAAGAGCAGAACUCUCUCUAUUUCUGGCACAGGCUUUCUUUCAAUCAAGAAGAAGAUUAUUUCAGAUUUUAUCACUAUCCGGACUGCUAUCUACUAUCUACCUACCUAUCUACCCGGGCUCGUUGUGAGGCGGGACCCAACCCUCCUCUUCACUCCACUACUUCAAUAGAAAUGGAUCCAUCAUCUGCUACCCAUGAGUAAUAACAUUACGAAUCUACCACUAAUCCCGAGGGCAAGUAUGAAAAAGAGAGUCAAGCAAGGUUGUAUUCGUAUGUUCCAUUUGAGUAAGCCUCUGAUGCCCUGCGCAUCUAGUUAGUACUUACGGAGCUUAAAAAUCCCUUAUUUUAAGCUCUUUUUCCAUUCGAUUCCUUCAAUGCUUCACCGUACUGACUCAAACCUUCGGACCAAAACCUGCAAGGAUACAGGUACUCUUUCGCGUAUCUAUAGUACGCGCCAACUACUACCUAAGCACUCGAAUAUUCGUAUUUCAUUUCGAAUGAAUCUAUAAAACAAAUAGAAAAUGUUCAUGAUCCAUUGACAAAAAGCAAGACGCCGAUCAAGGCACUCAUUCCUUUCGCUUAUUACGUUCUCUGUUAGAACUGUUUAUAGACAUAGCCCUUUAAAGGCGAUAUUUACUGGACCUGCACCCUUUCCUUUGGGCAACGAAGAGUGCAUUGUCCAUCCAGUAUUUGUUUGCUGGUUCUCUAUGCUUUCUUUUGACUGGAAACCUAGGCUAUUCUCAGUGCUCUUACUUCAAGGAUAAAACAAACUAUCUAUUAUAAAAAUCCUUAUCACUACAAGCUCCAAUACCACGGGGUAGCGACAGAAAUGUGAAUUAGUACCCGUAUCUGCUGAUACCUGAAUUGCUUCCACUUUAGAAUCAGCUAGGCGAGAGCCCUGUUGUCCUACUGAAAUGGAUUCUAAUAAAUUCACAAGCACACGGAUAAUGAAUGGAAGCAGAUAGAACCUAUUC
rnacentral:lncRNA from 1 species